UUGAAUCAAAGCUGAGACUUGGGGUUGAAAGUAGCUGCACCUUUAGCCUGUUUAGACAUAGAGUGAUGGGACUGAGUGGUGUACGGUAAAAGAAAACAAUGUUAAUGUAAGCGAAUUUAUAAUUUAAAAGCUAACCAUGCAUUAAGUUAGUGUGAGAGCCCCCUGAAGUCUUUGUCAGAUUUGAGCUAGAGCUGACUAUUCAUUCCGCAUUUUGGGUUUUGGUUGACCUCUAUCUUGACUGAACCCACUUGAGAUAAAGCCCCAGAGUUACUUUCCACCAUGAUAUUUGAGUUUGUCGGGUUAGCAUAUCUUAUACUUUUCCUGAAAAACAAAUAUAUAUGUUAACCCAGGUUGAAAAAAUUAUUUACUGAGUUGUUAUGGGUGCAACUCAUGUUUUGAAACAUUUAAGAUUUCUAGCCAUUAUUUUACUAUCCUGUGGGUUUUUAAGGUACAAGAGACUGUCAAAACAACAUAAUAUCUUAAUUACUUAUAAUAAUCCUACAAGUGCACAUGGUCUAAAAAUGUGAAAUUUAAAACGGUCUUAGGGUUGGAAAAGAUAGGGUAGAGGUGAUGAAUGUUUUGUGAGUUUGAAUGAAGGGAAAAAUAAUAAUAAUAAUAAGUCUAGUGUAUAAUAUUUGAAAACCCUGCUUCAUCAUGUGAAAUGGAUUGAAUUGCUGUAAGAUCUGUCCAAAUUAAACUGUCUAAACUCAUUACAGGCUUGAGGGAGCAAAGAAAUUUUUUUUUUUUUUUUAGCAACUCCAGAGUCAUUUAAAAAUGGAAAAUUUUUCCUAAAGCAGUUUUUGUUGUAUGAUUAAAGAGAAAUGUGAGAUUUUCAGGUUGAAGGAAGGACAAUAAAAGCCCAGACAUGGGACGCUGCAGGUCAAGAGCGAUACAGAGCAGUAACGACUGCCUAUUAUAGGGCCGCACUCCGAGCUCUUUUAGUUUAUGAUGUGACAAAAUCAACAACAUUUGAAAAUGUGAGCCGCUGGCUGAAGGAUCUGAGGGACCAUGCAGACUCCAACAUCGUGAUCAUGAUGAUCAGCAACAAGGCUGAUCCGAAACACCUCCAACUUCUAUGGUGAUGGCCUCUCUCCCUCUGUUACUCUCAAUUUCUUCCCAUUUUAUCGUGUUCGAACUUCUAUGUUAAUUUUUCAGUCUCUUGAUGGUUUAUUGUUGAAACUUAUUUUUAUUUAAUUUUUGUUAACAAUGUUGUAUUUGAAUUAUUCUCCUCAUUGUUGUUGCGACUUGAGAUAUCAGAAUUUUUUUGUUACGGCAGUGUGCACUAGCAAUGUUGCUGCUUACUCUGGUUUUUAGUGUAUAAUACACUGCUUCAGUUGGAUUCAUUCUGUGUUACAAGGCAAUGAAGUUGGCUUUAACAUUUUCUGUGGUCAUUUUUGUAAUUUGAUUUGACAAAAAUGGUAUUUUCCUUGUGUGUUUGCCUCGAACAAUUGCAAUUUUCUAGUUAUAAUGUUUUUGAAACAACAUCCAAAUAGCGCUAAAUAUCUUUUGCUAUACAAAAGUCUCUCUCAGUUUGCUAUUAUUAUUAUUAUUUUUUUUUUUUAAAGUUCAUUGCGUUAUUAUGACCAUUACAUAGUUUGUUAUAGCAAGUUCGGAUGUUGCACUAUUUCAUUUGUGGAAACAGACUUUUAUUUAUUUAUUUUUUAAAAAAAGAAGAAUAAAAAGAAAUACUAUGUCAACUUACUUGGCUCCAAGUUUAAUAAUAAUAAAGAAAUAUAUAUUGAUUAUUUGAUGCCACGUUACAAUGCCCAAUUUAGAGAAAAUUGUUACGAAUAAUUAUUGGAAAAUGAAAUGAAACAAAAAAUUUGUUACCGGAUGAAGCACCAUCACAUCCUUAAGCUUUAAGACAAUAAUAGUCGUGUAAAUUGGGGACCCGCAAAGCCGUCGAGUAAAUUUGCUUAACGUGAUUUGAAUUGAAGUUAUACAUAAUUCAUAAUUUCAAAAGAAAUGAAAAAGAAUAAUCGAAAAAUCGAUAUGCACUUCUAUCUUGCCACCACUCACCCUCUCGACUAAAUGUCAUUUUCUUUGAACUUUCAUGGCUUCUAAGCUCCCAUCAAGAAUUAGAAAUUCACAAAUCCAACCUUUAUUAUCUCAUCAAUUCAUCCCGAAUCCAAACCUUACCUCGUAAUUUUCAUUUUGCUUUUUUUUUUUUGUCCUUUCUUCUUUGACAGAACGGGCAAUUCCAUUUUACUUCUGACGUAACAAGCACGUCCCAUUCCCACACACCAUUACUUAUUCACAAGUUUACAUUCAUUUACUGAACUGAGUGACCAAUUUCUUUAAUGCUAAAUGUAUCAUGAGAUGCAGAAGAAGAAGAAGAAGAGUUGCAUUCCGAAGUCAAUAUGAUGCAAAUAAGCUGCCCUUGCCAUCAUCACCUUCAUCGGCAGCAUUUUAAUUCUUAAGGCAUAUGCCUACACUUUUCUUACAUUUUUAGUCAUUAUGAGCUAAAUUUUCCACACAUAAUAAUGUUAUUUCUUUUAAUAUGUCUGACAAGUCCAAGUUUAAUUAACCUUAAAUUUUAGGAUUUUGAGAGUAGAGAUUAAUUUUUUUUUCAAAAUAUUAAAAUAUUUUCACUUAUUUGACUAUUUUAUUUCAUUCCUUAUCAUAAUUUUUAAAAAAAUUUAGCAUUAAAAUAAUUUUACAAUUUGUACUAAAAACUCUCAUUGACAAUCAAACAACUAUUUUUUUUUUUUUUUGUGAAAGCUCUAUUUGUAAAAGAUUUACCAAAAACAAAACUACUUAAAUAAUCUAUAUUUGAAAAGUUUUACCAAAUAGAGUCUUAAUAAAGACAAAAUAACUUAUUUAAUCUUUAAAGUUAAUCUUUAAAAAAAAACAACAAUAAAGAUUUUGAAAGAAUUUAUGAGAUUAAGUAAGCAUUUUAUGACUAUUAAAUAAAUCACACCAAAUAGGCACAUAAUUUUGAAAUGAUAGACUUUAAUAUUUUUUAUAGUGAUUUGAUUUUUUCUAAUUCCUGUAAUAGUGAGGCGAUAAUAACUUUUUUUAGAAUUAUAAAAUCGUAUGUUAACUUUAAUGACAACUUAGAAUUGACAACAUUGUUGUAAUGUAAAAAAAAAUUAUUAAAUUUGGUUUCACUAAAAGAAAAUGUUGUAAAUAUAGUUCAAUUACAUUAAUUUUGGCUAUUUAGGGUCCUCUGUGGCCGAAUGUGAACAGACCGUUUGUAUGCUUAAAGAUUCGAAGUUGAGUUAAUUAACCGUUUGUAGACUUUGAGUUGAUUAGCCUGAGUUAAUUGAUAAGAGAUGUGAUUUCUAUCCACCCUGCCAUUGAGUUGAGUCAAGUUAUAGGGAUGCACGAGUCAAUUGCUGAAAUCAUUUGCUACAUUGCAUUGAGUAGCUCUGCUAUUAUCAUGGUUGCGUACCAAUAUGGCAGAAAGCUUAUGGAUGCUUGUCGUAGGCUUUACCACAAAAUUUUGAGGCCAUCUUUCGGCAAGAUCUGGAAUUGGUUUAAAGCUCAUUAUAACAACUUCUCUUCGCCAGAGCAGCAGCAACGCCCGGCAGUGUAAUUGAAAAAGUUUAAUCUUUGUUUUAAAAUUUCAUCCAAGAAUUUCCACUGAUAGAUUCCACUUAUGUUUCCAGAUUUCCAUAGAUCAAAAUAUAUACCAGAUAAUAUGCAGCUUUUAAUUCAAUAAUAUACAGUUUUUGAUAGUGCGUUCAUAUCGGAUUCUUAGGUGCACUGUUUUAUUAUUAUUAUAAAAUAUAAAUAUAUGUAUUGUACUUGCAUUUUCUUGACGAAUUAGAGACUCGAUAUCAGCUGCUAAGGGAAAGCAGUAGAUUACUUAUAUGUAUUGUUUGUUUUAUAUGUGCGUUCAUAUCGGACUCUUAAUCAUGAUGAAAUUAUCUCAACCAGUUUAUAUGACAGCAGAUAACAAACCCAGAUUGCACCAGAUUCAGCCACGUGGAAAACGGUUUGCAACGACUUUGAUCAUCACAUGCUUAGUCACGUAAACCACUUAAGUCAUGGUUAAAACGGGUUUGGAAGCUGUCGUUUUAAAGCUUAUGAAACUUAAGUGAAUCACGUGCACAGCUCGUGUCGUGAUCAACUAACUCAAAUCCCUUUUGCUUAAAACGCUGCCGUUCCUUAUGUAUAAGUUUUGAAUUCGGCAUUUUAGUCCACACCAACGGUAACCCACCCCGGCACCCCCCUCCCCCUGGGGGGGGAAAAAAUCAUGCAUGAAUAAUGAGAAUAUGGAGUUGUUUUGGAUAAUUAUUACCCUAGAAGAUUUUUAAUCGUCUCACCACCUCAUUUUUUAAACAUGGUUUUAUCUAAACCUUUGAAGGUAUUUAUUUUAUUUUUAUUAUUUUAGGAAAUUCGAAAUCGAAUUCAUAUCCUCGAUUUUUUUGGCUGUUUUCAGUUUCUGACAGUUUUCUUUAAACUAUCAACCACUUAAAACAAAAUGUUAACAAUAAUAAUACUUUGAAGGCAUAAAUUAUCCAAGGAAAUUAGGAUUAAUUUUAAAAGUCAAAGUUCAUAUUCGUCUUUGCAUCUUAUCAAGAGGGAGAUUGCUAGCUUCCCUCUUGAAUAAUCAAGACGAAGAGGUUUGGUUUCAAUCUCGCUCUUAUUCAAGAAUUUCAUGUUUGUAUCCGAUUAAUGGCACGAAAGAGAGUGUAUUAGUCCAAAUUAAGUAUGCUGUAUUGGAACUAUUAAGCUGAAACUAGAUGGCUUCUGUUUACUAAGCAAUACAAGAAUUUGAGUUAUAAUUAGGUCAGCUUUAUGUUUGGCUGUAACUAGAUGGGUUCUGUUCACUUACUUAUCUGUGUUAUCGUCUUUAUUAACCCAUUCUUUAAGCUAUAUCAGGGUAUUAGAAACAGAGCUAUGAAAGAAAUUCGUACCUGCAUUCAUUUUAGUGAAACUUUGACCAGCUUGUUCAUUCAUAUACAACUAUUAGAGUUGCGCAACUCCAUUCAUAUUGCCCCAGUGUUGGCCACAGCUGUCUUGUGUGCAUGGAAUUUAGAGAAACAAUAAAUUUAAGUGUAGACUAACCACGAUGUUAAUUUUAUGGCAAAAGAAAACGAUGUUAAUGUUAGUGAAUUUAUAAUAAAAAGCUAACCAUGCAUUAAGUUAUCGUGAGAGCCCCCUGAAAUCUAUGUCAGAUUUGAGCUAGAGCUGAGUAUUCAUUCUGCAUUUUGGGUUUUGGUUGACCUCUAUCUUGACUGAACCCACUUGAGAUAGAGCCCCAGAGUUACACUCCACCAUGAUAGUUGAGUUUGUCGGGUUUGCCCCAGAGUUAUACUUUUCCUGAAAAACAAAUAUAGAUGUUAACUCAGGUUGGAAAAAUUAUUUACUGAGUUGUUAUGGGUGCAACUCAUGUUUUGAAACAUUUAAGAUUUCUAGCCAUUAAGUUACAAGAGACAGUCAAAACAACAUAAUAUCUUAAUGACUUAUAAUAAUCCUACAAGUGCACAUGGUCUAAAAAUAUGAAAUUUAAAACGGUCUUAGGGUUGAAAAAAGAUAGGGUAGAGUUGAUGAAUGUUUUGUGAGUUUGAAUGAAGGGAAAAAAUAAUAAUAAUGAUAAGUCUAGUGUAUAAUAUUUGAAAACCCUGCUUCAUCAUGUGAAAUGGAUUGAAUUGCUGUAAGAUCUGUCCAACUUAAACUGUCUAAACUCAUUUACAGGCUUGCGGGAACAAAGAAUUUUUUUUUUUUUUUAAUAGCAACUCCAGAGUCAUUUAAAAAUGGAAAAUUUUCCCUAAAACAGUUUUUGUUGUAUGAUUAAAGAGAAAUGUGAGAUUUUCAGGUUGAAGGAAGGACAAUAAAAGCCCAGAUAUGGAACGCUGCAGGUCAGGAGCGAUACGGAGCAGUAAUGACUGCCUAUUAUAGGGGCGCACUGGGAGUGCUCUUUUAGUUUAUGAUGUGAGAAAAUCAAUAUUUGUAAAAGUGAGUCGGUGGCUGAAGAAUCUGAGGUACCACGCAGACUCCAACAUCGUGAUCUUGAUGAUCGGCGUCGUGAUCUUUUAUUUAAUUUUUGUUAACAAUGUUGUAUUUGAAUUAUUCUCGUCAUUGUUAUGAAAUUGGUGGGUGAAGUAGGGCCACAGCUAAAAUGAAAUUAGAAGAAAAUAAAGAAUAAGUAUAAAAGAGGACACUAGAAAAUUACGAGAUUCGGUUUUUAGCAUACGUCCACGGGCGAAGACGUAAAAAAAAUAUUUUACUAGUAAUAUGAGGAUUACAAGUAUUGUAAUAUUUUGGCUCACUUUCCAAAACCCCAAUACACCUAAUCUCUCACUCACUAGACUCACAUGAGCUUUAUAAUUUUAAGCUCUUAAAAUCACUCAAGCUCUCUUCUAUCUCUCUCACAAAAAAUUGAAUUGCUUUUCUCUUAAAUGGGAUGCAUAAAUGAGGGUGGGAAGCCCUCUUUAUAUAGCCAAAAUUUGGGCUAUUUUUGUUUUUUCAUAAUAAGUCAACACGGCACCACCAAGAAUGGUAGGCCGUGUUGAAUGGCAUGGCAUCGCCCAUCUAGAUGGACGGUGCCAGCCAUGACUUUAAUUCUUCCACUUGGAGAUUAGAUUGAGAAUCAAUCAAUCUCCACACCAUCCUUUCUGCUUCGCCAUAAUCAUAUUGCCUACGUUUCUGCUAGGCCACAAGAGGAUUUACUCCAGACAAACUUUUCAGUAUUAAUUGGCUUGGUCAGAACAUCUGCUAGGUUCUCCUUCGUAUGAUUUUUCUGUAAAUCCAAACUUCCAUCUUCCACUACUUCUCGAACGAAGUGGUACUGAACUCCUAUGUGCUUUGUUCUGGAAUGAAAUGCUAGAUUUCUUGCAAUGUGCAAGGCACUCUGACUGUCACAAAAAACAUAAAUUUUCUCUUGUUUGUGUCCGAGCUCCUACAAUAACCUUUGUAUCCAAAUAGCUUCCUUGCAAGCUUGUGUAGCUGCCAUGUAUUCUGUUUCUGUUGUAGAUACAGCCACAACAAUUUGUAGUUUCGAAACCCAGCUUACAGCUCCUCCUGAAGUGUAAACACAUAUCCAGUAGUGAAUUUCUUUUUAUCAAGAUCUCCUGCAAAAUCUAAAUCCAUGUAGCUUCUGACAGUAAACUCUAAUCCUCCAUAACAUAAUCCAACAUCUAAGGUUUCUCUGAUAUAUCUCAGAAUCCUUUUCACAACUUUCCAAUUCUCUCCACCAGGAUUCGCCAUGUAUCGAUUGACUACUCCCACUGCUUGUGCAAUGUCCGGUCUUGUACAAAUCAUAGCGAACAUUAAAUUUCCUACUGCUGAUGCAUAUGAUACUUGAGACAUCUUCUUCCUCUCUACUUUAUUUCUAGAACACAUACUUGAUGAUAACUUGAAAUUAACAGGAAGUGAGGUAGAAAUUGGCUUGUAAUCUUGCAUAUUGAAGCACCACAAAAUUUUCUUCAAGUAAUUAUAUAAGAAAGUCAAAACUUUCUAUUAUUUAUGUCUCGGUGAAUUUGCAUCCCUAGAAUCUUGUUUGCUAGUCCCAAGUCCUUCAUUUCAAACUCCCUAGCCAAUUGUACAUUUAGUUCUUAGACUCGAUCUUUGUUGGGGCCUGCUACUAACAUUUCAUCCACGUACAACAGUAAAAUGAUGAAAUCAUUAUCUUCAAACAUUUUGUAAUAUGCACAAUGGUCUAAACUGAGUCUGUUGUAUCCAAGGCUCAUGAUGAAAGAAUCAAAUCUCUUAUACCAACACAUCGGCACCUGUUUGAGACCGUAUAGAGAUUUGUUCAACCUGCAAACUAGAUUCUCUUUUCCUUUUUCGGCAAAACCUUCUGGUUGGAGCAUAUAAAUUUCUUUUUAAAGUUCUCCAUGAAGAAAUGCAGUCUUCACAUUUAACUACUCUAGAUGUAAGUCAAAUGUAGCAUAUAUUGUCAAGACUACUCUAACUGUUGUGAGUCGAACCACCAGAGAAAAUCUCUCGUUGAAGUCAAUACAUUCUUUAUGAGCAUAUCCUUUCACCACCAAUCUUGCACGAUACCGCUCCACUUAGUCAUUGUCACAACGUUUGAUCUUGUAGACCCAUUUGUUACCAAUGGCUUUUCUUCCAUGUGGUAGUGGUAGAAGUUCAUAUGUUUUGUCCUUCUGUAGAGCUUCAAUUUUUUCAUGUAUUGCUGUUAUACAUAAAUGGCUUUUCUUCUAUUUGUAGAUGGAAAACCCAUUUGAUCUUGUAGACCUAUUUGUUACCAAUGGCUUUUAUUCCAUGUUAUAGUGAUACAAGUUCCCAUGCUUUGUUCUUGUGUAGAGCUUGAUGAGAACCAUCAAGGGACCAUUAAAACUUCAAGUGAUCCUUUGCAUAUUCAUGGAGGCCCAAUUACAAGAGCAAGAGCCAAAAAUAUGCAAGCUGCUUUAAAUGGAUUAAUUGAGAAAAUAUGGAUUGAAAAUGCAAUUCAAGAUGCAAGACAUCAUGAAUUGGGCUUGAAGAGAAGACAAGGCAUUGUGGGCAUUAUUCAAGUCAUUGGGCAGCCAAAUACACAAGUUGUAUCAAAUGCAGAAAGGUCAAAUUCGGAUUAAAAACUGUAUUGAUUGAGCCAGAAUUAAAGUGAAAGCUAUAUACCUUUGGAAAGAUAAUUAAGUUAGCUUUCCAAUAAAUUUUACAGAGCUGGAUUUGGAGUUCUCUAGAAGGAGUUAUGACCAAUUCUUUACAGCUUGGUCAGACUUGGGAUUUUCAACGAAUCCUUUGUUUUUCAACUUAUUUGUUUGUUUUGUUUCAAGCUUGUCAAUGUGUAAGGUAAGUCUACCAUCAAUUAUGGUGGGCUAACAUUAAGUUUGUCAAUGAUAGCAUUAAUUAUAGUAGGCUAGCAUUAAGUUUGUCAAAGAUAGCAUUGAUUAUGGUGGGUUGGUGAAGACUUUUGAAACAUCUUUUGACAAACCUACUUGGAGGGUUGUUCCAAUGUUUCCAUUUGGAUUUUUAGGAUCUUGGGUUUCUUUUAGCCUAUUUAAAUUCAGCAACCUUGGUAUGUAAAAAAAUUAGAGAUUAAUGUUAUUUGAAUUUGAAAGAUUAUUCUUUCUUUGGUUCUUUUGAGAACUAGUGAACUUAUCAAGAAUUUGCAUUCUUGUGGCGUUCUAAAUUUAGACUUAUCACUCACCUUCUCAUCUAUUUCUUGAGUGUGGCGUCAAUAUCAUUCUCUAUACCUUUGGUUCAUGUUUUCUUAAGCAUUGUGUCAAGAUUUUGUUGUCAUAAAUCUGUUUAGAACUUUCUUGGGAAGUUGAAACUACAAAUUAAGUGUGGGAUUCAAAGUUUCAUUGUGGGAUUCACAACAUUUGGUAUCAGAGCUAGUUUCUAAUCAGGUUUGAAUGUCUUAUUUAUAUUGAUUAUCAAAAAGAAAAAAAAAAAAGAGAAAAACGUACAAAAAAAAAAAAAGAUUACAAAAGGAUUCAAGUUCCUUGACAUAGUUUACACACAUAUCAAUUUUGUUGCUUUCCUUUCUUCAAUUUCCUUUUCAUUCUUUGUGUCUUCUUAAUUUCUUUUCUUUGUUAGUGUGCUGGAUUGUCAUAUUUGGUGUGCCACUUGGGUUUUUUUUUUUUUUUUUCUUGAUUUUGUUUAUUUAGUUCAAUAAAGAACUAAAAGAGAGAAUUAAGUGUGGUAAAAGGCAAAAGUUUGUGAGAUCAUUAGAGGGUAAAAGCCAAUUUGUGUGUUAAACACGAGAGUUAAGUGACAUCAAAUUGAGUGAAACACGUGAGGGAGUGUUGUGAGGUCUUUUUGCUAACAUUCUUUUCAGAUCACAAAUAUGUCAAAAGAUCAAGAAGCUAUAGACCAAUCAAUCAUGCUCAAAGCCAUGCAACAACAAUUUGAGCACAUGAAUCUGAUGUUUGGAGAGAUCCGUGACAAAUUGGAGAGGCAAGACACUGCCAUAGCCAAUCUACAAAGGGGGCAACAACCAAUAGCUCCUAAUGUAAGAGGUAAUCAAGGGCGUGCUGUCAUGGGAGAAGAAGAUGGCGAUGACAUAGAUGAUUUUGAUGACCAGGCCACCGUUGACAUGCGUGGAAGAGAUAAUAGAAGGGCAAGACAUAUGGAUCGUGAUUUGGGGAGUAUCAAACUGAAAAUUCCUUCUUUUCAAGGUAAAAAUGAUCCGGAAGCUUAUUUGGAGUGGGAAAAAAAGGUGGAGCUAGUAUUUGAUUGCCACAACUACUCUGAGGAGAAAAAGGUAAAACUAGCUGCUGUUGAAUUUACUGAUUAUGCUAUUAUUGGUGGGAUCAACUUGUUUUGAGUAGGAGACGAAAUCGUGAAAGGCCUAUAAACACUUGGGAGGAGAUGAAGGCCAUCAUGAGGAGGAGAUUUGUUCCUAGUCAUUAUUAUAGGGAGCUGCACCAAAGGCUUCAAAGUCUUACACAAGGUUCUAGAAGUGUGGAAGAUUACCACAAGGAGAUGGAAAUAAUCAUGAUUCGAGCCAACAUUGAAGAAGAACGAGAGGCCACUAUGGCAAGAUUUUUACAUGGGUUAAAUCAAGAUAUUGCUAAUGUGGUUGACUUGCAGCACUAUGUUGAGUUGGAAGACAUGGUUCACAUGGCCAUGAAAGUGGAACGACAAUUGAAAAAGAAAGGUUCCACUAGAACCAAUUUGGGUUCAUCUUCCUCAUGGAAGUCAAAAUGGAGCAAAGAUGAAAAGGUUGUUUCAAAGCCUAAGAUUGAGCCAAUCAAGGAUCAUAAAGAGGGAGGCAACCAAAGUAAAGGUAAAUCUGAUUCCCAACACUCUAGAAAUAGAGAUAUUAAGUGUUUUAAAUGUUUGGGGACAGGUCAUAUUGCAUCUCAAUGCCCAAAUAAGAGAGUAAUGAUCUUGAGGGAUGAUGGUGAUGUUGACACCGAGAGUGAAUCAGAUGAUGAUCCUAUGCCACCUUUGGAGGAUGCUAAUGAUGGUGUAGAAUAUCAUGUUGAUGGUAAAUUGAUGGUUGCUAGGCGUGCUCUCAACAUGCAAGUAAAAGAGGAUGCGGAGGUACAACGUGAUAACAUCUUUCAUACUAGAUGCCACAUCAAAGAUAAGGUAUGUAGUAUGAUAAUUGAUGGUGGAAGUUGUACUAAUGUAGCUAGCACUAGUUUAGUUGAAAAAUUAAAGUUGAAAACUUUGAAACAUCCGAGGCCAUAUAAGCUACAAUGGCUGAAUGAUUGUGGGGAAGUUAAAGUAAAUAAACAAGUGCUAGUUUCAUUCUCUAUUGGGAGAUACAAGGAUGAGGUUCUAUGUGAUGUAGUACCCAUGCAUGCUGGACACAUUCUUUUGGGUCGACCUUGGCAAUAUGAUAGGCGUGUGACACAUGAUGGAUACUUAAAUAGAUAUUCUUUUGUAAUGAAUAAAAGGCAAAUCAUUCUUGUACCAUUAACACCUAGACAAGUGUAUGAGGAUCAAAUGUCAAUAAAAAAGGAGAGUGAUACAAAAAAUGAAAAUGAGAGUACAAAAGAAAGAGAGAUUGAGAGAAAAGCAAGUGAAAAGAUAGAAAAAAAUAUUGUUGAGAGAAAAGAGAGGCAGCAAGUGAACUUGUUUGCAAAAGAGAGCGAGGUUAAGAGGGCUUUCUUUUCAAAACAGCCAAUCGUUGUACUUUUGUGCAAAGAGGCUUGUUUACACACUAAUGAGCAUAACUCUUCUUUGCCUAGUGCUAUUGUGACUCUUUUGCAGGACUUUGAUGAUGUGUUUCCAAAUGAAGUCCCUAACGGUUUGCCACCUAUUAGGGGAAUUGAGCAUCAAAUAGACUUCGUCCCUGGAGCUACCAUUCCUAAUAGACCUGCAUAUAGAAGUAACCCCGAGGAGACAAAGGAGCUUCAAAGGCAAGUUGAAGAACUCUUGGAAAAAGGGUAUGUGAGGGAGAGCAUGAGCCCAUGUGCGGUACCCGUUUUACUAGUGCCCAAAAAGGAUGGAACAUGGAGGAUCUGCGUUGACUGUCGUGCAAUUAAUAAAAUCAGUGUAAAGUAUCGACAUCCUAUUCCUAGACUUGAUGACAUGCUUGAUGAAUUGCAUGGUUCUUGUGUGUUUAGUAAAAUUGAUCUUAAAAGUGGAUAUCAUCAAAUUAGGAUUAGAGAGGGAGAUGAGUGGAAAACUGCCUUUAAAACAAAAUAUGGUUUAUAUGAGUGGUUAGUGAUGCCAUUUGGGUUAUCUAAUGCACCUAGCACUUUUAUGAGGUUAAUGAACCAUGUUUUGCGUGCUUUUAUUGGCAAAUUCGUAGUUGUCUAUUUUGAUGAUAUUUUGAUCUAUAGCAAAGGCUUAGAUGAACACAUUGAACAUUUGCAAAGUGUAUUGACUGUUUUAAGGAAGGAAAAGUUGUAUGCUAAUUUGAAGAAGUGUUCCUUUUGUACAAAUCAGAUUGUUUUUCUUGGUUAUGUUGUAAGUGCUAAAGGAAUUGAGGUUGAUGAAGAGAAGGUAAAGGCUAUGAAAGAGUGGCCUACACCUAAAAGUGUAAGUGAGGUAAGAAGUUUUCAUGGUUUGGCUAGUUUUUAUAGAAGAUUUGUGAAAGAUUUUAGCACCCUUGCUGCACCAUUAACUGAAAUUGUGAAGAAACAUGUGGGAUUUAAGUGGGGUAGUGAACAAGAAAGGGCAUUUAAUCUAAUUAAGGAGAAAUUGGUUUCUGCACCAUUACUUGCUUUACCUGAUUUUACUAAAACUUUUGAAAUUGAGUGUGAUGCUUCAGGUAUAGGCAUUGGAGCUGUUUUGAUGCAAGAAGGGCGUCCAAUUGCUUACUUUAGUGAAAAAUUGAGUGGAGCAGCCCUAAACUAUCCUACCUAUGACAAGGAGAUGUAUGCAUUGGUGAGAGCAUUGGAAACUUGGCAACAUUAUCUUCUACCUAAAGAGUUUGUUAUACACACUGAUCAUGAGUCCUUGAAGCAUUUGAAAGGGCAAGGUAAGUUGCAUAAGAGACAUGCCAAAUGGGUUGAAUUUAUUGAGCCAUUUCCUUAUGUGAUCAAAUAUAAACAAGGUAAGGAGAAUGUGGUGGCUGAUGCAUUAUCUAGAAGGUAUGCACUUAUCUCUACAUUAAAUGCAAAGUUGUUAGGAUUUGAGUACAUUAAAGAAUUAUAUGUUAACGAUCCUGAUUUUGCUAAUGUGUUUAAUGCUUGUGAGAAAGUUGCAUUUGGUAAGUUCUAUAGGCAUGAUGGGCUUUUAUUUAGAGAAAAUAAAUUGUGUGUGCCUCAUAGUUCUUUGCGUGAAUUGCUUGUGCGUGAAGCUCAUGGGGGUGGUUUAAUGGGACAUUUUGGCAUUGCAAAGACUUUAGAUGUUUUAAAAGAACACUUCUUUUGGCCACAUAUGAAACGUGAUGUUGAAAGAAUAUGUGAGAAGUGUAUCACUUGUAAACAUGCUAAGUCUAGAGUUUUACCCCAUGGAUUGUAUAACCCUCUACCCAUACCUAGUGAACCUUGGGUUGAUAUUUCUAUGGACUUUGUUUUGGGUUUACCUAGGUCAAAAAGGGGAAGUGAUUCUGUUUUUGUUGUUGUUGAUAGGUUUUCAAAGAUGGCACAUUUCAUUCCAUGUCACAAAACUGAUGAUGCAACAAACAUAGCUAAUUUGUUUUUCAAGGAAAUAGUCAGGUUGCAUGGAGUACCAAGGAGUAUAGUUUCAGAUCGAGAUGCUAAGUUCUUGAGCCACUUUUGGAAAACUUUGUGGGGUAAGUUGGGUACUAAACUUUUAUUUUCUACUACUUGUCAUCCACAAACUGAUGGACAAACUGAGGUUGUAAAUAGAACUCUGUCUACUUUGUUGCGUGCCAUUAUUCAAAAGAACUUGAAAACUUGGGAAGAAUGUUUGCCACAUGUUGAAUUUGCUUACAAUAGAACUGUCCAUUCAGCUACUAAAUUUUCACCAUUUGAGAUUGUAUAUGGUUUUAAUCCAUUAACUCCUUUGGAUUUAUUACCUUUACCUAUUAAUGAGCGUGCUAGUAUGGAUGGUAAAAAGAAAGCUGAAUUUGUCAAGCAAUUGCAUGAGAGAACACGUCAACACAUAGAAAAGAGAACUGAACAAUAUGCUACUCAAGCCAACAAAGGACGUAAGCAAGUGGUUUUUCAGCCUGGAGAUUGGGUUUGGGUGCAUAUGAGAAAGGAGAGGUUCCCAGCACAAAGGCGUUCCAAGUUACUUCCAAGGGGAGAUGGUCCAUUUCAAGUGGUUGCACGGAUCAAUGACAAUGCCUACAAAUUGGAUCUUCCUGGUGAGUAUAAUGUGAGUGCUACUUUCAAUGUUUCUGAUCUUUCUCCUUUCGAUGUAGGUGAAGAUUCGAGGACGAAUCCUUUUGAAGAGAGGGGGAAUGAUGAGAACCAUCAAGGGACCAUUAAAACUUCAAGUGAUCCUUUGCACAUUCAUGGAGGCCCAAUUACAAGAGCAAGAGCCAAAAAUAUGGAAGCUGCUUUAAAUGGAUUAAUUGAGAAAAUAUGGAUUGAAAAUGCAAUUCAAGAUGCAAGACAUCAUGAAUUGGGAUUGAAGAGAAGACAAGGCAUUGUGGGCAUUAUUCAAGUCAUUGGGCAGCCAAAUACACAAGUUGUAUCAAAUGCAGAAAGGUCAAAUUCGGAAUAAAAACUGUAUUGAUUGAGCCAGAAUUAAAGUGCAAGCUAUAUACCGUUGGAAAGAUAAUUAAGUUAGCUUUCCAAUAAAUUUUACAGAGCUGGAUUUGGAGUUCUCUAGAAGGAGUUAUGACCAAUUCUUUACAGCUUGGUCAGACUUGGGAUUUUCAACGAAUCCUUUGUUUUUCAACUUAUUUGUUUGUUUUGUUUCAAGCUUGUCAAUGUGUAAGGUAAGUCUACCAUCAAUUAUGGUGGGCUAACAUUAAGUUUGUCAAUGAUAGCAUUAAUUAUAGUAGGCUAGCAUUAAGUUUGUCAAAGAUAGCAUUGAUUAUGGUGGGUUGGUGAAGACUUUUGAAACAUCUUUUGACAAACCUACUUGGAGGGUUGUUCCAAUGUUUCCAUUUGGAUUUUUAGGAUCUUGGGUUUCUUUUAGCCUAUUUAAAUUCAGCAACCUUGGUAUGUAAAAAAAUUAGAGAUUAAUGUUAUUUGAAUUUGAAAGAUUAUUCUUUCUUUGGUUCUUUUGAGAACUAGUGAACUUAUCAAGAAUUUGCAUUCUUGUGGCGUUCUAAAUUUAGACUUAUCACUCACCUUCUCAUCUAUUUCUUGAGUGUGGCGUCAAUAUCAUUCUCUAUACCUUUGGUUCAUGUUUUCUUAAGCAUUGGGUCAAGGUUUUGUUGUCAUAAAUCUGUUUAGAACUUUCUUGGGAAGUUGAAACUACAAAUUAAGUGUGGGAUUCAAAGUUUCAUUGUGGGAUUCACAACAUUUGGUAUCAGAGCUAGUUUCUAAUCAGGUUUGAAUGUCUUAUUUAUAUUGAUUAUCAAAAAGAAAAAAAAAAAGAGAAAAACGUACAAAAAAAAAAAAAGAUUACAAAAGGAUUCAAGUUCCUUGACAUAGUUUACACACAUAUCAAUUUUGUUGCUUUCCUUUCUUCAAUUUCCUUUUCAUUCUUUGUGUCUUCUUAAUUUCUUUUCUUUGUUAGUGUGCUGGAUUGUCAUAUUUGGUGUGCCACUUGGGUUUGCAAAAGAAAAAUAAAGAACAAAGUUUCAGCCAUGAAACACAUCCCCAUGAAUAAAUAGAAAACACGAAAACAAGAGAAAGAUAAGAAGGAUUGAGCUCUCAAUUGAUCUCUGCAAUUUUUCCUCUUGUGCAACCCUUAAUCUCUCUCUUGAAUCUUGUUUUUCUCCUUGGGUGACGGAUAUGUCUUUUCCUUAUGAUGUGUGCUUCUUUAAUAGUUGAAAAUCAAGGUAAACGAAAGCCUAAGUUGCGCAUAAGUCAAAUUAGGAAACUGCAGAUCGCAAUUCUGUAGGUAUCCCGCACAGAAUUUUCUCUGUCGUUGUUCUAGAAUUGCUACAGCAAUAACUACAACAACUGCACUGUUCCAGAUUUGUUUCAAUUCUUUUGUAGCCAAGUUCUUUCUCAUUUUUGCAAGCCUAUUGCAUCAUCCUUCCAUGAAUUAUAAGCUUCUGGAAACCUACAAUUAUGCACAUAAUUUGAGCACGAAUUACUUUAAAUUAAGUAAAACUAAUUAAGACUAAACUAAAAUGAAUAUUUAUGCAAAAUAUAACAAAAUGCAAUAGAAACACAUCAUUUACUUUCCAAGUAAUCUUGAUUUGAGUCUAAAAGUGUCAUGAUAACUCUCAUUUCAUAGAGUUAUCACUUUCCAUCUUCUUUUAGAAAACAAUAUGCAAAAUUGAUCUCUGUGACAUAUUCCGAGUGCCACGUUGGCAGUCGUCUCUCACGAGUUGACCGACGAACUUCUGGAGCCUCGGACUCGACUGAUUCUUGUUCCUCUUGCUCUGGUGCUGCUUCAGAAGAAUCUGAAUCUUUUGGAUUAUUUUUCACAUAUACCGGUACUGUCUCAGACUUUUCUUUUACAGUGCUAUCAUCCCUAUCUCUCAUUUGCAGUUAAUCUUCUACAAAGAUAACAUCUCUGCUGAUGACGAUCUUGUGAGCAGUGAGGUCUCAUAGACAAUAUCCCUUUACUUCAUCAACAUAUCCCAAGAAGAUACAUCUUCUAGAUUUUAGAUCCACCUUUGCUCUUUCUUAGGCAUUGUACAUCAUAUACACGGGACAUCAGAAUGCAUGUAGGUGAGAGUAAUCUGCUGGCUUUCCAGUCCACAUCUCCAUCGGAGUUUUCAACCCAAUUUCCGUAGAGGGCGGUCGAUUUACUAUAUAACAGGCAGUUUUGGCUGCUCUGCCCAAGAUAAAUUAGAUAGACCCGCAAUCUUUAAUAUAGCUCUUAUUCUUUCUGUAAGAGUUAUGUUCAUCCACUUCGCUACUCCAUUUUGUUAAGGAGUGUAUGCCACCGAGAACUGCCUCUGAAUACUUUCUUACUCACUGAAAGUAAGAAACUCGCUGUCUGUAUACUCUCCACCGUUAUUUGUCCUCAAGCACUUGAUUAUUUUUCCAGAUUCAAGUUUAACCCACGCUUUGUACUGUUUGAACACUGGAAACACAUAUGACUUUUUCUUGAUUGGAUACACUCAACAUCUCCUGGAAUAAUCAUUAAUGAAAGUUACCAUGUACCUUGCACUUCCCAUGGAUAUGUCUGGUGAUUCCUAAACAUCCGAGUGAACUAAGUCUAGAAUGCAUUUACUUCUAGCAAUAGAUCUACUGAACUUUAAUCUAUGAUGCUUACUUGUAACACAAUGCUCGCAAAAUGGUAAGCUUACCCAUUUGAGCCUUGGAAGCAAUUUUCGUUUAGAGAGAAUCUUCAAACCUUGUUCCGACAUGUGGCCGAGUUUGAGAUGCCACAUCAUCGUUGACUAUUCUUCAUUUGAUGCGACAUACACAUCAGCUUCCUGUAUUGUUUCACCUUUAAGCAUGAAUAGAUUAGCACCGAUCUUCUCUGCCUUCAUCAAUACAAGCACGCCUCUGGUAAUCUUCGUGAUCCCAUUUUCAACAUGAGUUUUGCACCAAUGACUAUCUAUUUGUCCCAAAGAUUAUAGAUUUUUCUUCAGGCUUUUGACAUGUCGUACCUCCUCAAUUGUGCAAAUUAUACCAUCAAAUAUUUUUAUUUUAACUGUACCAAUACCAGCGAUCUCCAAGGUAUGAUCAUCACCCAUAUAUACAGACCUUUCUGAGAUAGGUUCAUAUGUGUGAAACCAUUCUCUCCGAGAGGUCAUGUGCCAGGUAGCUCCUGAGUCUAUAAGCUAGACAUCAGAUAACUGUUUUCUGUCUUCUGUAAUAGUUGUUACCUCGCUGUAGAGAAUUUUGCCAUCAUAUGAGGUACUUACUACACACCCCUGAGUAUUUGAUGACUCAGGUUCUUUACCCUCUUUUCUCUUCUAGUUACUCCAACAGUCUUUCUUAACAUGCCAUUUCUUGCCACAAUUGUAGCAUUUGACACUCUUCUUACUUCUUGAUUUUGAUCUACUUUGAUUGUGACUCCCACUGAGGCCACGUUCCGUUGAUUUCCCUCUUGUCACUAAUAGUACUUCUGCUUGCUGCGAACUUACUUGUCUGUCUUCUUUACUUUUCUGCCUGCUCUCCUCAUUUAAUACGGAGGCUGCAAUAUUAUCAAAGACUAAACUGUCCGCCGGGAUAUUGUUUGUCAAAUUGAUGAUGAGUUGAUCAUACGAAUCUGAUAGAAUUUGAAGUAGAAGCUUUGAAUGUUCAUUUUUCUCUAUAUUAUGACCCAACGUUGUGAGUUUUGAAAAUAGAGUCUUUAAAGUGUUGAUAUGGUCAGUCACUGAUAUGGAUUCCGCCAUUCGAAGAGUAUAAAGUCUCAUUUUUAAGAAGAUCUUGUUGUGCAGCGACUUAGCCUCGUACAAUUUUGUGAGAGUAUCCCAUAUUUCCUUUGCUGUUUUUUUCUCUGCCACACUGGAUAAUACUUCAUCCGCAAGUGCCAAUUGUAAAUCAGAAAUGGCGUUGCCGUCUAUCUCGUUCCACUUGUCAUCAGUUAUCUCCAUGGGCAUUUCUCCAAUUGUUGCCAAGCAAUUAUUUUUCCUCAAUAUAGCUUUCAUCUUCAUUUUCCACAAUGAGAAAUUAUUCCUAUUGAACUUAUCAAUUUCAUAUUUUGCUACCAUCGCUUAUCACCACGAACUAACUUUGUUAGGAUUGGUUCAUACUGUUUCACGUGAAUAGUACCAUAUAUGUUAAUAGUAUCAUAUACGUAAACAAUACCGUACACGUGAAUAUUGCUUUUACGUGAAUAGUAUCCCGACUCUAAAAAAUAUAACCAGUAGCUCUAAUACCACUGUUAUGAAAUUUGUGGGUGAAGCAGGGCCACAGCUAAAAUGAAAUUGGAAUAUAAUAAAGAACAAGCAUAAAAGAGGACAACAGAAAAUUACGUGGUUCGGCUUUUAGCCUACGUCCACGGGCGAAGACAAAAGGAAAAUAUUUUACUAGUGAUAUGAGGAUUAUAAGUAUUGUAAUAUUUUGGCUCACUUCCCAGAACCUCAAUACACCCAAUCUCUCACUCACUAGACUUACAAGAGCUUUAUAAUUUCAAGCUCUUAAAAUCACUCAAGCUCUCUUCUUUCUCUCUCACAAAAAAUUGAAUUGCUUCUCUCUCAAAUGGAUGCAUAAAUGAGGGUGGGAAGCUCUCUUUAUAUAGCCAAAAUUUUGGCUACUUUUUUUUUUCAUAAUAAGUCAACACGGCACCACCAAGAAUGGCAGGCCGUGUUGAAUGACAUGGCACCACCCAUCUGGAUGGCCGGUGCCAGCCAUGACUUCAACACUCAUUGUUGUUGCGACUUGAGAUAUCAGAAUUAUUUUGUUGUGGCAGUGUGCGCUAGCAAUGUUACGGCUUACUCUGGUUUUUAGUGUAUAAUAUACUGCUUCAAUUGGAUUCUCCAUUACAAGGCAAUGAAGUUGGCUUUAACAUUUUUCUGUGGUCAUUAUUUUUGUAAUUUUAUUUGACAAAAAUGAUAUUUUCCUUGUGUAUUUGCCUCGAACAAUGCAAUUAUCUAGUUAUAAUGUUUUUGAAACAACAUCCAAAUCGCGUUAAAUAUCUUUUACCAUUCGAAAGUCUAUCUCAAUUUGUUAUUGGAAGUGCUUACCGAUGGAACAUGCUAAACAUUGAUACCAAAUGGAGCCCAAGUCUGAACUUUAUGAAAUCUAAAAUAGGUCCAAGUGCAUGUUUGUUUGUUUUCUGAAGCAUCUGAUUAUAAGUGUUUUAAACGUCAAGCUGUUUGUUUCCUUAGAAAAUGUACUAGUAUACACAUACUGGUUUAUGAGAACACCAUAGGAAUAUGUUGCUAAGAAACGGUUGAAAUGUUUUAAUGCCAAAGGAUAUUUUUUGAGUGGUAAAAGUUUUUGGUAACGGCAAAAAUCUAAAUAGAAAGUAGCCACUUUGUGCAAAAUGUUGAAGUGCAGCAGAAGAUUACUCCACCUCCCCCCCCCCCCCCCCCCCCCGGGGCCCCCAGCCCUCUUUUGUGCCUGAUGAUGGAUGGUGGUUGAUUUUUAUUACCUUUGUUUUACUGUAAAUUUGCAUGUUUACGCAAAUUGUUCAUUCAGAUUUGGGAUAUUUCCUUCAUGGGGUCUUUCUCAGAAGCGCCUUCGCGCAUUAUUGGACCAAAUAGAGGUCGUGAAAUAUCCAUGACAGCAACCCCUAUAACUGCUGAGCAAGGUGAGAGGUGGGGCCUGGUGAACCAUGUUGUUGAAGAAAGCGCGAGAAGUUGCUGAUGCAAUGAUAAACAACAAUCGAGACUUGGUGUUGAGGUAUAAGGCAGUUAUUUACAGGAGCGGGCUCACGACUACUACAAUGGAAUGACGAAGGAGCAGUUUAAGAAAAUGCAGGAGUUUAUAGCUGCUCGGAGUUCAAAGAAACCCUCUUCAAAGUUGUAAAUUCAACAAAUGAUCAGCGUGUCCUAUACGCGACUCUUUCAGAUUCAAUCAAUUGGUUCUUUCAAUCAUUUAUUUUUAGAAAAACGGGUAGUUACCAAUCCAUAAUUUUUCUAAACCAAUGUAAUUAGUUGAAAUUUGAAAGGGUUAAAAUAUUGUGGAGUUGAAUAAGACCAAAUUUGUGUUUUCAGUACCUGUGGCGACCCCUAUGUGGGAAAUCCAAUGUUUUUGGGCAUUUCUGUGUUCCAUGCAAAUAUUACCGUAUUGAAGACAACGAUCGUAACGACUGACGAGCUCUAGAGUUGAGCCCGUGCUCAAACGACGUCGUUGCAGUCUUCCAGGGAAAAUUUGAGAGAAACGAAAGUCAAGUCAAUAAUAAAUAUUAUGACUUAUUUACAAGAUUAGGAUUCGCUCCCCUGGAAAAAAAUUAGAAGUAAAUAAUUAAUUAAGAUUAUCUUGAUAGGGUGGGAAGUGGGAACUUAUUAAUGGUUAGCACUCGUAAGAAGGACAAAACUUAUAAUUACAUAUAAAACUUUUUGUGAAUGUCUCGCACAAGGGAAAAUGGAGGCAAAGCUUGGAGAGCAGCUAUGGCUUCAGAUUCUUUCAUUAUUUUUCCUGUUUUGUAGGGACCUUUUUUUAUUUUAUUUUCUCUAUGGAACUUUUUUAAUUAUUUUGGUUUAAAGCCUUAAAACUAUAAAAAUUUUGGUGAUUUUUUAUGGAAAAUUCUGACCUUUUUCUUCCACUUCUCGAUCUCUUCUAUUUCAUUUUCUAUAUCUGUUAUCAAUGAUGUGAGUAAUUGAUGUGUAAUUGAUGGGGCCCAACAGUAGGAGAAUUCAAAGUGCACUUUAGCCAAAAGGUAGUGAAUUUUUAUGGUGCUCCUACAGGUCACUAAUUAUGUACCUCCUGAAUCUAUAUAUACGCCUCUCUUAAAACUUCUUCACCACUUGCUUGCUGUUUUCUCAGUUCAUUUGCUUCCAUUUGCUUCAGAUUUCUCUUCCACUUGCAUGCUUCUUAAUCCAAUGCAGUGUUUAUAUAAUUAGUAGCAAGUAAAUUAAUUCACGUCCCUAACUCUUUUAAAAGUCUUGCUACCUCUUAUGAACAGAGAGAGAAAGCAGAGUAAUGGAAGUGCGGAGGUUUGAUUUUAAUGGUGGGUGCCGAGUUGAGAGAAUCACAACAACUGAUUCUCAUCAAUUCGCACGAAACCCUCCUCAAAGGUUUCUCCUCUCUUCUCGUCCUUCUCUUAAUUAUAUAUAAAUAAUUUCCUGGUGGUUUCAUUACAAAAUUUUGGUGGGUUUCACGUGGGAGAUAAAUGUAUAAUUCGUGAUUAGAUAUUAUGACUUUUUACUGCAGGCUACACGUACACUCCGAUUAUCAUCAUAUCGAGCAGUGUAACCCAUAUGAACGGACCAACUUUUACUAGGUGAGCAUCUACUUUCAGUUGCUAAAAAUAUAAUUCAGUUUCCAGUGUUCAUAGAUCUUGUUUGUAUAAAUGCAACGCCAUAUAAUAUAAAGUCAUUUAUUUCAUCUUGACAAAAUUUUGUCUUAAUUUGCACCAGAAUCAUACAAACGGAAGCUUGGCCAGGCUUUUUGAUCUGGCUUUUUAAAAGCCCUUGAUUUUGUGUUUUGUAAUUUCUUAAAAUUAGAGUUAAACUCCUAGCACCUCUUUAAUUAAAACUCUUAUGAAACGCCCACUUAUUAUAUGUAUAGCUCUUAUAAUUAAAUAUUUAACAUAAUUUUUUAUAAUAAAAAUCUCAUCAUUAUAUAAUUUAUUAUUUUAUUACCCCAAAAUUAUUUUCAUUUUUAAAAUAAUUAUUCAUAUCAUUUACAUAUGGGAGGGUUCAUGAUUGUAAGUGUAAAAAUGUUUUAAUUCAGUUCAAUUUAUAUUUGUCCUUUUAUGUAAUUUUCUUCUAGCAAUAGAGUUACGAUUACAAAAUGUAGGGUCUUAUAAGUAUUUUAAGAGGCAAUGAAAAGCACUACUCUUAAGAUUAUCUUCAUUAAAUUUCACAAAGAUAGUAACUUCUAUGCUUCUACCACCCCUUGAUUUUUCUUAUAAAGCCUUUCUUUUAUAUUUAUGAUUUCACCUUAAUAAGACCACAUAGAACGACAAAUUCAGUUUGAUUUUUUUUCUUUUAAACCUCCUUCUUUUGUAUAAUUUUAGCCAUGGUUAAAAUAGUUAGGCUAAAAGGAUUUAAAAUUUUUAAUGAUGGCCAAUUAUAUAUGCAGACACAUACCUGUGGAUGACAGCGGCAGUGGCCAAGAAGCAGCCAGAGUGGUGGCGGCAACGGCAGCGGCGGCGACGACAGUGGCAGCGGCCAUGAUUGUCUUUGUAAUAUAUUUGCCUUGUAUUCUCUCUCUCUCUCUCUCUCUCUGUGUGCAUUACAAUAAAAAUUAUCGUAAAUAAUAUGCCAGAGAAGGGGGAGGAAGCGCAUGAGAUGAGAAUGGCCCCAUGAUAGUGGACUUGAGCAAAGUCGCUGGUCCCUUUUGAAUUUUGUUGCCGUAGCUUUUAUCAUUGAAUUGGAAUUGCAAUUAAUUUGCUGUUUACUUGGAUAUGUGUGUAGGACUGUUCUCCAUAUGUUAAAUCAUGUUGGAAAAAUUAUUUGCUGAAUUGUUCGGUAUGCAAUUCAUGUGUUGAAAGAUUUAAGAGUUUUAGCCAUUAUGUUACUAGCCUGUGGUUUUCUAAGCUAGAAGAGACAUUAAAAAAAAAAAAAAAUUGAAAACGUGACAAAAUUAACAACAUUUGCAAACGUGAGCCGGUGGCUGAAGGAUCUGAGGACCAUGCAGACUCCAACAUCGUGAUCAUUAUGAUCGACAACGGGACUGAUGUGAAGCACCUCCCAACUUUCGAUGGUGAUGACCUCUGGCCCUCUGUUACUCUCAAUUUCUUCCCAUUUUGUCGUAUUCCUGCUUUGAUGUUUAUUUUUCACUCUCUUGAUGAUUUAUUGUUUAAACUUAUUUUUAUUUAAUUUUUGUUGAGAUAUCAGAAUUAUUUUGUUAUGGUAGUGUGCACUGGCUAUGUGUGACAGCUUACUCUGGUUUUUCAUAUCCUCUUUUUUUUUUUUUUUUGGGGGGAUAAGUUUCAAAAAUUCUUUUACAAGGCAAUGAAGUUGACUUUUACAUUUUCUUUUCUAAUUUGUACCACGAUGUAGACCCUUUUUUUGGAAAAACACUACUCGCAAAAGUGGCCUUUUCUCCCACAGUUCCCCAAUUCCGGCUUACGUCCUGAAUCUUAAUUUAUACCUCCUCAAGCUUGUUCAUCACUUGCUUUCUGUGUUUUGAACUUGACUGUUGACUCGUCAUUUUUUUUUUUUUUUGACUUGUCAUCUAUCUCUUCAUCCCUAAUUCCGUUUAUGUCCCUACCUUCCUAAAUCUAUAUAUGCGCCUUCUCUCCUACAGCUUGUUCCCCACUUGCUUGCCGUUUUCUCAGUUAAUUUGCUUCCAUUUGCUACAUCUUCCUCUUUCACUUGCAUGCUUCUUAAUCCAACGCAGUGUAUAUAUAAUUAGUAGCAAGUAAAUUAAUUCACGUCCCUAACUCUUUUAAAAGUCUUGCUACCUCUUAUGAACAGAGAGAGAAAGCAGAGUAAUGGAAGUGCGGAGGUUUGAUUUUAAUGGUGGGUGCCGAGUUGAGAGAAUCACAACAACUGAUUCUCAUCAAUUCCCACGAGAGAGGCGUGGCCCUUCUCAAAGGUUGCUCCUCUCUUCUCGUCCUUCUCUUAAUUAUAUAUAAAUAAUUUCCUGUUGGUUUCAUUACAAAAUUUUGGUGGGUUUCAAGUGGGAGAUAAAUGUAUAAUUCGUGAUUAGAUAAUUUACAAAAUUUUGGCAGGUUACACACUAGGAUUAUCAUCAUAUCGAGCAGUGUAACCCAUAUGAACGCACCAACUUUUAUUAGGUGAGCAUCCUCUUCAGUUAUGAAAAAUAUAAUUCAGUUUCCAAUGUCCAUAGAUCUUGUUUGUAUAAAUGCAACACCAUAUGAUAUAAAGUAAUUUAUUUCAUCUUUGACAAAAAUUUGUUUUAAUUUGCACCAGAAUCAUACAGAUGGAGGGCCUUUAAAAGCCCUUGAUGUUGUGUUUUGCAAUUUCUUUUCUUUUCUCUCUCCCUCUUUUUUUUUUUUUAGAAUUUGUGUUUUGCAAUUUCUUAAAAUUCGAGUUAUGCUCCUAGCACCUCUUUAAUUAAAACUCUUAUGAAAAUCUCACUUAUUAUUUGUAUAGCUCUUAUAAUUAAAUAUUAAACAUAAUUUUUUAUAAUAAAAAUCUUAUCAUUAUAUAAUUUAUUAUUUUAUUGCCCCAAAAUUAUUUUCAUUUUAAAAUAAUUAUUUAUAUCAUUUACGUAUGGGAGGGUUCAUGUUUUUUAAGUGUAAAAAUCUUUUAAUUCAAUUAAAUUUAUAUUUAUCCUUUCAUGUAAUUCUCCCCAAGAUUAUCUUCAUUAAAUUUCACAAAGAUAGUAAUUUCUAUGGUUCGACCACCCCUCGAUUUUUCUUAUAAAGUCUUUCUUUUAUUAUGAUUUCACCUUAAUAAGACCACAUAAAACAACAAAUUAAGUUUGAUUUUUUUUAAACCUCCGUCUUUUGUAUAAUUUUAGCCAUGGUUUAAAUAGUUAGGCUAAAAGGAUUUCAAAUAUUUAAUGAUGCAACGAAGGGAAAAGUAUCCAAAUCAAGGGGACAAAAAAGCGUUGCCCCAUAUAGACUAACUAAGAACGAUCCAUCAUCAAAUAAUGAUAGAGAAAGCGGGGCUAAAGAGUAUACACUGCAACUAUAUACUACUUUGAUGUAAAACUUUAUUAUGCAAACUAAGUAAUUAUAUCUUAUUUUGAUGGUUUUGCAGUUUGGAAAUUUUGCCAUCGGCACCAUACCACACACUAUUUCUAUUUCUAAUUCCAUUGCUUGUCGAAGUUAUUGAGAUUAAUAAUGUUCAAGAUGAAAAGAAAAUGUUGAUCGAAACAAAUCCAAUGAGUAUGUGCCUGUUUUUGUUGGCUCUAUUCAUGUAUGCCUUUGCAUAUUUUGCUGCCAUGAAAUUGAAGCGCCAAAUAUUCAAGGCAAUUGCUGUCAUCUCAGGAUCUCUUUGUUCAGUCUCGUUGGUCUCUAUUAUUCUGCCACAUCCAUAUGGACAUUUUAGUUUCAUUAUGUGGGGUUUUGUUCUUCUUCUUGUUGCUUAUAACAAGAGGCUUCAUAAGAAGAUUUGGCAAUUUUGGUAUAGAUUUGGAGAAAACAACCAACAACUAUUGCCAAUAUAGUUUGAUCGCCUGCUAGGUGUGGAGGAAUUAAAAUUUUCCAUGCAAGGUACCAAAAAUCAUUCAAGUGUUAUGAUAGUUUAUUCACAUACACAUCUCUUAUAGUUCUUAGCUUGACCAAAUUAUGAUUUUAAUUAUCAAAAGAAGAUCAUGUACCAGUCGAAAACAUCAAGUUAGUGUUAAACUGAUCAAUUUAUAUUGAAGAUUUUGUUUGUUCAUUUACUUACCACAUUUAUCUUGAUGCAUUGAUUUAGGGAAAAUAAUCAAAAUCCUUGGUUGUUUAAGAAAAAAUUCAUUAACUUUAAUUUCAAACUUUUGUUAUAUAUCUAUAUACCAUUAAACAAUGAAAAAAAAUCUAGAUAUCCUGGUUAAAACACGCCAAAAAAAGUCACAUUUUUUUUGUUACAGCAUGAGUAUUCUGAUGAAUUGUGACAGGGGAAUUGAUUAAUUUCUACAAACCCAAUGGAGUUUAAUAACACAAAUUUCAAAAGGUAUUUAUUGAUAAAAGUAUAAAUAAAAUACAGCACUUCAAAAAAGGAAACAAUGAAAAAAAAAUUACCAUUUGGCUGAGGAGUAAUGUUGUUGCGUGAUCAAUUUUUUUUUCCCGUACCUUGUCGAAGCUGGUACUAAAACUAAUCAGUAAAAUUAAAAAAUAAUAAAUUGCCUUUACUAAGCUAAAUGCAUAAAUCAAUUAAGCUUUUUUUUUUCAGAAAGAAAAUUAUAUGCAGACACACGCCUGUGGAUGACAGCGGCAAUGGCCAAGAAGCAGCCAGAGUGGUGGCAGCGGCGGCGGUGACGACUGUGGCAGCGGCCAUGAUUGUCUUUGUAAUAUAUUUGCCUUGUCUUCUCUCUCUCUCUCUGCAUUACAAUAAAAAUUAUAGUAAAUAAUACGUCAGAGAAGGGGGAGGAAGCACAUGAGAUGAGAGUGGCCCAUGAUAGUGAACUUAAGCAAAGUCGUUGGUCUCUUUUGAAUUUCGAUGUGCAGUUUUUUAUCUUUUUUGUGUGGAAAAUUCUCAUUUACACGUGCAUUACAACCAAAAUUCUAGCACACAUUAAAUCAAUAGUCUAUCGUAGUAAUUACAUAAUUAAGUAACAAUGCUUUAAGAAUAAUGAUGUGUGUACAGUAAUUUUGUGAAAGAUAAAAAAAUAUCGCAGUCAAAUUUUUUUAUCCUAUAGUGAUCGUGUACUGUUUUUUGUACUAUCUAUUGUACACAUGCCACUAUUCUUUUUUUUUUUUUUAAUUCAAUUACCACGUUUGGCCUAAAACAUUGAUUUAGGGAAAAUAAUCAAAAUCCCGGGUUGUUUAAGAAAAAAAUCUAUUAACUUUAAUUUCAAAAUUUUGUCGUAUUUUUUUAGUAUUUUACUUUUGAUGUGAUAAAAUCCACCGAUAAUGAAAGAGAACUUUUGGUACAUAUUAGUUAAAAAAAAAUAUUAAAGUUCACAUAAGUUUUUUUUUUUUUUUAACAACAUGAGUAUUUUGAUGAAUUGUUAGAGAGAAUUGAUUAUCUUUUACAAUCAAAACAUGGGAUUUAAUCAUCUUCAUGAUUUAUCACCUAUGUGCAAAGUACAAAUAAAAUACAACACUUCAAAAAAUAGAACAAUGAAAAGAAAAUUACCAUUUGGCUGAGGAGUAUAUGCUGUUGCAUGAUCAAUAUUUUUUUAACUCCCAUUUCCAGGCUGGUAAUAAACUAAUAUCACCACAUAAAUCAAUAAAUAAUAUUUGCUAAGGUAAAUACAUAAAUCAAUUAAGCUUUUUUUUUCUUGUCCGGGGGUGGACCCAAGACUUAAUAUUAUCUCAGACUAAAUUUUAAAAUUUAUUUUUUGAAGUGAACAUAAAAAUUUAUAAGUAAAAAUAAGUAUAUUAAAUAAGCAGGAACCCCAAGAACUUUACCCCUCUAAAAAUGUACUAUAAACAAAAAUAAUUAUAAAAAAAAUAGAAAACAAAAGGCAACUCAAAUAUGAAAACAUUAUUUUUCAAUUGUAGAAUUUGACAUUGCAACCUAUAAUAACAUGGAAUUAUGUAAGGAUUAAAAAAUCAAUCAAGAAUUUCAAAUUAAAAUAGAUUAAUAUAUGUAAUUACAAUUAAUUAAAAAUUGCAAGUGAAACUUUUAUAUUUGAAGUGAAGUACUAAAUUACCAGACUUCGUAAAAUUAAACAAUUAAAAUUUAUUAAACCUUCCAAAUUGUAAAAGUAUUAUUAGUCAAAGUUUCAAUAAUAAACUAAACUCAACUCAGCAAAAAGAUAUUUGGGUAUAGUUGUUUAUUUGUCAAGUGCUUUGGCACUCUUUAAAGAGCUAGAUGUUGAUGAUUCUUAUAUCAAAAGCUUCUUAAAAUACUCAAAUUUUAUUUUUUAACUAAUUCAUAUAAAAUUUUUAUAAAAAUAUUGAUAAUUGUUAAUAUAUAUUGUUUCCGUAAGUACUUUUAAUACUAGUAACGAUGUUAUAUUACAUUGAUAUAUAUAUAUAUAUAUAUUUCAAUUAGAAGUUUUUUAAAUAAAUUAAAGCGGUAAUAAAUUAAAUUUUAACUCCUUAAUGUUUUCAAUCUAUUCAAUAAAUAUAUAAUUUAAUCAUUUUAUAAAUAAGUCACUAAUUUCAAUUGAAAAUAAUAUCAUUGAAUUAGGGAUAUAUUUAUAAAUAAAAUAAAAAUUCUAUUGUUAUAUAAAAUCGAUGAAAACACAAAGGUAAUUGACGUCAGAUUAUUUGUAUGACGUCGGCCAUGUAUAUUGUCUUUAUAACAUAUUUGCCUUGUCUUCUCUCUUUCUGCAUUACAAUCAAAUUUCUCGUAAAAUAAUGAGCAGAGUGCUGCUAAAUAGCCAAAACAACGGGAGAACCUCGAUAGAAACGGCAUCACAUGCUGCCGUUUUUGGGCUCAUCCUCUCUUUUUGUUUUUGACAAUAAAAAGUUAAAAAAUAAUAAAAAAUCACAGGAAAAUCAAGGCAAUAUAAACCUUAUCCUCAUAACACCAUAUCAGAAACAGCACUUACCCAAAACAGUUUGAAGUUGUCAUCUCUGAGUCCAAAGCAAUAUUCAUCCAAUUGAUUUUUGGAGACACCAAAACAAGUGUCGAGCACUUGAUGGCCCCCGUGGAGAUUGGAGAGGCUUUUGAUAAAUUUUAUGAAAUGAACUAACACACAUAAAUUGGAUAUAUAGAUGAUCGAAAAGAAACUCCAGCGACUAGGCCCCAAAUAUAGCUUUCGCUCCCUUGUCUCUGAAGGAAUUUGCCCAUCUGGUGAUUCCAAAGUUCAGUUAAUUUUCUAAAAUGAUUUAUACUCUGCUUUAGGCAAUUUCCUUGCAGCAAAACUUUCUGCAGAUUCUAUAUUAAAUGUCUAAAACAUCAAAAAACAAAGAAUGAAUAUUUUCUUUUGUAUUGAAAAAGCAUUAAAGCCACAAAACUUUAGAGAUUAUUCCUUAAACAACUUUAGGCCCCAAAAAAAAAAGUGUACAAGAAUUUAAUUUAAAAGGAGGUAAAGGAUUCCUACCAACUUCUCUAUUCACACAAAAUAACUGGUCGUUUAGGAUAUGAUUCUACAACAUCUACUGAUCUUCUUUAUUAUUAUUAUUUUUAAUUUUUUAUUGCCAAAAAAGCAAAGAGAGAGAAUGGGCCCAAAAAUAACAGCAUAUGAUGCCGUUUCUGUCGAGGCUCUCUUGUUUACUUGACAAAGUCGCUGGAUCCUAUUGUAUUUUGAUGUCACAAUUUUUAUCUUUUUGUGUGGAAAAUUCUCAUUUACAUAUGCGUUACUAUCAAAUUUCUUGUAUAUAUUAAAUCAAUAGUCUAUUUUGUUGAUUAUAUAAUGAAUUAAACAAUGCUUCAUUAAUUAAUUUUACAUUCUCCCAGCUUUUAGAGCUCAUAUUGCCACAGUUUAUCAAACAACAAAAAUGAAACCAAGUUUUUGAUUUAAGAGGAAAACAUAAUUAUAUCAAUUAAGUAGUGUACUUUAAAUUAAUAGAUUUUUUUAGUCUCAAACUCUUAAUUUAUCAAAAUUCGUCUGAAGCUGCCAUUUAAUAUAUAUGUACCAGUAAGUGAGCCAACUAAAUUGACACCUCAGAGAGAAAACCUACACAAUCUAAAAAACAAUAAAUAUCAAAGCCAUCAGUGCCACUUUAUAUAUAUAUAGAAAUGUUAAAAUUUAGAAUUUUAAAGUACGGGAAUGUCUGAAAAAAUGCAUAAACCGUACGGUUUUAGCGCUUUAAGUUUUAAGCUUUUAAAAUCUUGUGGUUUUAAAGAUUUUUUGGAUUUUUUCGUACUUUAAGAUUUCGAACCAGAAAACAACUAAUAAUAAUAAUAAUUAACAAGAAAAGAAACUACUUUAAGAAUCUGUUUGUUUAUUUAUUAUUCGUUCUUGGUGUUUAUGAUGUAAUUAUAAGUUUGUUAGGAAGCUUCUUCUUCUUCAAAUUAUUUUGGAACAUCAACCAUAUAGGUACUUUUAAUAAAAAAAAUAAAUAAAUAAAACGAUUUAGAUAUUUUUCUCUUUUUAAAUUAUUAAUUUACUUUUGAGUUGACUAGCUUAUACAUUGACUAAAAGAAUUGUGGACUGAAAGUUUUGAACUUGAUAUUUUUGUAAGUCUUGCGUGAGUCUGUGGCUUGAAAUUGAAAGACAUUAUUAGCUGGAAAGUUAAAAUACUUUUUAGAUUUCUUUGUUCCUUCAUGUUUACUGCCUAAGGUGAAUUAUUUUUAUAUUCUUUUUGGAACUUUGAUAGAAUUAUGUCUAUUAAAACUAUUUAUUUUUCCGUGAAUUCACAUUAUAGUUACUUGGUAAAUUAUUCUGAACGAAACUUAUCUUAGAAAAGAAUACACAUAUCUUAAGAGCCCGAAUGCAUCAAUUAUUUGAAUAAAACGAAGAAUUCAGGAAAAUCUUGAAAACUUCUUUUUUAGUUAGGUCUACGAGUAUGAAAACUUGUUUCGGCUUUCCUCCAUGGAAAUUUUGAAAAGAAAAUGAAAAAUUUUUAUGUGGGUUUUAAAAGUUCAUAAGCCAAAAUCUCAUAAUCUUAUUCGGCUCCAUUGCUCUCUUCUCUAGUUCGAGAAGCUCUAGGCUUACUUAGCAACAAUCGGCAAAGUUGUCUAAGUGCCGCACGGGUUAGCUACGCAAAAUACUCAUCCCGUGACAAGUGGUAUCAGAGCUAAGGUUUGCACACACGGAAGUUAGCUCACGAGCAAUGGCAAUCCUUCGAAUCCAGCACAAGAGGGUGUUGUUGGUGUGGACAUUCCACCGGAACCAAGCCGCGGCCGUGAGGGAGAACGCGCCCAAGGCAAGACUCGCGGCAAGUCCAAGGCCCCAUCCGUGGAUGCGUUGGAGCCUCGUGUAAGCACUUUCGAAAUCGCAUUGUCUGCCGCUCAAGAUAGCCUCGAGGGAUUGGAGGAACAAGUGGACAGUCUUGAGGGGGAAUAUGCCGAGUUCACGGUGGCAACAAAAGCUCUCAUCCAAGAGCAAGCGAACACUCUCCGAGGUGAGUUUCGUUCCUUUCAUGAUGAUUUGCUCAAACUUCGUAGUUUUGUUCAGGAUGAACUACGCGCUGUCCGUGCGGAAGUGGAUGAAGUCCGCUCGGAUUGGGCAUGGCACAAGCGCACACUCUCCGCAAGUCCAGCUUCUGCAAACUCGAGUGAUGCGCGCCGCAUUGACGUGCCAAAGCCCGACACAUACGAUGGCACACGUAAUGCCACCAUCGUGGACAACUUCCUAUUUGGGCUUGAUCAAUACUUCGAUGUCAUGGGUGUUCAAGAUGAGGCAUCGAAAGUGGGCAUUGCACCCACCUAUCUUCGAGGCUUCACACAACUAUGGUGGCGUCACAAGCAUGGCGAGAUGGGCAAGGGCAUUUGCACCAUCGACACUUGGGCCGACUUCAAGCAAGAAUUCCGAAAGCAGUUCGCCCCAAGCAAUGCGGAAAAGGAAGCUCGAGCGCACUUACGUCGCCUCAAGCAAUCGGGUAGCAUUCAGGACUACAUCAACGAGUUCACUACCCUUAUGUUGGAGAUAAACGACAUGUCCGACAAGGAUUCGCUCUUCUACUUCUAAGACAGCCUCAAGGAUUGGGCUAUGACCGAGCUUGAUAGGCGUGGUGUUCAAACACUUGACGACGCCAUCGCCAUUGCGGAGUCGCUCACCGAAUACUCUAUCCAAUCCAAAGACAAAAAGGCCAACCAAGGCAAAGGUGGGGGAGAGAGUCGCAAGGACAAGGGCAACAACUACAAAGAUUGGGGGCAGAAAAAGCCACCUAGCAACAAGAGCGGGCAAGGAAAAUCGGAGGGCAAGAAAGAGGCGCCAAAGCCGCGAAGCCCAUGCUUCAUAUGCAACGGUCCUAAUUGGGUACACGACUGUCCGGAGAAGAAGUCGCUCAACGCUCUUGCUGCCCAACUCAAGAGCAACCCCACAAUGUCCACGGAGGAACCCCAACUCAGCAUGGGUUCUCUCCAACGCCUCGGCGCACUCAACCGCCAACAACCCGCACUCGUCAAGAAAGGGCUCAUGUAUGUAAGCGCAAAGGUAAACGGUCAGUCUGUUCGCGCGCUGCUAGACAUGGGAGCGACGCACAACUUUGUGUCCGUAGACGAGGCCAAGCGCUUAGGCCUCGAGGCCAAGCGCUUAGGCCUCAAGGCCACCAAAGAAGGAGGCACAAUGAAAGCGGUGAACUUACCCGCUAAGCCAAUUGCGGGGGUCGCACAAGGCGUGCACAUUACGCUCAGUAUGUGGAGCGGAAAGCUUGACUUCUCCAUUAUUCCCAUGGAUGACUUCAAGAUGGUCCUCGGCAUGGAAUUCUUCGACCAAGUCCAUGCCUUCCCGCUGCCCGCUACGAACUCCUUAAGCAUCCUUGACGGGAGCAAAGCAUGCAUGGUACCCGCGGAGCGAGGCAAGUUUGAAGAGAAGACACUCUCUGCCAUGCAAUUCAAAAGGGCUUUCAAGAAGGACCCAAGCUUUUUGGUCUCCAUUCGGGAACUAAACGAGGAAGGAAAUAGCAUAACCUCGCCAAGCCAAGUCCCUCCACGAAUUCAAGCCGUCCUCAAUGAGUACAAGGACGUGAUGCCUCUAGAACUUCCGAAGAAGCUCCCACCUCGACGAGAGGUAGAUCAUGCAAUCGAGCUAGAACAAGGCACGAAGCCACCAGGCUUGGCGCCCUACCGCAUGGCGCCGCCCGAACUAGAGGAGUUGCGGAGACAACUCAAAGACUUGCUGGACGCAGGCCCCAUUCGGCGCACUGGUCCUCUUCCAAAAGAAAAAUGAUGGAUCGCUACAGAUGUGCAUUGACUAUAGUGCGUUCAACAAGAUCACCAUCAAGAACAAGUAUCUGAUUCUCUUGAUCGCGGACUUGUUCGACCAGCUUGGCAAAGCACGACACUUUACCAAACUCGACUUGCGCUCCGGGUACUACCAAGUACGCAUCGCCAAGGGAGACGAACCAAAGACAGCGUGCACAAUAAGGUACGGGUCUUUCGAAUUCCUUGUGAUGCCUUUUGGCCUUACUAAUGCACCCGCCAUAUUUUUUACGCUCAUGAACAAGGUGCUCCAACCAUUCCUCGACCGCUUCGUGGUCGUACUUGGACGACAUAGUGGUGUAUAGCACCACGCUCGAGGAUCAUGCCCAACAUUUGCGACAAGUCCUCCAAGUACUUCGAGACAAUGAGCUCUUCCUCAAAUUGGAGAAGUACUCGUUUGCCCAAUAAGAGGUGGAGUUCCUUGGCCACAAGAUUGCGGGCGGGAAGCUCAUGAUAGAGAAUGUCAAAGUGAAGGCCAUCCUUGAAUGGGAACCUCCCACGAGAGUGCCCGAGCUUCGCUCAUUCCUUGGGCUGGUAAAUUACUACCGCCACUUCAUCAAGGGCUACUCAGCCAAGGCGGCACCUUUGACGGAUAUGCUCAAGAAAAACAGAACGUGGCAUUGGUCCGAAGAAUGCCAACGCGCAUUCGAGGAGUUGAAAAGAGCAAUUUCGGAGGAACAAGUCCUCGCCCUUCCUGAUCACACUAAACCCUUCGAAGUCCAAACGAAUGCCUCGGAUUUCGCUAUAGGAGGAGUCCUCAUGUAAGAAGGCCACCCUAUAGCGUUCGACAGUCGAAAGCUAAAUGAUACGGAAUGCCGCUACACGGUGCAAGAAAAUGAGAUGAUAGCCAUCAUUCAUUGCUUGAGGGUGUGGCGACAUUACUGGCUAAGCUCUCACUUCACGAUCAUGACGGAUAAUGUGGCGACAAGCUACUUUCAAACUCAAAAGAAGUUGAGUCCGAAGCAAGCACGGUGGCAAGAUUUCCUUGCGGAAUUCGACUAUCGGCUCGAGUACAAACUGGGGAAAGCCAAUAUCGUUGCGGACACUCUAAGCCGCAAAGCGAAAUUGGCAACACUUAGCAUGAGCCAACAGAAGUCCGACCUUGUCUCACGCAUCAAGGAAGGUCUCCAACAAGAUCCGCUAGCAAAGGACGUGCUGGAGAAGGUGUUCGAGGGAAAGACAAGGCGCUUUUGGCAAGAGGAAGACAUCCUCCUCACCAAGGGAGAUCGGCUAUGCGUGCCGAGGUGGGGAAACCUACGGAAGGAAGUGUUCAAAAAGUGUCACGACUCCAAGUGGCCUGGUCACCCAGGAAUCGAGCGCACCACCGCACUAGUCCAAGCGUCGUUUUUUUUGCCGCACAUGAAGGACGACAUCGAGGCAUAUGCGCGAACUUGUCUUGUGUACCAACAAGACAAGGUGGAUCAUUAACUUCCAGUGGGAUUAUUGGAGCCGCUACCGCUAGCAACAAGGCCAUGGGAACGUGCCUCUAUGGACUUUAUCACAUCGCUGCCCAAGUCCGAAGGGUGCGGUAGCAUCAUGGUUGUUGUCGACCGAUACAGCAAGUACGCCACAUUCAUUGCCACACCAGCCGAUUGCAAAGCGGACGAGGCAGCCCGCCUAUUCGUCAAGCACAUGGUGAAGCUUUGGGGAGUUCCGAAGAGCAUUAUGAGCAACCGAGACCCUCGGUUCACUGGGCGUUUUUGGACGGAGCUCUUCAAGAUGUUGGGGAACGAUCUCAAGUUCUCGACAAGCUUCCACCCACAAAUGGAUGGGUAGACCGAGCGCAUCAAUAGCCUCAUCGAGAUGUACUUGAGGCAUUAUGUGACGCUCAUCAGUGGGAUUGGGCGAAACUACUCGACAUCGCUUAAUUUUCUUAUAACUUGCAGCGAAGUGAGGCUACGGGCAAGAGUCCAUUCGAGAUCAUCAUAGGAUUCCAGCCCAUGACCCCCAACACCAUAGCCUCGAUUUACGGAGGGAAAAGCCCCGCGGCACACAAGCUCGCCCGCGAAUGGCAUGAGGAAGCGGACAUCACGCGAGCCUACCUCGACAAAGCCGCGAGGAAAAUGAAGAAAUGGGUGGAUACAAGGAGACGGCAUGUUGAGUACAAGGAAGGUGAUCAAGUCAUGAUCAAGCUCCUACCCCAACAAUUCAAGACUUUGCGGAAAGUUCACAAGGGGUUAGUGAGGCGCUACGAGAGACUCUUCUGAGUUGUUCGAUGUGUUGGCAACGUCUCGUAUCAAACUUCAACUUCCGCCAAGACUCAAGAUCCAUCCGGUCUUCCAUGUGAACCUUCUCAAGCUAUAUCACGAAGACAUGGGAGACCCAAGUCGUGGAGAAUCGAGGCGCGCGCCAACCGCCGUUGUCACCGCGUUCGACAAAGAUGUGGACUACAUCAUUUCGGACCGCACGGUUUCAAGGAGGGGCGUGCCAGCACAUAGCGAGUACUUGGUGAAGUGGAAAAACCUCCCCGAGAGCGAAGCCACUUGGGAACGUGAAGAUGAUUUGUGGCAAUUCGCUAAGCACAUCCAGAAUUUCAAGCACGAAAGCUCGACGUGGACGCCGCGAGGAAGUGCUAGAAUUCUCUAGAAUCUCUAGAGUUUGGCAAGCCUCCCUUAUAAAUAUGGGAUGGCAUUAGGCAUUUCCAUUCAACAAACACAACAACAAGCAUUGAGCACUCAAGUAUUGUAAUCUCUCUUUUGUGCAAUACAAGUUUUCUUAUUCGGCUCCAUUGCUCUCUUCUAUAGUUCGAGAAGCUCUAGGCUUACUUAGCAACAAUCGGCAAAGUUGUCUAAGUGCCGCACGGGUUAGCUGCGCAAAAUACUAAUCCCGUGACAAACAACUCCCCUCUGAAACGUCAUAUGCCACUAUUCAUACAAUUUUAUUAUUUAAAUUAUUGAACCAAGGCUGAGAAAAAGAAAAAAAAAAAGAAACAAAUUCUUUCAGAGUUGUCUGUUACUACUACAUGGAGAAAUGACGGGGAGUUGCAGUUUCAGAGGUGAGGGAGGGUUUCGUAAAUUUCAUAAUUUUUUUCGUUAUUCAAUUUAUAAUUUUUUUUGGAGUAAUGAAAUGUUUGUAAUAUCAUUGAUUGGUUUAUCUAUUAGUAUCCUUAUAAUUUUAUCUUGCUUCAAAUUCUUAAAUGGGCCAUAUGCAUCAAGUGUUCGAUCAAAUGUCUGAAUGCGUAAGCAAAUACUAGUUGGCUAAUUUUGAACAUGUUAAUCGGUUUACAAAUUGAUAUAUCAGAGUUCAACUAAUUUCAUGUAUUUUCAUUAUUAACAUAGUAUGAGUUGUUAUCGAUGAAGUGAGAAUAUUAUGUAGUGGAAUGAAUAAUUGAGCAGGUGCUUUAAGAUUCAAAGUCUCUAGAGAAUGAUCUUAACAGAACGUUCUGUUUUUAUGGCUUUGAAAAGAAAUGUAAAUUUGUAGAGCGAAGUGUGAAGGUUAGAAAUUAUGAAGACGAGAACAUAUUGUUAUUUUAUAUUCAUAAGUAAAUGAGAAUGCGUCUUCAAAUGAUAAAGAUCAGACAUUUUUAUAUGAAUUUGUGUAAAAUUGGAAGGGUGUUCGAAAGGCGUAGUUAAAAAAUAAAGCAAUAAACCUUGUUGUUAUUUCAUUUGCUCAUUUGCUUGAAAGGGUGACCCUUUAUCGUAGUAUAAUUCCUAUUGAUAAUUUUGAUAUUUAAUGGUAACCAUCUGUUGUUAUUUAUUUACUGGAUAAAUUUCGCUUGUGAGCCUCCCCUUUUGUUGUUGUUGUAAGGAAUUGAGUAUCAGUAAUUUAAGUUGACAACUAGUUAAGUUAGUAAGAAUGCCAAAAACUGUUAAAAGUACGCAAGUUUGAUACCAAUUACAGGGCAAAGACUAUGUAUCCAAACCAAUACUGCUAUUGUUCAGUGUGCUUAAAAUCAUGUUACUGCUCAACAAAAUAAUUGUAUUAAUUUGUUCUCGUGGGUUCUCUGUUUUUUGUUAUACUCAGAACGUAAUGCCACGAUUAUUUAUUAGUUUAAUUUUUUGGUAUGUAAUAUUAGCCUUUACUUGGUGGCAUUACUGUUGAUGAGUCAGUAGAAAGUAAAAAACGCAAGAUUAAGAAGGAAGUGAUGCUUUUAUAAUUAUGGUUUCCAUAUUUAUGAAUUUCAGACGUUUGAGUGUUUAAUGGAAAGGAUUAUGUGGUGGUAAUAGCCUCAUAUUCAUUGCUUAUGAACUCGAUGUCUUCUCAAUUGUAGACUACAUUAAAGAUAACUGAUAUAAGGAAUUUGAGUUUACCCAAAUGAUAAGGAUAAAGCCUCAAUAUGAUUCCCUUUUUCAACUUAUGUAUUUUAUGAGCAUUUCUUCCAUUCUUUAGAUUACAUAGAGGGUUUUUUUGCCUCUGCCCUUGUUGGCAUUCAUAUAUUUUGGGAAUUUAAUGUUGUAGUCAUUAGUCAGCAUGCUUCAAUUCUAGCUGACGUUAUUAACUUGAAGCACUUAGUUUAUAUUUUGAAUUUUGGUUUAUUUUAUCAUUUUCUUGGCAUAAUAGGAAAAUACAAUAAAAGGUAACAUUUUAGUCUUUGAAUGGUGAUGAAAGCAAAGGCUAUAGCUCUCCUCUAUUACUUACAUUAUCCAUCACCAUUUAUGUCACCUGUGAAUGAAAUAUGAAGAUCUUCUUCCAAAAAAUGCAGAAAUGUAGAAGGUGAGAAAUAAACUCUUAACAAUCAAGUUGUAUUUGAUCUUACCUUAUAUGUAAUGUGAUUAUCCUGCUUGCUAUGCAAUUUAAUGGAACUUUUUGUUUAUGUAAAUUGUAGAUGGGUCAAUGCAGCAGUUAGGACGCUUGUGGGUUGCUUCCCAGGAACCAGAGCAAGCUACUAUUAUUGCAAUGAGAAAAGAAAGUUGAACUUUGCUGAGAAAGAAGGCAGCGUGGGAAAUGAUGUUUUUACAUUAUGUGUGUAAAUCGUAGAACAUGUCUGUGUAUAUAAAAUUGUGUCAUGCAUGUUUAACCUGAUAAGCGUAUAAAAAGAAAGUUGAACCCACUUGAGAUAAAGCCCCAGAGUUGCAUUCCACCAGUGAUAUUUGAGUUUAUCGAGUUGCACCAUAUCUUAUACUUUUCCUGAAAACAAAUAUAUAUGUUAAAUCAGGUAGAACAAAUUAUUCACUAGUUGUGGGUGCAACUCAAGUUUUGAAACAUUUAAGAUUUUGAGCCAUUAUGUUGCUACCCCGUGACUUUUUAAGGUACUAAAAGACAGUUAAAACAACAGAAUAUUUUAAUUACUCAUACUAGCAUGUGAAAUUUAAAGAGGUCUUAGGGUUGAAGAAGAUAUGGUAGAGGUGAUGAAAAUUUUUGUGAGUUUUGAAUUCAAGGAACAAAAUAACAAGUCUAGUGUAUAAUAUUUGAAAACCCUGCUUCCUCAUGUGAAAUGGAUCGAAUUGCUGUAAGAUCUGUCCAAAAUAAAUUGUCUAAACUCAAUUACAGGCUUGUGGGAACAUAUAAAUUUUUUUUUUUCUAGCAACUCCAGACUCAUUUAGAAAUGGAAAUUUUUUUGUUAUUUGAUCAAACAGAAAUCUGUGAUUUUCAGGUUGAAGGAAGGACAACAAAGUCCAAAAUAUGGGAUACUGCAGGUCAGGAGCGAUACAGAGCAAUAACCAGUGCCUAUUAUAGGGGUGCACUCGGAGCUCUUUUAGUUUAUGAUGUGACAAAAUCAAUAACGCUUGAAAACGUGAGCCGGUGCCUGAAGGAUCUGAGGGACCAUUCAGACUCCAACAUCGUGAUCGUGAUGAUUGGCAACAAGACUGAUAUGAAACACCUCCAACUUCUAUGUUAAUUUUUCAGUCUCUCAAUGGUUUAUUGUUGAAACUUGUUUUUAUUUAAUUUUUGUUAACAAUGUUGUAUUUGAAUUAUUCUCCUCAUUUGUUGUUGAGACUUGAGAUAUCAGAAUUAUUUUGUUAUGGCAGUCAUGCAGUGUACAUUAGCCAUGUUACAGCUUACUCUGGUUUUUCAGAUUAUAAUCUAUUGCUUUAGUUGGAUCCUCUAUUACAAGGCAAUGAAGUUGGCUUUUACAUUUUGUUUUCUAAUUUGUAUUUAUUUUUUUACAAAAUGGGUAUUUUCCUUGUGCGUUUGCAGAGGUCUUGAACAAUUUAUGUUUUUGUGACAAUAACCAGUAUCUUUUAUUAUACAGAAGUCUCUCGCCAUUUUAGACAGUUCUUUUAGCAAGUUUUUUUUCUGAGGUUGCGUUAUUUCAUUUGUUUCCACAUAUGAAUAUUUUUUUAAAAAAAAGUGUUAACUUUCUAAAAACCCAUCAAAUGGAAAGAAAUUAUAUAAAUUGUAAUAUGUAGAUUGAAGGAUGCCGUGCUAUAAUGCGCAAUCCAGAAUUUGAAAUACUACAAAAGCACAUAAAUUUUGAUGUGUUAAUGAAAUGAAAUUAGCGGUACUUAAUUAGCAGCACUUACAUGAUAAGAUAUAUAAGAGACGAUUUAUAAUAAGUUUUCCUUUAAUUGGAUGUGAGGAAGGCCUUAUUUUAUUAAAAUGAUGACUAAAUUGAAAGAUAGAAAAUGAAUUUUAAUUUGUUAAAAGACAAUAAAUACAUUAUCUUAAAAUACGUGUUUUCAUACUUUUUUUGGAUUCGUUCUUAUAUUAAUAAAAUGACAACUUACGCAUUAGAAAAUUAUUCAAUUUGUAAUGAACCACAAUCGAUCACAAUUCACACAAAUUAAAGCAUUACAUUUGCAUAAUUUCAAUCAUAUUUGCAUAUAUUCAAUUAAUAUUAUUUACUGUGUUACUAGACAAAGAAAAAAGAAAAGAAAACAAAAAUUAUAUUUAUAAAAAAAAUUAUUAAUAACAGAAAAUAAAAUGGAUAUACAGUGCAAUUGAUGCACCAUAUUUAGUAAUUAGUAUUCACACCUGUUAAGUUUAAUACAUAAAUCAAGUAAAUUUGAUAUUCAAGAAGCCGCCGACUGAAUUUGGGACUUAAAAUUCCAAAAUGUUAGAAAAAAACGUGAUUUAAAAGUUGAAUAAACUUAAAGCAAAAUAAAUAAAUAAAAUAAAAUAAAACUUCUAACCCCACUAGAAUCUUGUGACCGUGUUUGACUAAAUUUCAUUUUCCAAGUAUUUUAUGGGGAUUUACCAAAAUCUAGCAUGCUCACAUUUUAUCGCUAAGUAACAUGCAUUAUUCCUUUAUCAAUGAGUUCAAGGAGUAUUGGGUUGCUCCUAUACGAGAGUUAAAACAUGCUAAACAUAUUGUAAUUGGCAAGGUUAGGCCUAGGCUAGCACCAAGAGGCUACUAAAUAUUAGCAUGCAAUUAUAUGCAUGCCCAUGAUUCUUAUUUUAACCAUUUAAAAGACUAUUUUGUACUGAUUAAUUUGUUACAACAUUUCUUUUAUUCCACUUAUUUGCUUACUACAAACUUAAUAGUUAUAGUUUUUUGCAAUUUCGCCGUAUAUUCAUGCAGCAUAUACGUACCCCAUCAUUUUUGCAAAUAUUCUUCAUCCAUCCUUUGACCAACAUCUUGCUAAUCAUUCAAACGUUAAGACAAUAAUCUUGCCACAGUAACUAAUGAUCUAUGUUGAAAUAAAUAAUACUUCUACAACAUUAAAAUACUUUUAAUAACGGGAAAUAAAAUAUAUAUACGACGCAAUUGAUGCACCCUAUUCAGUAUUCACACCCGUUAUGUUUAAGACAUAAAUGAGUAAAUUUGAGACAUAAAUUCAAUCACGUCCUUUUUUCUUUACUUUUACAAUUAUACUUUUACAACAAUAUUUUUGAGAAUAUUAAUUAAAAAAUCAACAGUAAAAUAAAAAUAAGCGUAAAUUUUUUUGUUACUAUUUUACUUGUAGAAUUAAUUUGGUAAAUUAAUUUUUUUACAAAUAAUUAUUAAUAAGGUUAUUACAUAGUUAUCGAAUCUGAAUUAGUCGGGAUCCAAUAUAGUCUUCGAAUACACCAAAAAAAAAAAAAUUCCACACAAUCACUCAACACAAGAUAUUUACACCAGAAUGUUUUGACUUUCAUUGACCAGAGCUGAAGUUGAUCGAAUUAGGGAGUUAGAGAGUUUCGAAUAUUGACUCAUUAUAUUGUACAUGACUUUCAUUGACCAGAGCUGAACCUGAUCGAAUUAGUGAGUCAAAGAGUUUCGAAUAUUGACUCAUUAUAUUGUAAAGUUCGUAAACAUGUCUAUUGGUCUGGGUCUUUUUCUCUUAUAUAGGAAUCUUUCCUUUUGAUUGAUAAAAUGAAUUCGAUGGUUUUGCAGCGAUGACAAUUUCAUUUCCUCAAUUUGAUACCCAAAAGUUUUUGGAUAUCUCAUCCUGACCUUGGUCACUGUUAUGGUGCGAACAUGCAAGCAUAACUAAGCCUUUGAUGGAAACUCAUGCGCAGGCCUAGCGUAGGAGUGUAGCGUAGGUAAGGUAAGGAAAGUGGCCGCCAGAGAGGAAGCUUUAGCUGAUUAAGCGCAGCUAAGCUAAUAUGUGCCGGAGAAAGCCAGGUGCCGGAGGUAAGCUUUAUUCGGCCCGGAGCAUUGAUUCCCCAUAACGAAUAGGCUAGUUCUAUCUCUCAAUUGCCUAUCCCCUCAUCGUGCAUCUGGCAACACAGAUCUCGCAAGCAUAGCGGAACCCAAGCUCAUGCUCACGAUAGCACAACGUGGCCUACGGUGGCACCACGAUGUCCCCCGAGUCAUAGACAAGCUCCGCAUAUCGACAGCCCGUACAGGAUAGCGGAUGCACGUCUAAGCCUCUAUGGCACGAAUGAUGCGCAAUGCCGGGCCCGAAACGCCAUGUAGGCUGUUAAGGUAGCCGAUAACCCCAUGGACAUUAUGUAUCCUACUAUAUUCCAGUCACUUAGCAUUUGUUCCUAUUCUUAAAUUAUGACCCAAAGAAGAAAAAGAAUCGAAUAAUCGUUCUAUGAUGAAAAUAGAAUAACCCUCUUGUGUUUUGUGCAUAGCGGGUAUACGCUUAUACACUAGAAAAUCAAAUCUAAAAAUCCCUGGGAUGAUUUAUGAAUUUGUAAUAGAUUUACGGGUUAAGGGGUUGUUGUUGAGCGAUCUAAAACUGGAAAGGAAUUUUAGAAUUCGUAUAGAAAUGGAAUUUUUUUUUAAUAAUUAUGAUCUAAAGGUAUCCGACAAGUCUUUCUUGAUUUUUAGAGCAAGAAGCGGAACUACAAGAAAGCUUUCUUUACCAUUAUGAGUAUUAAUCUUUUUGGUCCUUCUGCUAAUCAUCCUUUUCCUUCUACUUCUACUUUUACGGAAAUAUGUAACAAAAUUUCAAAAUUACUCUGUGAGAGUAAUAGAGAAUUGCCACCCCAAUGGCCUAUCAAAGACUUUACGGAGAGGGUUAUUGGGGGACAAGAGGGAGUUGUGUGUUUCUCUAGUGGCCAUAAUCAUCCACUACAUUUUAUUUGCUGCCGAUAACAUGCCUCGAAACUAUCAAGUAAUUUUUCGCAGUUAUAGGGCCUCAUUUCUAUUGUCUUUGGAUUUCUUUCAACAGUAUCGUUGGUCUCCGCAUUUUUCACACAGUCAGUUGCUGAAAUCAUUUGUUAUGUUGCAUUGAGUUGUAUUGCCAUUAUGAUAAUUGUGUACCAAUAUGGCAUAAAGCUUAUGAAUGCUUGUCAUUGGCUUUACCACGAAAUUUUGAGGCCAUUUUUCAGCAAGAUCUUGAAUUGGUUUCAAGUUCAUUGUUACAACUUCUUUUCGACAGAACAGCAGCAACGCCCGACAAUGUAAUUGAAGAAGUUUAAUCUUUAUUUUAAAAUUUCAUCCAAGAUAUUUUACAGAGAGAUUCCACUUAUGUUUUCAUAUUUCAGUAGAUCAAAAUAUAUAUUCAAUAAUAUACAAUUUGUUUGAUAAAUUUUUAAGAUAGUUAAAUGCGUUGAAUUAAAUUCUAAUAGUAAAUAUGAUCGUGUAUGUCUCAUUUAAAAAAAAAUAUUUUUAGUAUGCCAAUAAGAUUUGAACAUGUCUUACUGUCAUUUGAUUUGUUCCUUAAUUUCACAUUUGUAUUAACUAGCUAUUUUUGCAAUUUUUGAUUAACCACUUAACUAAUUUUGGAAUUUAUUUUUAUUAAAUUUAGAGAUAUUUUAUCAUUAUAUUUUUUUAUUUUUUAAAAUUUUUAUAAAAUAAAAUGGUCUUUUAAUUUAUUUGGGGGUAAAAUUAUCAUUUUAUUAAAAUUAUUUAAUAGUAUUAAUGCAAAAGUGGCUAGUUGAUACAAAUGUGAAAAGAAAUGUGGUGCAAAGUACAUGUUAGAAUUUUGUAGUGGUUGGAUGGAUAAAAAUUAAAAUAAAGAUGGUGCAAUGAUAAUUUCCCUCAACAAUUUACAGGCUUGUGGGAACAAAGAAAUUUUUUUUUCUAACAAGUCAUUUAAAAAUGGAAAUAUUGUCCUAAAGCAGCUUUUUUGUUGUGUGAUUCUCAGGUCGAAGGAAGGACAAUAAAGGCCCAGAUAUGGGACACUGCAGGUCAGGAGCGAUACAGAGCAGUAACAGCUGCCUAUUAUAUGGGUGCACUCAGAGUGCUCUUUUAGUUUAUGAUGUGACAAAAUCAACAACAUUUGAAAACGUGAGCCGGUGGCACAAGGAUCUGAGGGACCAUGCAGACUCCAGAAUUGUAAUCAUGAUGAUCAGCAACAAGUCUGAUCUGAAACACCUCCCAACUUCUAUGUCAAUUUUUCAGUCUCUCGAUGGCUUAUUGUUUGUUCAACAAGUCUGAUCUUGAACAAUUUAUGUUUUUGUAACAGUAACCAUUAUCUUUUAUUAUAAAAAUGUCUCUCUUUUUUAUAUUUUAUCUUAUAUAUAUAUAUACUGUUUGCACAGUUCUUUCAGCAAUUUUUUUCUGUGGUUGCACUAUUUCAUUUGUUUCCGCAAAUGAUUUUUUUUUUUAAAAGAAAAAGAAUUAAUUUGUUAACUUGCUAAGAGCCCAUCAAAUUAAAAGAAAUUAUGUUCAUUGUAAUAUUGAUAAGGGUAUGUAGAAUGAUUAUUGGAUGCCAUGCUACAGUGCACAAUUUAAAAAUUGAAAUAUUACAAAAGUGCAUAAAUUUUAUUGUGUGAACAAAAUGAAAUUAGCUGUACUUACAUGAUAAUAGAUACAUAAGAUAUAAUAAGUCUCCUUCAAAUUAGGUGUGAGGAAGACCUUAUUUUAUUAAAAUGAUGACUAAUUAAAAGAUAAAAAAUGAAUUUUAAUUUAUUAAAAUAUGUGUUUCAAUUUUUUUUAAGAUUUGUUCUUAUAUUAACAAAAUGACAACUUCCUCAUUAGAAAAUAAUUCAAUUGAUCACAGUUCCCACCAGUUAAACCGUUGCAUUUGCAUAAUUUCAAUAUAUUUGCAUUAACUCAAUCAAUAUUAUUUACUGUCUUACUAGAUAAACAAAAAAGAAAACAAAACAAAAAUUUUAUUUACCAAAAAAAAAGUUAUCAAUUACAGAAAAUAAAAUGGAUAUGAUGCAAUUGAUGCACCAUUCUCAAUAUUCAUACCGGUUAAGUUUAAUACAUAAAUCAAGUAAAUUUCCUUACAAAACCAACGGUCUUUCCCCCCCUUUUUUUUUAUGCCACCAAUGGAUGAUAUCCAUUUUAGUCGGUUAACUUUAACUUCUAAGUUGGGUCUAUUGCAUACUCGUACUAGUAAGUACUCUAGGCAAGGGGGUUCAUUGCCUAACCCACUAAGAUUUUGUUGUAUGGAAAAAAUUUAUAAUAUAACAUAAGUAAUAUAACUAAUUAAUAUAUGUAUGAUACAUAUAUUUAAAUUUAAUAUAACUAUCACUUAUAUAAUAUAUUUUUUAAAUAAAUACACAUAUAUCAAGACUGACCAAUUAAAAUCCGAAUCAAGACUGUGACUCUAAAUAGGUUGGAAGUAUUGUAGCUUUAGCUAAUCCUGGAGUGAUGUGUUUACACUAAUUCCGGCUUACCUCCUGAAUCUCUAUAUAUACGGCCCUAUCCUAAAGCUUGUUCAUCACUUGCUUUCUGUUUUCUCAGUUCAUUUGCUUCCAUUUGCUUCAUCUUCCUCUUCCACUUGCAUGCUUCUUAAUCCAAUGCAGUGUAUAUAGAAUUAGUAGCAAGUAAAUUAAUUAAUCAGUAGCAAGCAACUCUUUUAAAAGUCAUGCUACCUCUUAUGAACAGAAAGAGAAAGCAAAGAAAUGGAAGUGCGCAGGUUUAAUGUUAAUGGUGGGUACCGAGUUGAGAGAAUCACAACAACUGAUUCUCAUCAAUUCCCACUGGAGAGGCGUACCUAAUCUUUCUACAAGUCAAAAUUUUUUUCUGACUAGCUAUCUUAUCAGGCUGCACAGUACUCAUUUCUACAAGUCAAAAUAAUCAUAGAGCUACAAAUUAAUAAUGUUGUACAAUUAGAUAUGGUGAGAUAUAAUUAAUUGAUUAAAGUAAUAAAAAUAAAAAUAAAUUAUGCUGGUCCUAAUAUAACCAAUUUGAUGAUAUGCCACAUUAGUUUAUAUAUAUAUAUUUUUUUAUGUAAAAGUGUUUAUAAUUAUAUAACUACUCGUAAAAUUAAAGCAGCUGAUGAAAAGGUUUGCUCAAUCCUCAUAAUAUAUGAUCAUGUUGAGGACCAAAUAAUAAUUUGACACUUUUAAACGAUUAAUUAGCAAUUAGUCAUCCAAGUUCAUGUUUUGUAACUAAAUACACAAUUACACAUAGUUGCAGAACAUGGAAUUAAUAUAGUGCUAUUAUAACAUUGGUAUAAGUGUUGUACUUGGUGUGAACAAUUAUGUAUAGAUCUCACUAUCUUAUAUGCAUGUAAGAUAUAUUCUCCUUAUAUGAACAGUGUAUGAAUCACACAUAUGUAUUGUUCAUACGAGUAGAAUGUAUGUAAGAUAUAGAUUGUCUUAUGUAUAAAUGUAACUUGAGUCAGCGUACAAAUAUCAAUAGUCAAUCAAUAUCAAUAGCCACGUUCUCGUUCUCCCUUUUUGUACCAACGGCCGCCACAAGCCAAGAGAUAAUGAUCUGGCCCCCGACCCGAAUGUUAUGUCCUUGUUUUCUCCACACAACUUCGUACACUAUUUAACAGAAAAAGACAUAAAUUCACUAAAAAUAUUUUAAAGUUUAUAGAAAGGUAAUAUUUUAAAAUUCACUAAAAAUAUCAUAAUCCCAUUUCAUCAAAUGUUCUCGCAAUUGCAACCUCCAGUUUUUGAACUUGCCGAGAAUAAAUUCUAUACUGUCCAUAAAUAAAUGUUUGUCUCUUCUGUCAUCAUUUGAUCCUUCGAGUUUUUCAAUAUUAAUUUUAAAUAGCAAAAGAAUCUCUUUUGUUUGUUAUGGGAGUGUGACUUGUCGGGCCCAACAAACCGUUUUUUUCCCUCAAACGCAGGACAGGUGUGGUGCAUGCAUUAGGUGCGUAUGUUACAGAAUCUGUAAGGUAGACAGGUCCUUCUAUUUAUUAAAUAAAUUAACUCUGGGACCCUUUUUAUCUCAUAUUAAAGUCAUAAACAAUCACCUUAAAUUUAAAGACAGUACCCCAACAUAUUAAAUAAAUUUUAAAUUUAAUAAUUUACAUAAUAAUAUUAAAUAAAAUUCAAUUAUAAUUUAACAAUCAACAAUUUACAUCAAUUCAACAUAAAUAACAUACAACAACACUAUAAAUUCACAAACAAUAAUUUCAUAAUAUAAAUCAAAUAUAAAAAAAUAAAAAAAUAAAGGUAAACUAAUUUAUUACAAUAUUCUCUAAUUAUUAUUAUUAUUUUUUUAGCAUAUUUUCAUAGUUAAUGAAAUUAUAGAGUUAAUUAUGCUUAUACAUUUAAAUAAAUAAUUUAAUUUAUAUAAUUUUCAAUUGAAAUUGAAAUUUAAUUAAAUAAAUAAUUAAAUUAUAAAAUAAUGCGGAUCCGGAUAUCCAGUUAUUCGGAUCCGCACGAAUUUUGAUUUUUAAGAUUUUGAUCCAUAUUUUUUAACAUGCAGAUCCAGAAUUUAUUGCCAACCCUAACACUAUUUCAUUUCUGGAAACAGGCUUUUAUUUAUUUAUUUUUUAGAAAAAGAAGAAUAAAAAGAAAUACUAUGUCAACUUACUUGGCUCCAAGUAUAAUAUUAAUAAAGAAAUAUAUAUUGAUGAUUUGAUGCCACGUUACAAUGCCCAAUUUAGAGAAAAUUGUUACGAAUAAUUAUUGGAAAAUGAAAUGAAACAAAAAAUUGUUACCUGAUGAAGCACCAUCACAUCCUUAAGCUUUAAGACAAUAAAAGUCGCGUAAAUCGGGGGACCCGCAAAGUCGUCGUGUAAGUUUGCUUUACGUGAUUUGAAGUUAUACAUAAUUGAUAAUUUCAAAAUAAAUGAAAAAGAAUAAUUGAAAAAUCAAAAUGCACUUCUAUCUUGCCACCACUCGGCACUCACCCUCUCGACUAAAUGUCAUUUUCUUUGAACUUUCAUGGCUUCUAAGCUCCCAUCAAGAAUUAGAAAUUCACAAAUCCAACCUUUAUUAUCUCAGCGAUACAUCCCGAUUCCAAACUUUACCUCAUAAGCGAUUAUUGGUAACAAGCACCAUUUUUGUCAAUUGCAUAUAUAUAUUUGGCUGAACGGUCAAUUCUAUUUUACGUCUGACGUAGCAAGCACGUCCCAUUCCCCACACACCAUUAUCUUGCCACCACUCACCCUCUCGACUAAAUGUGAUUUUCUUUGAACUUUCAUGGCUUCUAAGCUCCCAUCAAGAAUUAGAAAUUCAUAAAUCCAUCCUUUAUUAUCUCAGCAAUACAACCUUUAUAAGCCGUGGGGUCAAUUGCAUAUAUAUAUAUAUAUAUAUAUAUAUGGCUGAACGGUCAAUUCCAUUUUACUUCUGACGUAACAAGCACGUCCCAUUCCCACACACCACUACUUUUUCACAAGUUUACAUUCAUUUGGCUUUUGAGUCCAGUGGUGCUAAUUUUUGAAGAUACUCUUACUGAACUGAGUGACCAAUUUCUUUUAUGCUAAAUGUAUCCUGUGAUGCAGAAGAAGAAGAAGAGUUGCAUUCCGAAGUCAAUAUGAUGCAAAUAAGCUGCCCUCGCCAUCAUCACCUUCAACCCGCAGCACUUUAAUCCUUCAAGGUAGGGGUGUUCGCGGAUCGGAUUUUACGGAUUGGACAUCAAUCCAUAUCCGAUCCAUGAUUUUGCGGAUUAUAAUUUUUCAAUCCAAUCCAAUCCACGGAUUGAUAAAAUUCAAUCCAAAUCCAAUCAAUACAUCUGCGGAUCGGAUGCGGAUUUGACUCAAUUCGUAUGCAAUCCACCAUUUUACGCAUUAGUUUUCGAAUUAAAAAUUUUUAGUUCUCUCCAACUAAUGAAAUAAAAAAAUCUAAUAUAAAAAUAAUUUUACUACCAAUUAAAUUUAAAAUUGAAUAAAAUUUAAAUAAAUUAACUGUUUAAAUAAAGCUAAAAUAAUACAUUUAAAGUUUCAAAAUAUAACACAUCGAGAUUAAGUAUUCAAAUAAAACUACAAUAAUACGUUCAAAGUUUCAAAAUAUAACACACCAAGCUUAAUUGUUCAAAUAAAAUUACAAUAAUACGUUAAUAUAACACCGAAAUUAAUUGUUCAAAUAAAGCCACAAUUAAUUGAAAUGACGAAGUUUCGGAAACCAAACACUGUCUGAUCCUUCACCAGGGUUGUUACUAGGGUUGUUGCGCCUGUCGAAAAGUGAUGAUUACAGAGCCAUCCACGAUGGGAACCAGGAGAAGUCAUACGGGUGGCGAUCUUGAAGGUUGUGAUAGUGAAAUUGUUCAACUGAAACUAAUGAAUGUGAAGUGGCUUGAUGGACUUGGGAAAGAAGAUGGCUUGCUCUUGCCGAAAUCGCACGGCCGAUGUCCUUUAAAUCCGUGUCGAGAGUGUAUCCAACCAGUAUUGAGUGUUGCUAGUGUGUGUGACGGCAGGGAAGCUCAGGGUUUUUUGUUUGCAAAUUGUUGGUGACUUUGCGUUAUGUUACUUUGCUUUUACUAGUGCGUGUGACUUUAUUUUUAUUUUGUUUUAAAAUUUUUACAAGUUAUACUUGUAUAUUUGAUUAUUUAAUUAUUUUUCAUUUUAUAUUAUUAUUGGGUAAUGGCUAAGAUAUGUUAUAAUGCUUAGUAACUAUGCAAUGUCACAUUUAUAAUUUUUUAAUUAUAUAUAUAUAUAAUUUUUUUUUUGCGGAUUCACGGAUUUCUACGGAUUUACAGAAGUAAAUCCAUAUCCAAUCCAUCGACUAUGGAUUUUUAAAUUUUCAAUCCAUAUCCAAUCCACCAAUCCACGAAUCGGAUUUAUACGGAUCAGAUUCAGUCGAUCAGACAUAUUGGAUUCUGAACACCCCUACUUCAAGGCAUAUGCCUACACUUUUCUUACAUUUUUAGUCAUUAUGAGCUAAAUUUUCAGCACAUACAUAAUGUUAUUUCUUUAUAUCAAUAUAUCGAUGUGUCUAAGUUUAAUUAAACUCAAAUUUUAAACUUUUGAAAGUAGAGAUUAAUUGAAAAGUUUUUUUAAAAUAUUAAAUUUUUUAAAAUAUUCACCACUUUUUUAACAAUCUUAUUUUAUUCCUUUCAUAGCAUAACUUUAAAAAAAAUUAAUUAUUAAAAUAAUUUUAUAGUUUUUAAUAAAAACUCUCAUUAACAAUCAAACAACUAUUAUUAUUUUUUUGUGUGAAAACUUUACCAAAAAAAAAAACUCUACUCAAAUAAGCUCUAUUUGAAAAGUUUUACUGAAUGGAGUCUCAAUAAAGAAAAAAUAACUCAUUUAAUCUUUAAAAGUUCUUUUAAAAAACAAUAAAAAUUUUGAAAAAAAUUUAUGAAAUUAAAUAAGUAUUUAUGAUAAUUAAAUAACUCAUACCAAAUAGGCACAUAAUUAUAAAAUGAUAUACUUUAAUAUUUUUCAUAGUGAUUUGAUAUUUUGUAAUUCUAGUAAUAGUUAGGUGAUAAUAGCUCCUUUUAGAAUUAUAAAAUCAUAUGUUAGCUUUAAUAACAAAUUAGAAUUGACAACAUUGUUGUAAUGUAAAAAACAUUAUUAAAUUUAGUUUCACUAAAAGAAAAUAUCGUAACACACUUGUGAACAGACCGUUUGUAUGCUUAAUUUAAAGAUUCGAAUUAGUUGAGUUAAUUAACCGUUUGUAGACUUUGAGUUAAUAAACCUGAGUUAAUUGAUAAGAGAUGUGAUUUCUAUCCACCCUCCCAUUGCGUUGAGUCAUCCCGGCCCCACUGCAAUGCCUUUGGCCUUUUGCCUUUUGCCUCCCUCCCAAUGCCUUGUUCACUUCAUUUUCAUGAUGCCUAUAAGAACUGCGAGUUAGGCACAUACUCCUGAGCAGGUCGGUUUUGUGCAGAAGAAGAAGAGUUGCAUUCCGAGAUCAAUAUGAUGCAUAUAAGCUGCCCCUGCCAUCCUCGACAGAACUUUGAUCCUUCAAGGUUCCCAAGUACACUUUUCUUACAUUUUUAGUUGUUAUGAACUCAAUUUUCAAUGCAUACUGUUCUUUCUUUCGUUCAUAUGAAGCUUAAUUAGUUUUGUCAACUCUUUUGGCAUUUCUUACUUGACUAUAAACUUAGUUAAGAGCACCCUGUGAUCUGGAGAGUAAGGGCUAGAACUUGAUGGCGCCAUGUUAGACUAGUGUAUGAGGCUUGUUCAUGCAGUAAUAAUUGGUCUUGAUGCAGGCAAUUUUUUUUUUUUUUUUAAGCUAAAGAAAGUUAAGUUUUAGAAGAUCAUUACUUCUUUAAACCCAGUAAGCGUAUAAGUUUCUCUUCUUUUGGGUUUUGUAGAAUUAUUCAUUUUCUCCUUAAUUCCCUUUAUCAUGCUCUACCAUAACUGAGAAACAUGGCAGCAGCGGCGGGUCUACAGGUGGGCUACAACGGGCUGUAGCCCGUUCUUGAUUAGGAAAAAAUUAUUUAUAUCCCUUAUAUUUUCAUCAAUUUUAUAUAAUAAUAUAAUUUUUAUUUUCUUUCGUGUAUGUCCCUAACUCAAUUAGCCUUAUAUUUUCAUCAAUUUUAUAUUAUAGUAGAACUUUUAUUUUAUUUUCAAAUAUGUCCUUAAUCCAAUUAUAUUUUUUCCAUUUGAAAUUAGUUACUUAUUUAUAAAAUGAUUAAAUUGUACAUUUAUUGAAUAUAUUGAAAACAUUAGGGGGCCAAAUGUUGCUACUGCUUUAUUUUAAAAUAUUCUAAUUGAAAAAAAAUAUGUCAAUCUAAUAUAAAAUUUUCACUAAUAUUAUAAGUACUUACAAAAACAACAUGUAAUAGCAAUUAUCAACAUUUUCAAAACUUUUUAUGUGAAUUUUGAGAUUUCAUUUAAUAGGAAGUUAGAAAAUAAAAUUUGAGUAUUUUGAGAAGUUUUUCAUAAAAGAAUCAUCAGCAUAUGAUUCUUCAAAGAGAGUCAGAGCACUUACCAAAGAAACAACGGCAUUUAAAUACAUUUUUAUUAAAUGAGUUUAGUUUAUUAUUGAAAUUUUUGACUAACAAUAUAUUUAUAAUUUUAAAAGAUGAAUACAUUUUUUAGUUGUUUAAUUUAUUUAAGCCUACUAAUUAAGUACUUGACUUCAAACAUUAAAGUUUUACUUGCGAGUUUUAGUUGUUGUAAUUACAUGCAUUGCUUUAAUUUUAGCUUAAAAUUCUUAAUUGAUUUAUUAAUCGUUAUAUAAUUAUAUUUUAUUGAAGGUUGCAAUGUCGGAUUCCAUAAUUGAAAAUUUGGGUUUUCAUAUUUGAAUUACCUUUUGUUUUCUACUCUUUUUUUAUAAGUAUUUUCAUUUCGAGUACGUAUUUAUAAGAAUAAGGUUCUUCAUGUCCCUCUUAUUUGAUGCACUUCUUCCUACUUAUGAAUUUUUAUAAUCACUUCAAAAUAUUAUUUUUUUAAUUUAACCCAGGAUAAUAUAAAUUCUUGGGUCUGCCCUGCAUGGCAGAGCAUGAUGAAUAUUAUUAUUUAAUAAUAAUAAUCAUACCAACAGAAAGAAUGAUUCAUAGAUGAUCAAUCAACAUUACUUAAUCAAGAAAUAACACAAGAACAUCAAGAUUGAGUCAAAGAGACAAGAUUAAACACGGCAAAAAUGAUCAAUUACAAAAAAGCUCACACAACAGGACACAACAUAAACAGGAAAAUUAAUUGACCUCACUCUUCUUAAAAUGAGUGUAUCUUAAAAAAAAAAAUGGAAUUACAUAUCUUCUAAACAAAAAAUCCUGCAGUUACUCAACAUAUCAAAUUAGAGUCCACACAAUCACUCAAUGCAAAUUAUUUACACCACAAUGUUUUGACUUUUAUUUACGUAAGUUAUUUCAGAGCUGAACUUGAUCAAAUUAGGAGUUAGAGAGUUUCGAAUAUUGACUCAUUAUAUUGUAAAGUUCGUAAAUAUGUCUAUUGGGCUGGGUGUUUUUCUCAUAUAUAGGAAGCUUUCCUUUUGAUUGUUAAAAUUAAUUCGAUGGUUUUGCAGCGAUAACAAUUUCAUUUCCUCAAUUCCAUACCCACAAGUUUUUGGAUAUCUCAUCCCGACUUUAGCCACUAUUAUGGGUGCAUAUGUACAAGGCACAACUAAGUCAUUGAUGGAAACUCAUAGAGUAAGCUUGUGUGUUUCUCUGGUGGCCAUAAUCGUCCACUACAUUGCGUUUGCUGCCGAUAAGAUGCCUCGACGCCAUCAAGCAAACUUUUCACAAUUAUGGGGCCUCAUCGCCAUUGUCUUUGGAUCUCUUUCAGCAGUGUCGUUGAUCUCCACAUUUUUCACGCAGUCAGUUGCUGAAAUCAUUUGCUACGUUGCAUUGAGUUGCACUGCUAUUAUCAUAGUUGUGUACCAAUAUGUCAGAAAGCUUAUGGAUGCUUGUCAUUGGCUUUACCACGAAAUUUUGAGGCCAUUUUUCAGCAAGAUCUUGAAUUGGUUUCAAACUCAUUGUUACAACUUCUCUUCGACAGAACAGCCGCAACGCCCCACAGUGUAAUUGAAGAAGUUUAAUAUUUAUUUUAAAAUUUCAUCCAAGAUACUUUACAGAGAGAUUCCACUUAUGUUUCCAAAUUUCAAUAGAUCAAAAUAUAUACUCAAUAAUAUAUAGUUUUUCAUUCAAUAAUUUACAAUUUAUUUGAUAAUUUUUUAAGAUAGUUAAAUACAUUGAAUUAAAUUCUAAGAGUAAAUAUGUCUGUUGUAUAUCUCAUGUAAAAAAAAUAUAUUCUUAGUUUGCCAAUAAAAUUGGAACAGGUCUCACUGUAUUUGUUCCCUAAUUUCAUGAAUUUUAGCUCUCACUCUCAUUCAAUGGAUCAAAAUAUACACUCAAUAAUAUAUGGUUUGUCAUUCACUAAUAUAUAGUUUUUGAUAGUGCAUUCGUAUUAGAUUUUUAUAUGCACUGUUUUAUUGUUAUUAUAAAAUAUAAGUAUCUGUAUUGUUUGUGUUUUUUUGACGAAUUAGAGACUUGAUAUCAACUGUAAAGGGAGAGUAGUAGAUUAUUUGGGUGACAAGAAAAGUCCACAUAUUUAUUGUUUGUGUUUGGGGUAGGGAUGGCAAUGGGGCAGAUAUGGGUUGGAUCUACUCUGCUCCAGAUCCAAAUCCAUAAUAAAAAUUAAGAUUCGUAUCUGCUCCAGAUCCGUUAUGAAUCCAUAUUUUUCGCUCCAUAUCCAGAUCCAAAAAAGAAAUAAAUAUCUAUAUCUGCUCCAAAUCCGAAAAAAAAUUAAAAUCCAAAUCUGCUCUAGAUCCGUCAUGAAUUCUAAAAUUCCGUAAUAAAAAAGUAAUAAUUUUUUAGAUUGAAAAUUGAAGGCUAAAAUGUAUUGAUAACAAAUAAAUUAUAUAAUUUUUCUCAAAAAUAUAAUAAAAUAUUGUAGCUUAUACUUCUACACCAAAACAAUAAAUAAGAAAGAUAAUAAAAUAUCAUUCAGAAGUAAUUGCAGGAGUAAGAUCAAUCUAAUAUUUUAUUGUCUCAUUCAUCAUUCUAGUAUCCACGAUACACCUACCCUCAUUCCUACAACAUUAGAUAAUGACAUAUAAAUUAAAUAUGAUUUAUAUUAAGUCCUUUAUUAUUUUUAUUAUGACCAUAUUUGACUAAAUAUAUGAAUAACUAUAUUUCUUAAAAAUUAUUUGGCCAAUAUGAUAAAAUAAAUUACCAGGUUAUAUUACUUGGAUUGCAUUUUGAAUAUUGCAUGUACAUGCUUUGAGGCUGACUGACCUUUAAAUUUACAAAACUAACCUUUAAGUUUUAAGAGUUUAAAUUCAUGGUAAAUACUACUAAUAUGCUAUGAAUAAAAUUUAUUAUCAUUAUCAUUCCACAAUUAUUAAGAAACUUUUAAAAUAAAAUAAAAUUAAAAGAUGAGUGGAUAUGGAUAUGGAUUUAGAUAUUAAGAUAGAUCCAUAUCUGCUCCAGAUCCGUCUUAGAUCCGCACAUUGAUAUCCAAAUCCGAUCCAAAUCCAUUUUAAACCGAUCCAAAUCCGAUCCGAUUGGAUUUGGAUCACAUGGAUCUUGGAUCAAAUCCAAUCCAUUGCCAUCCCUAGUUUGGGGUAAGGGCUUCGUUUCUACCCUGAACAUUGGCUCUAAGGAUAUCCAUGAAUGACAUUUAAAAUAAAAUAAAAAAGAAUUAAAAAUAAGAAAUAUGUGUUUUGAUGUGAAUAAAAAAUUAAUAACAUAUUUUUCUUGUAUCGUUGUUAUUUUAUAAAUUUUUUUAUUAUAAAUUUAUGAAAUAAUAAAAGAAUACAAGAAAAAUGUGUUAUUAAUUUUUUAUUCACAUCAAAAAAUAUUUUUAUUUUUAAUACUAUAAUUUUUAUUUUUAUUUAUAUAAUUUAUAAAUAAAUAUAUAUUAAAAAUAUUGUUAGGAGUUAUUAACUAUUAUAAAAGUAAUAAGAAGUAAGUAAAUACAAUCUUUCAAAAAAAAAAUUUAACAUUUACUAUUUGAUAAUUUUUCAGGAUAGUUAAAUUCAUUGACUUAAACUCAUAAAUUCUGCUAGUCACUAUAUCCACCGCAAUCUCAUUUUAAAAGAAAAAAAAGUUUAAUUACCAAUAAAAUUGGAAAAUGUGUCAUGCCGUUAUUAAUGUCGAAAACUUUUGACUAUAUUAACGUACUUAACUAAUUAUACAUCUAAAUGUGAAGAAAGAAAUUAGCAAAGAAUAAAAUUUAAAAUUUCCUAGUACUUGAAAUUCGGGAAAAAAAAAAAAAAGGCCAAAUUUCAGUAGCUCUCGGCCCCGCACUUUCGGGGUAAAAAAAAAAAAACCCCAAAACACAUCAGCUUUCUCUCUCACUAUCAUUCGAAGAAGCAUCGUCACAAUCAUUUGAAAUUCUAUAAUCUCAGUUUCAAUGAAGACGAAGAGGCUUGGUUUAAAUAUCGGCUUUCAUCAUGCAUUUUCAGGUUUAAUUUCAGUUAAUCUGACCAAAUUUGAUGGAUUUGUUCCCUAAUUUCAUGAAUGUCAGCUAUCACUUUCAUUCGAUCGAAGAAGCUUUCACUUUCGUUUGAAAUUUUUUAUCUCGAUCGGUUUCACUGCAAAGGAAGAGGUUUGGUUUUAAUCUCGCUUUUAUUCAAGAAUUUCAUGUUUGUAUGUGUUUAAUCGCACCAAAGUUGAUGUGUUUCUCCUCUAAUUUAUGGUUAGGGAUCUAAUUUAUGCCUCUUGAUGUAAAAAAUUUAGAUUUGGGCUUUGAUUAUUUGAUUAAUAAUUUUGUAGCGUUUGGAUACUGUUGAACAGAGUGAAUUAAUCCACAUCAAGUAUGUAUUGGAACUAUUAGGCUGAAACCAGAUGGCUUCUGUUUACUAAGCAAUACAAGAAUUGAGUUAUAAUUAGGUCUGUUUACUAACUUAUCUGUACUAUCAUCUUUUUUAAUUCAUUCUUUAAGCUAAAUUAGGGUAUUAGAAACAGAGCUGGGAAAGAAAUUAGUACCUGCAUUCAUUUUAGUGGAUCUUGGACCAGCUUGUUCAUUCAUCUACAACUAUUAGAGUUGCACAACUCCGUUCAUAUGCCCCCAGUGUUGGCCACAGCUGUCUUGUGUGCAUGUAAUUUAGAGAAUAAAUAAAUUUAAGUGUAGACUAAUAUUUCUUUUCUUUUAUGAUAUGUCCAAUGAACCACAUUUUUCAAUUAUACUUUUUUUUCCUCCCCUCAAAAAUACAUAUCCUUCCUAGUACUUUUCCAAUGGAUCUCAUUUGUUUUCUCCCUAAUACAUUUUUUGCAGUUAGAGGUGCCUCAAAAGCAAUUACUCAAGGAGAGAUGUGCUUUGGCAUGGAUUAUGUUGGAUAUUUAGUCUUUUUCUUAUGGAACUAAUGACACAUCUAUUUUAUUACAAUGCCUUUCCAAUUGGAUGAGUUUAUCAGAAAGGAUAGGCUUCAUGUUGGGACGUCUUUUGAUCUCCAUUUUUUGUCUAGUAACUAAUUUGUUCAAUAUUUACUUGUGGCAUGUGGGGACUGUCAUCUCCUUUGGAUGUACUCAUCAUUGUAUAUGGUGUAAAUGGUGACCUUCAUUACCUUAAUUUUUUUAUAUGUGGAUUCGAGGCUUCUUACGUGCUUAUGUGAAUCUUUUUUUAGCACGAUCAUUUCAUAAAUGUUACUCUAUGGCUUCCAGAAUUUCUGAAGAUUUUUUCAUGGAAUAUUCUAUGUUUUACCUUUCAAGGGGUUAAAAGUGAGAAAUGAAUUAAUUGGACUCUGGAAAUUGGUGUAGCUAUUCUGUGGCCUAGUAGCUCUUAAAAUUUUACAAAACUCCCUUUCCUUGUUAUUUGAUUCCCUCUCAUAUUUGGUAUGCUGAAUUACAGGUCUAUCAAUGGAAUCUUAGAUUAUAUGUUAUGUGGUUUUCAGAUGUGCCUAUAUUGUACUUAGAUGGUAUUAUGAGCAAAUUGCUAGUGCUACUUCAGGUAUAUUGUCAGAACAAUCAACACCCGACUUAUAAUACAUACGUUUAUAUCAGAUUUACUGUAAUGAACGAACAAUGCCUUCCUCUAAAUUUUUCAUUUUUGGUGCCAGAAUGGAAAACAAAUAGUGCAAGAAGGUGUAUUAAUUGCCUUGGCAUCAGUUGCUGACUCAUCUCAGGUAUUCUAUAAAAUAUGCUUUGAUUAGAAGCUAUUACUUAUAGAAACCUGUCUGACAGGAUGAUCUUUUUUGGAGUAGCUACUCGGAUGGAAACUUCUUUAAAAAGGGAAAAAAAAAAUUAGGGAAGCAAAGUUUAUGUUGAAUUAAAAGAAAAGGUAUCUACAAAAGUGAACAAUCCGUCGCUCCUUAUAAUACCAGCUUCGGCAUUUGAAGUUCUCUCUCUCUCUUUUUUUUUUUUUUUUUUGGGUUGAAAAGAAUAUUUCUAGAUACAUAUAAUGCUCUUUACUGUCUGUUCACCUAAUAUUUAACUCAUUUUGAAGGCUCUAGAUUUUAUUAAUGAGAAACCAGGAGUCCGUCCUUGUAUUGAUUACCACAACAGCUGUUGAUUGCUGUGGUUUGUCUUUAACACAAGAACUUAAAAUUGUGAGUUUCAUUUUAUCCAAAAGCCUAACUUUCAAUGUUUUCAGACUAACCAUCCUUUCUCCACUAAAUCAGAAAACAUAUGAUCAGUAAUGAACUUAGAGAUUCAGUAUCUUAAUUUAGUGUAAGUAGCCCUACUAUAUAACAAAUUCAGUCUUCGGAUUCUGCAAUUCAAUUUUUCUUGAUAAGUUUACUUUUUUUUUUCUUUUUUCUCCUCAAAAUGUAACUAAUUUUCUUUAUCUUCAACUUUCUUCAAUGCUCAGGAACUAGUGAAACCAAAGUAUUUGAUGAGAGCAGCUCACUGGGAAGUGAUUACUUGACUGAGGUAAGAGCCUGAUUUCUAUAAACAGUACAAAAGGCCUUUGCGGAUGACUUGCACAGAUUUUAAAAUAGUCGCAACGUAAAUAUAGAUUUAUUGCCAUUUAGAUUUUUAGACUUUUAAGAAGCAAAUAAAUAAUUAAUUAAAGAAAGUAGUUUUAUCAGACAAAAUUCAUAUUAUCCUUAAAAUUCAAAAAUCAUCAUAAAAAAUUAAGUUUCUCUCGCCCUCUCUUACUCUCAGUCUUGUUCAACCCUUCGCCUCUCAGCCUUGCUCGAUAGUAAUUUAUUGAUUUCAGUUUUAGGUAAGCUCUGUCACUGCAAACUUUUGGUCAUGUGAAUUUUUGUUAUUGCAUAGAUCUUAAUUGGUCAAAUUGAAGGGGAGAAAGUUGCUGAUCGCAAAGCUGAUUCUGAAAGCACUUCUUCACUUUUUCAGUAUGAUUUUACAGAUUCAGUAUGUAAUUGAAGUUCUAAAGCAAUGAUUUAGAGUAUUUAGAUGAAUGGUUUAAAUUAAUCCAUCAAAGUUGUGGUUUAUACACAUGCAUCAUCAUGGGAACAUCUAAUUAGAUAAUAGAUUUUUACUUUUUAUCCUUCUUGUCUAUUUUAAAUAUGUGUGUGUGUGUGUGUGUGUGUGUAAAAAUAUAGGAAAAUUCUCAUGCGUGGAUGUCCGCACAAAAUGCAUGAAUUUUCAUGUGGAUUUAGGUGGUGAAAGCCUUUUACACCGGCAUGAAACCCCAAGUCCGUACAAAAAUACAUGCAAGCAUUUUAUAUAUAUAUAUAUAUAUAUAUAUAUAGUUAGGAGACUGCAUGAGGAAUACAACUCUUUGUUCAAAGUUGUAUUAGUCUGCAAUUCAGAAGUAGGCAAAUUGAAAUUACUUUCCUGAUUACUUGUAACGGGUUCUGUUCAGAGUCCAAUUCUACUAGUGGCGUCAAAUUCACCAUCUCUACUCUUCAAAUGACUAUUUGUCUUACUCUAUGCUUCAUCUUAGUUACAGUAAUUAGUUAAUUAAUUUUUUAAGAUCUAGUAAAAGUAAUUAGUUUUAUCUAAUUUUUAACUGGAUUUCCAGAUUAGGUUAAUUUAGAUUCAUGUGAAUUGGGAGUGAUUCAAUUUUUUAUCUGAUUUCACUGUUGAUGCAUAAUUACUAUUAGUAUGAUGAUUGAUUUGUGAUUUUAACUUAUAAUUUGGUUAUUGAUUUAGUUUAUACAAGAUGUAAUUGGAUCUAUCAUUGUGAGAUUGUAAUUCACAUGAAAUGACCUUUUUUUUUAAUUUAAAGUUGAAUGCUUUUUGAGUUUUUUGAAAAAGAAUGCUUUAUAAUUUUAAUCUGAAUAUUUUGGGUCACGAUUUAAAUGAUUAAUUUUAUGUGGUAAGUGAAGUAGCAGUGCCAAAUUGUAGACAGCUACAUAUUGGGGUGAAAGUUUGGGAUUUCAAUUAUACAUUUUAGAUGUAAUUUAUUCAUCAAGUUAAAAUCGUGCACUGGCAAAUUUUGUCAUUGAAUUGGAUAAUUAGAUCAGCAUUUGAUGUUUACUUGUGUAUGUGAGUAAGGCUGUUCUCUGUAUGUUGGAGUUGGUGAUGCAAGUUGAAACUAACCUGAUGUCGACUCUUGGCAUGUUAGAGUUGAAUUGGAAUUGCAAUUAAUUCAUUAAGAGUAACUUAUUAGAAAAUGGGGUUUUCUCAUUGAAUUAGAUAAUUAGAUCGGCAUUCGAUGUUUACUUGGAUAUGUGAGUAGGACUGUUCUCCAUACGUUAAAUCAGGUUGGAAAAAUUAUUUACUGAAUUGUUAUGGGUGCAAUUCAUGUGUUGAAACAUUGAAGAGUUUUAGCCAUUAUGUUACUAUCCUGUGGUUUUCUAAGGUACAAGAGACAUUAAAAAAAAAAAAAAACAUAAUAUCUUAAUCACUUCUAGUAAUCCUACAAGUGCACAUGACUUUGUGGGUUUUGAAUUCAAGGAACAAAAUAGUAAGUCUAGUGCGUAAUAUUUGAAAACACAUGUAAAAUGGAUUGAAUUGCUGUAAGAUCUGUCCAAAUUAAACAGUGUAAACUAAUUUACAGGCUUGUGGGAACUAAGAAUUUUUUUUUUUUUUCCUAGCAACUUCAGAGUCAUUGAAAAUUGGAAAUUUUGUCCAAAAGCAGCUUUUUGUUGUAUGAUUAAAGAGAAAUCUGAGAUUUCAGGUUGAAGGAAGGACAAUAAAAGCGCAGAUAUGGGACACUGCAGGCCAGGAGCAAUACAGAGCAGUAAUGACUGCCUAUUAUAGGUGCGCACUGGGAGUGCUCUUUUAGUUUAUGAUGUGAGAAAAUCAGCAUUUGUAGACGUGAGCCGGUGGCUGAAGAAUCUGAGGGACCAAGCAGACUCCAACAUCGUGAUCUUGAUGAUCAGCAUUGUGAUCUUUUAUUUAAUUUUUGUUAACAACAUUGUAUUUGAAUUAUUCUCCUCAUUGUUGUUGCUGACUUGAGAUAUCAGAAUUAUUUUGUUAUGGCAGUGUGCGCUAGCAAUGUUACAGCUUACUCUGGUUUUUAGUGUAUAGUAUACUGCUUCAGUUGGAUUCUCUACUACAAGGCAAUGAAGUUAGCUUUAACAUUUUCUGAGGUCAUUUUUGUAUAUUGAUUUGACAAAAAUGGUAUUUUCCUUGUGUGUUUGCCUCGAACAAUUGCAAUUUUCUAGUUAUAAUGUUUUUGAAACAACAUCCAAAUAGCGUUAAAUAUCUUUUGCUAUACAAAAGUCUCUCUCAGUUUGCUAUUAUUAUUAUUCUUUUUAAAGUUCAUUGCAUUAUUAUGACCAUUACAUAGUUUGUUAUAGCAAGUUCGGAUGCUGCACUACUUCAUUUGUGGAAACAGACUUUUAUUUAUUUAUUUUUUAGAAAAAGAAGAAUAAAAAAAAUACUAUGGCAACUUACUUGGCUCCAAGUAUAAUAUUAAUAAAGAAAUAUAUAUUGAGUGUGAUGCCACGUUGCAAUGGAAAAUUGUUACCAAUAAUUAAUGGAAAAUGAUAUGAAAGAAAAAAAUCGUACCUGAUGAAGUCAUGAAGCAUCAUCACAUCCUUAAGCUUUAAGACAAUAAUAGUCGUGUAAAUUGGGGACCCGCAAAGCCGUCGAGUAAAUUUGCUUAACGUGAUUUGAAGUUAUACAUAAUUGAUAAUUUCAAAAGAAAUGAAAAAGAAUAAUCGAAAAAUCAAUAUGCACUUCUAUCUUGCCACCACUCACCCUCUCGACUAAAUGUUGAACUUUCAUGGCUCUAAGCUCCCAUCAAGAAUUAGAAAUUCACAAAUCCAACCUUUAUUAUCUCAUCAAUACAACCUUUAUAAGCCGUGGCCCGUGGGGUCAAUUGCAUAUAUAUAUAUAUAUUUUGGCUGAACGGUCAAUUCCAUUUUACUUCUGACGUAACAAGCACUCCCAUUCCCACACACCAUUACUUAUUCACAAGUUUACAUUCAUUUGGCUUUUGAGUCCUGUGGUGCUAAUUUUUGAAGAUACUCUUUCUAAACUGAGCGACCAAUUUCUUUUAUGCUAAAUGUAUCGAGUGAUGCAGAAGAAGAAGAAGAAGAAGAAGAAGAGUUGCAUUCCGAAGCCAAUAUGAUGCAAAUAAGCUGCCCUCGCCAUCAUCACCUUCAACCGGCAGCACUUUAAUCCUUCAAGGCAUAUACAUGCCCUUUUCUUACAGUUUGUAGUCAUUAUGAGCUAAAUUUUCAACACAUACAUUCAGUUAUUUCUUUAUAUCAAUAUAUUGAUGAGUCUAAGUUUAAUUAAACUCAAAUUUUAAACUUUUGAAAGUAGAGGUUGAAAAGCUUUUUCAAAAUAUUAAAAUUUUUAAAAUAUUCUUCACUUUUUCAAUAAUUUUAUUACAUUCUUUUCAUAGCAUAACUUUUAAAAAAUUGAUUAUUAAAGUAAUUUUAUAGUUUUUAAUAAAAACUCUCAUUAACAAUCAAACAACUGUAAUUUUUUUCUUUGUAAAAACUUUACCACAAAAAAAAAAAAUAAACUCUACUCAAAAUCGUACCUCAUGAAGACAUGAAGCAUCGUCACAUCCUAGCACCUCUUUAAUUAAAACUCUUAUGAAACCCCCACAUAUUAUAUGUAUAGCUCUUAUAAUUAAAUAUUAAACAUAAUAUUUUAAAAUAAAAAUUCUUAUCAUUAUAUAAUUUAUUAUUUUAUUGUCCCAAAAUUAUUUUCAUUUUAAAAUGAUUAUUUAUAUCAUUUACAUAUGGGAGGGUUCAUGUUUUUUAAGUAUAAAAAUGUUUUAAUUAAGUUAAAUUUAUAUUUGUCCUUCUAUGUAAUUUUCCUCUAGCAAUAGAGCUACAAUUACAAAAUGAGGGGUAUUAAUCCUAUAAGUAAUUUAAGAGGCUGUGAAAAGCACUACUCUAAUAUUAUCUUCAUUAAAUUUCACAAAGAUAGUAACUUUUAUGGUUCUACCACCCCUCGAAUUUUCUUAUAAAGCCUUUCUUUUAUAUUUAUGAUUUCACCUUAGUAAGACCACAUAAAACAACAAAUUCAGUUUGAUUUUUUUUUAACCUCUUUCUUUUGUAUAAUUUUAACUAGGGUUGGGCAAAAUCGGAUUCGGAUCGGGUUCAGUUCAACCCGAUCGGAUUUCUGGUUGGUCGGGUUAGAAAUAAAUCCAUCCGAAUUCAAUCCAAACUUGUAAUCCGAUCUGAUCCGAUCCGAAUAUAUAUUCGGAUCGGGUCAAAAAAUUGGGUUGAGUUGGGGUCGGAUCGAAUUCGGAUUAAAAACGGUUUGAACUGGAAAAUGAAAAAUUUAUGCCCAUCAUUGGAAAAAAAUACAUUACAGCUUUCUUUAUCAUUGAUUUUUCUUUAUCAUUAGCUGGUGAACAUUAAAAUUUUACAAUUUAUAUAUGAUAAUAAUCACAACAUCAAGAAAAACCAUCAAAAUUUCAAAACACAAGGCUCAGGUUGCGGGUUGGAGAAGUCGGGUUGCUGAGUUGAAGUGGAGCUUGGAGGCGAAAAACUUGGUGAUGGACGGAAGCAUAGAUCUGGUGGUUGUGUCUGCAAAUAAUCAUCGGUUCUUGUGCUGCGUCUUUGAGUGACCAUCGGUUUGCUUUUGUGACUGAAACCCGAUCUGUGAAACCUGAUUGUGUGAGAAAUCGAUUUGUGAAAACUGAAGAGUGAAGACUUAAAAAGAAGAAAGCGAGGGUGUGAAGAUUUAAGGGUGAAAACUGGAGAAGAACCAAAGAAGAGAGUGAAGCGUGAGGCUGUGAAGUGUGAGUAAAAGGUUGUUUAUUGCGAUUUUUUGUGGGUGGGGGGUGGGUGGUGGGUGUGUGUCAGUGAGUUUGAGUGUGUCAGUGUUGAGUGUUUCGCCCCUUUGUGUGUGGGUGUUUUAUUUUUAUUUUUUAUUUUUUUUCAAUAGCCAAAUCCGAUCGGAUUUUCGGAUCGGAUCGGGUUUCGACGAUCCGAUCGGGUUAUGUUAAAAAUCCGAUCCGAUCCGAACCCGAUUAUUUUCGGAUCGGGUCGGGUUAUUUGCCCAGCCCUAAUUUUAACCAUGGUUAAAAUAGUUAAGAUAAAAGGAUUUAAAAUAUUAAAUGAUGGAACGAAGGGAAAAGUAUCCAAAUCACGGGGACAAAAGAGUGUUGCCCCAUACAGACUAAUUAAGAACGAUCCAUCAUCAAAAAAUGAUAGAGAAAGCGGGGCUAAGAAGUAUACACUGCAACUGUAUACUACUUUGACGUAAAACUUUAUUAUGGAAAUUAAGUAAUUAUAUCUUAUUUUGAUGGUUUUGCAGUUUGGAAAGUUUGCAAUCAUUAUCGGCACCAUACCACACAUUAUUUCUAUUUCUAAUUCCAUUGCUUGUCGAAAUUAUUGAGAUUAAUAAUAUUCAAGAUGAAAAGAAAAAUGUUGAUCGAAACAAAUCCAAUUAGUAUGUGCCUGUUUCUGUUGGCUCUACUCAUCUACGUCUUUGCCUUUUUUGUUGCCAUGAAAUCGAACCAUCAAAUAUUCAAGGCAAUUGCUGUUAUCUCAGGAUCUCUUUGUUCAGCCUCGUUGGUCUCCAUUAUUCUACCACACCCAUAUGGACAUUUUAGUUUCAUUAUGUGGGCUUUUGUUCUUCUUCUUGUUGCUUAUAACAGGAGGCUUUAUAAGAAGAUUUGGUAAUUUUGGAAUAGAUUUGGAGAAAACAACCAACUACAAUUGCCAAUAUAGCUCGAUCGCCUGCUAGGUGUGGAUGAAUUAAAACUUUUACAUGCAAAGUACCAAAAAUCAUUAAGUGCUAUUAUAGUUUAUUCACAUACACAUCUCUUAUAGUUCUUAGCUUGACCAAAUUAUGAUUUUAAUUAUCAAAAGAAGAUCUUGUACCAAUCUAAAACAUCAAGUUAGUGUUAAAUUGAUCAAUUUAUCUUAUAUUGAAGAUUUUGUUUUUUCAUUUACUUACCACAUUUAUCGUGAUGCAUUGAUUUAGGAAAAAUAAUCAAAAUCCUUGGUUGUUUAAGAAAAAAUUCAUUAACUUUAAUUUCAAAUAUUUGUUGUAUUUUUUUAACUUUUAAUGUGAUAAAUCUACCAUUAAACAAUGAAAAAAAUCUAGAUAUACUGGUUAAAACACACCCAAAAAAAAAAGUUCACAAUUUUAUUUUUUACAACAUGAGUAUUCCAAUGAAUUGUGAGAGAGGAAUUGAUUAAUUUCUACAAACCGAAUGAGGUUUAAUAACACAUAUUUCAAAAGGUAUUUAUUAAUAAAAGUAUAAAUAAAAUACAUCACUUCAAAAAAGAAAAAAAAAUGAAAAGCAAAAUUACCAUUUGGCUGAGGAGUAUAUGCUGUUGCGUGAUCAAAUUUAUUUUUUAUUUUCCCCCACCUUGUCGAAGCUGGUACUAAAACUAACCAGUAAAAUUAAAAAAUAAUAAAUUGGCUGUACUAAGCUAAAUGCAUAAAUCAAUUAAGCAUUUUUUUUUUCAAAAAGAAAAUUAUAUAUGCAGACACGCACAUGUGGAUGACAGCGGCGGUGGCCAAGAAGCAGCCAGAGUGGCAGCGGCGGCAGCUGUGACGAUUGUGGCAGCGACCAUGAUUGUGUUUGUAAUAUAUUUGCCUUCUCUUAUUUCUCUCUCUCUCUGCAUUACAAUAAAAAUUAUCGUAAAUAAUACGCCAGAGAAGGGGGAGGAAGCACAUGAGAUGAGAAUGGCCCCAUGAUAUGAUAGUGGACUUGAGCAAAGUCGCUGGUGCCUUUUGAAUUUUGAUGCCGCAAUUUUUAUAUUUUUUUUUUGUGUGGAAAUUUCUCAUUUACAUGUGGCAAUUACAUAAUUAAUUUAACAAUACUUUAAGAAAAAUGAUGCAUGCACAAUAAUUUUAUAAGAGAUAGAAAAAUAUUUUGUAGUGAAGUUUUCUUUUGUUAUGCAGUUAAUUUUUUUUUAUUCUAUAGUGAUCGUGUAUGGUUGUUUGUACUAUCUGUUGUGCACAUGUUAAUAUAUAUAUAUAUAUAUUAAUUUAAUUGUAACAUUUGGCCUAAAACAUUGAUUUAGGGAAAAUAAUCAAAAUCCUUGGCUGUUUAAGAAAAAAAAAACUAUUAAUUUUAAUUUCAAAAUUUUGUUGUAUUUUUUUAUUAUUUUACCUUUGAUGUGAUAAAAUCCACCAAUAAUGAAGGAAAGAUUCUGGGAUAUAUUAGUUAAAAAACAAAAAAAAAGAAAGAUAAAAGUUCACAUAAGUUUUUUUUUUUCUUUUAACAACAUGAGUAUUUUGAUGAAUUGUGAGAGAGAAUUGAUUAUUUUUUACAAGAAAAAUAUGGGUAUUAAUCAUUUUCAUGAUUUAUCACCUAUGUGCAAAGUACAAAUAAGAAUACAACAAUAUAACAAUGAAAAGAAAAUUACUAUUUGGCUGAGGAGUAUUAUGCUGUUGCAUGAUCAAUAUUUUUGGGCUCAUUCUCUCUCUUUGUUUUUUACAAUAAAAAAUUAAAAAAAUAAUAUAAAAAAAUCACAGGAAAAUCAAGGAAAUCUAAACCUUAUCCUCAUGACACCACAUCAGAAACAGCACUUACCCAUUCCUAUGUUACAUGUAUACAGGUUGAAGUUGUCAUCUCUGAGUCCAACGCAAUAUUCAUCCAAUUGAUUUUUGGAGACACCAAAACAAGUCUCGAGCACUUGAUAGGAAUUUGCCCAUCUGGUCAACGCAAUAUUCUAUAAAUUGGAUGUAUAGAUGAUCGAAAAGAAACUCCAGCGACUAGGCCCCAAAUAUAGCUUUCUGUCACGGGACGAGAGGUUACGAACCCGUGCGGCACUCCCGCAUCCCAUACUACGAGAGUAAGCCUAGUGGAAGUGGCACAAUGUCGACUGGUUUCGCCCUGCCUCGGGCUCGUCAGGAGAACGGCUUCAGUUCCCAACCAGUGUGCGUCAGGAUUUUCCUAGACCCCACUUCAACGUUAAGUCCUCGACUAGCGACAAGCUCCCCAAACUCAACCGGGUCGGCCUGCCUGAACUCCAAAGAGUCUAGGGCAUUGUAUUCCCCACACACACAUUCCUGAAGCACGUCUCCAACAAUCAGCACAACCAUCAUCGACACUAGCGUACCAGCGCAUAUCUUGGGUGCCACGAUUGCGGUCCGUGACAUUCUCCCACCGCCAUAACCACGCACGUCCUCGUGCAUGCAGAGUACGCCUCGCAAAUGUGCACUUCCGCGCGAAAACGUGAAGAUCGCCUUGCCAAUCUCAACCCAUGAACUCCCUGCCUACUCGUCCUCAAUCCGUGGAGAGGACCCGCGUGCAGACACCAUCCACUCGGUGCGAACGCUUGGGGGUGUGAGAACCCGCCUGUUCGUCCCGCUUGUCGACCCUUGCUUCCAAAAGGGUGGGGACCCGCGUGGUGCGGCAUUGGAGCGCUUGGCGAGCUCGCGACGAGGGCUUCGAGAGAUGACAAGCGCGGCUCUGAUACCAUUUUGUCACGGGACGAGAGGUUACGAACCCGUGCGGCACUCCCGCAUCCCAUACUACGAGAGUAAGCCUAGUGGAAGUGGCACAACGUCGACUGGUUUCGCCCUGCCUUGGGCUCGUCAGGAGAACGGCUUCAGUUCCCAACCAGUGUGCGUCAGGAUUUUCCUAUACCCCACUUCAACGUUAAGUCCUCGACUAGCGACAAGCUCCCCAAACUCAACCGGGUCGGCCUGCCUGAACUCCAAAGAGUCUAGGGCAUUGUAUUCCCCACACACACAUUCCUGAAGCACAUCUCCAACAAUCAGCACAACCAUCAUCGACACUAGCGUACCAGCGCAUAUCUUGGGUGCCACGAUUGCGGUCCGUGACAUUAUGGUCAAGUAAGAAACGCGAAAAAAGAUGACAAAAGUAAUUAAGUUCCAUACGAAUCAAAGAAAGAACUGCAUUUAUUGAAAAUUAAUGCUGAAGAGGGGUCUAGGAAAAUCCUGACGCACACUGGUUGGGAACUGAAGCCGUUCUCCUGACGAGCCCGAGGCAGGGCGAAACCAGUCGACAUUGUGCCACUUCCUCUAGGCUUACUCUCGUAGUAUGGGAUGCGGGAGUGCCGCACGGGCUCGUAACCUCUCGUCCCGUGACAAUAAGCUUAGUUAUGAGCAUUCUGUGAUCUAGAGAGCAAGGGCUAGGAGCUUGAUGGUGCCAUGUUAGAAUAGUGUUAUGAGGUUUGUUCAUGCAUUAACAAUUGAUCUUGAUGUAGGCAAAUUUUUAAACCCAGUGAGUGUAUAAGUUUCUCUUCUUUUGGGUUUUGUAGAAUUAUUCAUUUUUCUCCUUAAUUCCCUUUAUCAUGCUCUGCCAUAACAGAGAAACAUGGCAGAGCAUUAUGAAUAUUAUUAUUUAAUAAUAAUAAUAAUAAUCAUUCUAAUCGAAAGAAUGAUUGAUAGAUGAUUAAUCAACAUUGCUUAAUCAAGAAAUAACACAAAAAUAUCAAAGAAACAAUAUUGAACUAGGCAAAAUGAUCAAUUACAAAAAGGCCGCAUAAAAGAACACAACACAGGCAGGAAAAAAUAAUCAUCCUUACUCUUCUUAAAAUGAGUUUAUCUUAAAUUAAAAAUAGAAUCAUAUGUCAUCUGAACAAAAAUUCUGCAGUUCAUAAAUAUAUCAAAGACUCUACACAAUCACUCAACGCAAGUUUUUUACACCAGGAUGUUCUGACUUUCAGUCACCAGAGCUGGGUUAUAAGUUGGUUGACAGAGCAAUUCCGGCACUUGUAACUUGGAGUUAAGAGAGUUUCUAAUAUUGACUCAGUGUAAAGUUUGCAAAAAGGUCUAUUGAUCUGGGUCUUUUUCUCUUACAUAGGAAGCUUUCCUCCUGAUUGUUAAAAUUAAUAUGGCAGCAUAUGUUCUUGUUUAUAUUUAUAUCCUAAGGGAGUGGGGAGUAACAAUUAUUUCUUAAAUAACUUUUGAUGGUUUUGCAGUAAUGACAAUUUCAUUUCCUCAAUUUCAUAUCAAAAAAUUUUUGGAUAUCUCAUCCCGACCUUGGUCGCUGUCAUGAGUGCGAAUGUGCAAGGCACAAAUGAGCCGUUGAUGGAAACUCGUAGAGUAAGCUUGUGUGUUUCUCUGGUGGCCAUAAUCUUCUACUACAUUGCAUUUGCUGCCGAUAACAUAUCUCGACGCUAUCAAGCAAAAUUUUCGCUACAUUGCAUUUGCUGCCGAUAACAUAUCUCGACGCUAUCAAGCAAAAUUUUCGCAGCUAUGUGGCCCUAUUGCUCUUAUCUUUGGAUCUCUUUCAGUAGCGUCGUUGGUCUCCACAUUUUUCACACAGUUGCUGAAGUCAUUUGCUAUGUUGCAUUGGGUUGCUCUGGCAGCACUGCUAUUAUCAUGGUUGCAUACCAAUACGGCAGAAAAAUUAUGGAUGCUUGUCAUUGGCUUUACCACAAAAUUUUGAGGCCAUCUUUCUGCAAGAUAUUGAAUUGGUUUAAAGCUCAUUAUAACAACAACCCUUCGCCAGAGCAGCAGCAACGUCCGGCAGUGUAAUUGAAGAAGUUUAAUCUUUGUUUUAAAUUGCAUCCAAGACUUUUCACUGACAGGUUCCACUUAUGUUUCCAGAUUUCCAUAGAUUAAAAUAAAUACCUGCUGUUGCAAACAAAUAAGCUCUGUUUUGUUUUUUUGUUGUUAUUUUCACUCUCUGUUUCAGCUUUUCAUUGGUUCAUGAUCUUCGGUUUCCUUUUAGUUUCUUGGCUGCUUCACUUCUUUAUGCCUUUUCACUGAUAGAUUCCACUUAUGUUUCCAGAUUUCCAUAGAUUAAAAUAGAUACCUACUGUUGCAAACAAAUAAGCUCUGUUUUUUUUGUUGUUAUUUUUACUCUCUGUGUCAGCUUUUCAUUGGUUCAUGAUCUUCGGUUUCCUUUUAGUUUCUUGGCUGCUUCACCGCUUUAUGCCUUCACGACGGCUUGACUUCUUUAUGACUUCUUGAUUGCUUCCUUUCUCUAAGGCUUCUUGGCUGCUUCUUUCUUCCAGCUUUUUAAUGCUCUGUUUCUUUUUCUUCUUUGUUGCUUGAUCUUAAGGCUUCUUUUAAGUUCUGCCUCCUUUUGUCUUUCUUUUUCCUCUUGGUCCUCCUCUGUUCGAGUUCUUUGAUUUCUUUCUUGCCUUGGCUUUCAUGAACUGAAUUCUCGUUGCUGCUCUUCUCUGUUAUUUGCUGUUGCUGCUGUUCUCUGUUAUGGGCACUUGCCGAUUCCUUGCUGCCCCUCUCUUGGCCCCCUUUUACUGUCAUAAUCUUGCCCCUUUUAUAGAUAAUUUUGUGCUUAUCUAUUACAGGUGUCAAUACAAGUUACACAUGCCCAACACCUUGACUCUCCAGCACAGUAGGCUUAUAUUUCAUUAAUUCAUUAACAAUACCCAAUAAUAUGCAGCUUUUAAUUCAAUAAUAUACAGUUUUUUAUAGUGCGUUCAUAUCGGAUUAUUAGAUGCAUUGUUUUAUUAUUAUUAUAAAAUAUCAAUAUAUGUAUUGCACUUGUAUUUUCCUGACGAAUUAGAGACUUGAUAUCAGCUGCAAAGGCAAAGCAGUAGAUUGUUUUAUUGUUAUUAUAAAAUAUAAAUAUAUGUGUACCAACUAAGUGUUGGCUCCAUUAGCAAUGGAGUCUCCUUAAGUGGCUUGACUGGGUUUGCUACUCAGUUCGAAUUGCAGGGAAGUCGCCUUUGUUGUGAGAACCUGUGCCUCCCGGUUCGAGCGGGGACUUCUAAUCUGAGUUAUGGUACGGGUUUAAAGGUGCCUCCCACACUUGGGGCCCUCCCCAAAAUACCUCAUGGUUAAGACAAAAAAAAAUAUAAAUAUAUGUGCGUUAAUAUCGGACUCUUAAUCAUGCUGAAAUUGUCUCAACAACCAGCUGAUAAUAAACCCAGAUUGCACCAGAUUCAGCCACGUGGAUAGCGGUUUGCAACGACGCUGAUUCCAGCUCCUCACAUGCUUCCUCAUGUGAACCACUUAAGUCAUGGUUAAAACGGCUUUCGAGGCUGUCGUUUUAAGGCCUAUGAAACUUAAGUCAAUCACGUGUACAGCUCGUGAUCAACUAACUCAAACCCCUUUGCUUAAAACGCUGCCGUUCCUUAUGUAUAAGUUUUGAAUUCAGCAUUUAGUCCAUACUAAUAGGGAAUAUGUUGUUGUUUCGGAUAAUUUUUAUGAUAGAAUAUUUUUAAUUGUCUCACCACCUCAUUUUUUAAACAUGUUUUUAUCUAAACCUUUUGAAGGUACUUAUUUUAUUUUUAUUAUUUUAGGAAAUUCGAAAUCCAAUUCAUAUCCUCGAUUUUUUUGGCCGUUUUCAAAUACUGGCAGUUUUCCUUAAAAAAAAAAAGUUAAAAAUAAUAAUGCUUUGAAGGCAUAAAUUAUCAAACUUUCAACCACUUAAAAAAAAAAAGUUAACAAUAAUAAUAAUUUGAAGGCAUAAAUUAUCCAAGGAAAUAGGAUUAAUUUUAAAAGUCAAAGUCCAUAUUCAUCUUUACUUCUUAUCAAGCAGGAGAAUUGUUGUUUUCCCUCUACGAAAAUGACUAUUUGCCACUAAACCCAUUCUAUUUUUAUAACGUCUGGUAACUUGCUUGACAUCAUAAUUUUAGAUUAUUAUUCUCAUUUCUAAAUACGUUUUUAUUCAUUUUUUUAUAAGUUUGAUAAAUCUGAAAUUAAAAUUUAAAAAAUGUUACACAUUAAAAAUAAGAAAAAUUCUUAUUCUUAUUUUUUUAUUUAUUCUAAUCUAUUUCUUUUUAUUAUUUAUUUAAUUUUUUACAUAUAAACUAAAAUGAUAUUAAUUAAAAAUAAUAAAUAGAAACUUUAAAAUAAUUUCUACUUUAAAUACAUAUUUGCUUUUCACAUAGAUUGUAAGAUAUACCAAAUGAUCACUGUAUAACAAACAAAAAUAUUAUAUUAGUAAUGUUCCAAUGAGGGAUUCCUUUAACUAUUAAAUUAAGGGAUAAAUUAAAAGAUAAGUAAAACAUACGCGUCAAUGCAACGUAUUUUAUUAUGUAAUGGAUUAAAGUGCAUGUUUUUCUUUAUUUUUAACUUAUCCUUAACUUAAUAACCUAAAAAAACUCUUUAUUGGAGCAUUACUAAUAUAUGUAUGUAGUAUCAUUCUCUAGUGUAAAUGUCCUCAUAUUUUUCAUAUGGCCAUAUUAGUAAACAGUGCAGUUUAAUAGUGCAUUAAAACAUAACUCUAUUAAAACUUAUAGUUUGCAUUGACUUUAUUAAAUCGCACGGUUUAACAGCAUGUCCACAUUAAAAAAAAUACAUUGUAUAUCUCAUAAAAAAAAAAAAUUAUGUUUGCUAUACCAAUAAAAUUGGAGCAAGCAUCAUGACACUUAUUAAUGUCAGAUUUCUUAGGUUAUUCAAUAAAAUUGGUUUCAAUCUCGCUUUUAUUCAAGAAUUUCAUGUUUGUAUCCGAUUAAUCUCAUCAAAGUUGAUGUGUUUUUCCUCUAACUAAUGGUUAGGGAUGUAAUUUAUGUCUCUUAAUUUAAAAAGUUUAGGUUUGGGCUUUGAUUAUUUGAUUAUUAAUCUUGUAGCCUUUGGAUACUUUCAAUGAGAGUCUAUUAAUCCACAUUAAGUAUGUUGUAUUUGGACUAUUAAGCUGAAACUAGAUGGCUUCUGUUUACUAAGCAAUACAAGAAUUUGAGUUAUAAUUAGGCUAGCUUUAUGGUUGGCUGUAACUAGAUGGGUUCUGUUUACUAACUUAUCUGUGUUAUCGUCUUUAUUAACCCGUUCUUUAAGCUAUAUUAGGGUAUUAGAAACAGAGCUAUGAAAGAAAUUAGCACCUGCAUUCAUUUUAGUGAAGCUUGGACCAGCUUGUUCAUUCUUAUACAACUAUUAGAGUUGCGCAACUCCAUUCAUAUUCCCCCAGUGUUGGCCAUAGCUGUCUUGUGUGCAUGGAAUUUAGAGAAACAAUAAAUUUAAUGUUAGUGAAUUUAUAAUAAAAAGCUAAAUUCACACGAUGUUAAAUUUAUUGUAAAAGAAAACAAUGUUAAUGUUAGUGAAUUUAUAACAAAAAGCUAACCACGCAUGAAACUUAUUUUUAUUUAAUUUUUGUUAACAAUGUUGUAUUUGAAUUAUUCUCCUCGUUGUUGUUGCGACUUGAGAUAUCAGAAUUAUUUUGUUAUGGCAGUGUGCGCUAGCAAUGUUACAGCUUACUCUGGUUUGAGAAUAGAUGUUGAAAAAGUUUUUUUCAGUAUUAAAAUUUCUAAAAUAUUCUUCACUUAUUUAACAAUUUUAUUUCAUUCUUUUCAUAAUAUAACUUUAAAAAAAUUGACUAUUAAAAUAAUUUUAUAAUUUUUAAUAAAAUUUCUCAUUGACAAUCAAACAACUAUUUUUUUUUUUUUUUGUGUGUGAAACCUUUACUUGUAAAAGUUUUACCAAAAAAACUUUAUUUAGAUGAGCUCUAUUUGAAAAGGUUUUACCAAAUGGAGUCUCAAUAAAGUUAUUUAAUAGAUAAAAUAACUUAUUUAAUCCUUAAAAGUUCUUCUUUAAAAUUAAAACAACUAUAAAAAUUUUGAAAAGAACCUAUAAGAUUAAAUAAACAUUUAUAACUAUUAAGUAACUCAUAGCAAAUAGGCACAUAAUUGUAAAAUGAUAAGACUUUAAUAUUUUCAUAGUGAUUUGAUAUUUUGUAAUUCCUGAAAUAGUUAGGCGAUAAUAACUCUUUUUAUAAUUAUAAAAUCAUAUGUUUGCUUGAACAACAAAUUAGAAUUGACAACACUGUUGUAAUGUAAAAAACAUUAGUAAAUUUACUUUCACUACAUACUUCAAUUACAUUACUUUUUGCACUGUUUAGGGUCCUCUGUAGCGGAAUGUGAACAGACCGUUUGUAUGCUUAAAGAUUCGAAUUAGUUGAGUUAAUUAACCCGAGUUAGUUGAUAAGAGAUGUGAUUUCUAUCCACCCCGCCACUGAGUUGAGUCAAAUUAUGGGGAUGUACGAGUGUGACUCUGCCUUUUUCUAUGAGAAAUUGUAACCCCUCUUCCUCAUUUUAUUGCUUCUCUUUCUUCUCUCCCUGCUUUUUUAAACAACCGCACAUUAAUCAUCACGUUUUGCAAAUAUUCUUCAUCCAUCCUUUGACCAACAUCUUGCUCAUCAAUUCAGACGUUAAAACAAUAAUCUUACCAGGUCCACAGUCACUAAUGAUCUAAUAAUUUGAUGAAAUAAAUAGAUAGAGUUUGUUGAAUCAUGCAUGAAUGAUAUAAAUAAAAUAUAACUUUGUUUUUUCCUACUUAAUCAGCGAUGAAAAAUUAUUUUAAAUUCGAAUCUCUUAUAUCUGCAUUUUAUUACGGACUUGCCGUUCUUUGAUGGUAGGAAAUUGAUUGUAUGAAAGAUAAAAAUUAAUUAGAAUUUUGUAUAGUAAAAAAAUUGAUUUUUUGUGUGAAGGUACAAUUCUUUUUGCCCUUCGAACGGGUGUGAUUUUGAUGGUACAAUUAAAGCUUAGCAGCCAUUCGGCCUUUGGCCGAGUGGUCAGGGCUACUGCCCUCCAACUUGGAGAGCAGCAGUUCGAACCCUCACAAAGUAUUUGUGGGGGUAUUUUUUUUCUCAAUUAAAUUUGAGUGAAGGCAGUCUUCUUUCUUACCCAAGUGUGAGGAGUAGACAUUCUUUGAAUAUUUGUGAAGGUUAAAAUCUAGGCAGCGCUCCAUUAGCAUUGAUGUAAGUUGUGUAAGUUGAUCCCAGUAAUAGUCUGAUUUGUAAAUAUCAGUUAUAAUUUCAUGUAAUAUGAGAUGUAAUUUGAGUAAUAGUCUCAUGUAAUAAAAAAAAAAUUAAAGCUUAGCGAGUACACUAAUCAGACAGUAAUCAAUACGUGGAAACUGGCUAAAGUGAGAAAUUCUAUAACUUUACGGAUCAGCUUUAGCCAAUUCCAUUACUUGCAUGUUUUUCCUCUCUCCUCAGGAUACGUGUGCUCUUUCCAUUCGGUGUUAUUCGUCGACUACCGCAGCAACCAUUACUACAAUUACGAUGCGAAUUUGACAUAUAAAAUACCAAAAUUGCACUUGAUUAACUCCAAAAAAUAACAAAAUAAGCAUUAUGUUUUGGUAAUUCAAAAACAUUUUCAUGGUGCCCAUGAGAACUGCGAGUUGAGCACAUGCUCCUGAGCUUGUCGGCUUUGUGCAGAAGAAGAAGAGUUGCAUUCCGAGAUCAAUAUGAUGCAUAUAAGAUGCCCCUGCCAACAUCGACAGAACUUUGAUCCUUCAAGGUUCCCAAGUACACUUUUCUUACAUUUUUAGUUGUUAUGAACUCAAUUUUCAAUGCAUACAGUGUUGGGAAAAUAUGCUCUUUAAAAGCAUAUGUGUUUAUUUAAUUGUAAUAAAUAAUUUUUCUGAUUAAUAAAAUAAAAGAGGUAUUUUAUUCAAAUAUCUUAAUUGCAUUAAUAUUUGUAUUAAAAUCCAUUUAAUCAUAUUAUAUGUAUUUAUGUGAUCACCAUGUGGAUUCACAGAAGACAUAAAUACAAGUUAUCUUAUGAUUAAAUAAAUUUAGUUCGCAGUUGAUAAAUAAAGUUGGGCACUUUAUUUAGGUAUAGACUGUAAUAAAUUCAUUGAAUGAUUUGUCUUAAUCAUGUAUGAAUUUAUUGAUGUAGUACGACUACAUUGAACAGGAUCACAUAUGAGAUUUAAUUAACUUUGUAAUAACUGUCAGACAUAUUAAAUCUCAUAGGCAUUGAUUUUACUGUAAUCUUAAUCUUGAGUUAAUUAUGAUUUCAUGAUUGUAAUUGUUAUUCCAUUUGAGUUACCAAUGGGCACGACACAUCCUUGUGGUCAAUAUUACCCGGUAUCUUGGUGGGAGCAAUUAUGAGUAAUGAAGUUAUGGAUUAACAAUAUAGAAUUUGUACAACACAUCUCUUGAUGGGUUUUCGGCACUUGAUCAUAUAAUUCUCUGGCCAGAGUGUGUCAACAUAUUUAGUAUGUUGAAAAUGAUCAUUAGAGAAAACCAGUAAGGAUCAAGGAAUAAGAUGUUAUUAAAUUGAUUGGACAGUUGAGAUAUCAAUUUAAUUAACGAUGUGGUACAAAGGAUUGUGCAGUAAAGAAAUCAAUGUGGCUUGGGACAAAUUAUUAUUCGAGCAUACAAUUAUGGAAGUCAGUUCCAAUCUUUUAGUGGAGUAGAUUUGGAAUUAAAUAAUUAGGCUAGUUUAAUUAUAGGCCUAAUUAUUGUAGCCACUAUUGUAUGUUCCCAAAUGAUCCCCGGGUUAGCUCAUUUAAUUGACUGCACCACUACUGGACUAAUAAGUAACAUAACUAGCUAUUUGGGUCAAAAGCCUAAAUAUAUCAUUUAGUGGGAGGCUCCAUUUAAUUAGCUUUUGUGUAAGGGGCCUUAUGUUAUUUUACAAGGUGGGUCCCCUAUUGAAAAAGCAAAUAUCGUGGGUUUUAUUUUUUGGGAUUAUUUGGAGCCUAGGGUUUUCACUAAAGGGUGAUAUAAAAGGCUUAUUUUCUCUAUAAAAAAAAAAAGCCACUUUAUACAUAUCAGAGAAUAAAAUUUUUCUCUCUAUUAUUGAGAGAAAAAUUUUCUCGUGCUAGUUGCUUUGGUAGUGAUAAAGGCGUCCAUACGUCAAGUGCAGAUCGAACCUGAGUCAUAACCUGGAAGAUCAUUGGUGACAGUUUGUGAUCUAACAAGCGUGGUGGUGACGGAUCGUGAUCUAAUAGGAGUAGUGGUGGCGGAUCGUGAUCUAGGAGCCUAAAUCACUUCAGCGGAAAAAGCCAACUCGGAUUUUCAAGGUACGAUUUCUAGAAUACAAAUUCUUAUAUAUUAUAUGAGAGCGAUCUUCAAAAGGUUUUAUAAAAAAUUUAAAAACCUAAUUUUUCCCUAACAAUUGGUAUCAGAGCCAUUUCAUAUUAAUAUAUAAGAAUUUCGUAUGAAAUCAAUUUUAAUAUUUAUGCAUUAGAGUGGCACAAUUUAUUCAGAAAUAUAUUAUUUGUGUAAUAUAUGAAUAAAGCAUGUUUUGGUUUGUCUUAAUUCAUGGUUAGAUUUUCUGUUGUAUUUUUCGUUUGGAUCUGUAACAAGAGGGGUGGGUUUUUAUCACCAUAAUUCCCUCUUGAUUUAUUUUACUGUAAUUGAAAUUUUGUAAGCCAAAAUUUGCGUUGAAAAUUUGUAAAUCACUGAAGCAUCAUCACUGGAAAACGAGCUCAAACAAUCGAGGCUGGAAAUUUCAGCAACAAGCGGUCAGCAGCACACGCUGCUGCGCGAGCAGCGCGCGGCCCACGUGGGCAGCAGCGCACGCUGCACGCCCAGCAGUUGCCGCGUGCGCGCUGUGGCUAGCAGCUGCAGCACGCGACCAACAGCUGCAGCGCGCGCGGCCAGAAGCUACAGCAGGAGACAGCGCCACCUGGUGUAGCGUAAGGGAUAAUGGCGUGCAGUUCGCGGGUUCCGUCGAUUGGUGGCUUUCCGGCGUGGCGGCAAUGGUUAAAUCGGCGUCGGACUUGGAUGAACAGUGACUGUUUUUGGAGAUGGCGGCUGGGGAAGAGAGAAAGACAAAUAUGAAUUUAGGGUUUCUUGGUUUUUAUCAUGGUGGUCCCUAUGGUUCCAUAAGUUUUCAUUUGGGCAGAAAAGUUUUUAAUGUUUUGCGUUUAAAUCCAAAAAACAGUUUUGGGUUUAAUGAAUCCUAGUUUUAGGCCCAAUUUCAAUUGGGCUUAAUGGAUUAAAAUGCAUAGAUAAAAUUAAAUACAUUAAAUUUAUUUUUGGUCCAAAAGUUUUAUUUAAUUAUUUAUUUAUUUCCUUUCAAAAUUAAAAUUGGACCAAUUAUAAAUUUAAAAGCUCAAUUUCCCCUAGUCCAUCAACAAAGACAAGCUUAUGGAAGACGAACAUUGACAAGAAGCCCAAUGAAGAUUAGGCUUAGGGUUAAUGUAUUUUUCAUUAUUAGGAAAGCCAUGAAUUAAGAUUAAUUAAUUGUUUUUCUAUAUGUUAUGUUUUGGAUGAUAACAUGCCAUGAUAACAUGUCAUAUAAAAUAGGUAGUGCCACUCUAUGCAUAAUCAUACAUGUCAUUCAUUAAUUAUGAAUUUCAUUAUAUUGUUUGAAAUUUGCCUAUGCUUAAUAAUAUUGGAUAUCAUCUAGAUAAUAUUAUAGGAAGCAUGCAAUUAACAAUAUGUAUGUUUUAAAAAGGAAAAAUCAAUUUUAAAAUAUUGAGUGGGAGAGGGAAAAUUUAAGAUAAUUUUUCCCACGGGCUCCAUUGUUAGUUCAAUAAUAAAAUUAUAUAUAUACCUCGACUUCAUGAUACGGUGAUGCUCCCUACGGAGGGUAUAUAUAUUAGAUAUUUUAUUUGAUGAACUUCUUCAAAGAUAAAAUUGAAAUAUUUUUCAAUCAAUUGUUCGCCCCAACGGUGACUAUUGAUAUGAAAAAUACGUAGAUUGAAACAAUGGUUAUACACUCAACUAAAAUUUGUUAUUAACCUUCCCAACGAAGCUCUGUUAACAAAUUUAGGCUCAGAAUGAUAACGAUAAUUAUUUAUCAUGUCUCUACAUGAAAGUAAAUAAUCUAAUGGAUAAUUGGGUCUAGUAAGUGUAGACAUGACUUCCCCAACGGAUAGCUUGUCAAAGCGGUACUAGAUUAUCGUUACAAUAAAUUAAAAUGCAUUUAUGAUUUUUUGCAUUUUUGUCAUUUAUUGUGAAUAUUGUUUCUAAAUAUUUAUGCAUGUGUAUUUUGUUUUUUUUUUUCAGUAAAUGUCUUCCAUCAACCCAUUAUUAAUUAUCCUUGUUAAAAAUGAACUCACUGGCGAAAAUUAUUUAGAUUGGAAACGCAAUCUAUUUAAUAUUCUCACUGCUAAGGGAAGCAAAUAUGUGUUGACCCAGCCUUGCCCUCCUGAACCAUCGUUAUACGAUUAUAGAAAUCAGAAAGAGCCUUAUGAGAAAUGGUGCGAAGCUAACAAAAUGGCUAAGCGCUAUAUAUUGGCUUCGAUUUCUGUGGAACUGCAUAAGAAACAUCGGAGCAUGGAAACAGCCACUGAAAUUAUGGCUAGUCUUCAUCAGAUGUUUGGGCAAAAUACCCAUUUUGCCAGAGAAGCAGCAUUAAAACGUAUUACGGAUACUAAGAUGGAAGAUGGCACAAAAGUUCGUGAUCAUAUCCUCAAAAUGAUGGACUAUUUGAAUGAGGUAGAGAUUCAUGGUGUACAAAUCAAUGAUAAAUCAAAGAUUAACAUGGUGAUUGAAUCUUUACCUGAUACAUUCAAAGAGUUUAAGGUCAGCUAUAUCUUAAACAAUAAAGAUAUGACCUUAAUUGAAUUAAUGCACGAACUACAUGCUAUAGAAGAAUUUUAUCAUAGCAGAAAACUUCCUGAAAAAGAAUUCUCUUCAAGGCUUAAGUCGAAAGACAAGAAUGAGCAAGCAAGAGUUGGGAUCGGCAAACUGUCCACCAAAAGAAGUGGCAAGCCAAAAGGCAAGUGUUACAAAUGUGGACAGAAGGGUCACUGGAAGAAAGAUUGUCCUAAGAUUAUUAAAAUCAGGUAUAGGAAAUCUUUAAGCUUCCUAAUUAGUUCAGAUUUCUAUUGAUUCAUACAAUAAUGAAUUCUGAGAUAACUAAUCUUAUUUGUAAUUCAUUUAUUUGGUUUUCAGGAAACCAAGAGAUUAAGUGAAGAAAGCUUCAAAUAGCAGUUGAGGACAUGCUAGUUUAUAUCAAUUGAAAGACUAGAUCAAUUUUACAAGACUUUAGUUUUGAUAUUUGUCUUUAUUUUUCCAAAUAUUAGAGGAAUUUAAUUUCGGUGGCUUGUUUUAAUAAACAGGAGUACAUUGUUAUUUUUGGAUCCUCUGUUUAUUACUUAUUUUGGUUAUUUAUAAAGACAAUUUAUAUCAUAGAAGUACAUUGAUCUAUUCAAAGAAGAUAUAAUGAUAAAAAGUAUAUGCAUUUAUCUAAGAAAAGAAAUGUUUCUUCUAACCAAAAAUCACCUCUGAUAUUUAUGCUUAAGUCGUAUAAAUUAUAAUAAGAUUUUAAGAAAAUGAUUAAUGAUAGACUUGUUGGCCUAUUAAGAUUGAUCAUUGUAACUCUAUGAAUCUUAUUUAGAAAAGUAAUAUGACAAAGAUGCUCUUUUUGAGCUAAAAGCAUAACAUUGUAUUUGAUGAUUUAGCGCAUACAAAUGUAUACAGACUAAUCAGUUUACAUGUUAUAAGAGGUUAUGAGUAUUCUAUCAAUCUUGUUGAUGAAUAUUCAUUUUAUUUAUGUUUGUCUAAAUGCGUCAUGAUUCCAUUGCUUUUGAAAUUCAAAAGAGUACGUGGAUAAGAUAGAAGCAAUUAGACAGGAACAUAAAAGAACUUCGAUAUGAUCGAAACAAAGAAUAUCUCUAUGGAGAAUUCAAGCACUAUUUGGUUGUCAAUGAACACUAUGAUACAAUAGUGUAAUUAAAUGGAGAAACAAGAUUCUUUUGGAUAAGACAAGAUAUAUACUAAGUGGUUUAUCAUUUACCUUUUUGAUUCCAGAUACUAGUAUUUAAAACUACAAAGUUUAUUGAACUUAGUUUCAUCUAUCUCGGUGUCUACUACUCCAAGAAAUUAUGAAAAAGUCACAAACAUGGUUUGAGACACAUUCGUAUUUGGAGUUUACUAGUAUUUCUACUAGAAUAAAAGAUAGAGAAGAUGGAUUCGUGUUUAGAAGCUUGCAUGUUUUAGGUAUCUUAAAAGAAUAAGAGAAAGUCUGAAUUAUAGUUCUCAAGAUAGGAAUGUAUUUAUAGAAUUAUUUUUUACUUUCUUUGAGGAAGACUAUAUAAUGACUUAUAACCUAAGAGUAAGGUAAAACUAGAGAAAUAAAAGAGAUCAGGUUGAUGCUCAGCUUUCAACAUCUGUUAUAGAACAGGAAGAACAGCAACAACCAGCUGAUCAGCACAAGAUUAUCCUUGAACAACUAUCAUUUUUAGAACCUCGUCGUAGUGGGAGGGUAACUAGGUUACCUGCGAGAUACAUGUUUUUGGGAGAAACCUAUAUGGCUAUCUCAGAUGAACAUGUACAAGAUCCCACUAGUUACAACGAAGCUUUAAUAGAUAAAGAUAUUGAAUUUUGGAAAAAGGCCAUGAAUCAAGAAAUGGAAUCUAUGUAUUCCAAUAAAGUCUGGGAACUUGUAGAGGCACCAAAUGGGGUAAAACCUAUAGGGUGCAAGUAGAUCUACAAAAGAAAAAGAGGAGUAGACGGAAGGGUGGAAACAUUUAAAGCAAGAUUAGUAGCCGAAGGGUUUACUCAGAAAGAAGGAAUCGAUUAUGAGCAAACCUUUUCUUCGGUUGCUAUGCUUAAAUCCAUCAGGAUUAUACUCUCCAUUGCUGCAGUGCUAGAUUAUGAAAUUUGGCAAAUGGAUGUCAAGACUGCCUUUCUUAACGGGCAUCUUGAAGAAAACAUCUACAUGCAGCAACCAGAUGGAUUUAUACAAAAAGGCCAAGAACACAUGGUAUGUAAGUUGCAGAGAUCCAUUUAUGGAUUGAAGCAAGCAUCCCGGUCAUGGAACAUCAUAUUUGAUCAAGCGAUUAAAUCGCUUGGAUUCAUUAGAGCGUUGAUGAACCAUGUGUGUACAAGAAAAUUCAGGGAAAUUUUGUAGCCUUCCUAGUUCUUUGUGUAGAUAAUAUUCUCCUGAUUGGAAACGAUAUAGGAGUAUUGACUACAAUAAAGAUUUGGUUAGCAAAACAAUUUGAUAUGAAAGACCUGUGAGAGACAAGUUAUAUUCUUGGUAUCAAGUUACUACGAGACCAGAAGAAUAAAACUUUAGCCUUGUCUCAAGCGGUCUAUAUCGAUAAGAUAUUGGCUAGAUUUAGCAUGGAAAAUUCCAAGAUUGGUUUAUUACCAUUCAGACAUGGAAUUACAUUCUCUAAGGAUCAAUCACCUAAAACAUUGUGCAGAAGCUGUGGGAAGUCUCAUGUAUGCCAUGUUUUGCACUAGGCCAGACAUCUAUUUUGCGGUAAGGAUGGUUAGCAGAUAUCAAUUUAAUCCUGAACCUCAAUACUGGACUGCAGUCAAGCAUAUUAUAAAGUAUCUGAAAAGAACUAAAAAUUAUAUGCUUAUGUAUUUUGGUGAUGAACUCUUUCCAGUGAGUUAUACUGAUUCUGACUUUAUGUCAGAUAGGGAUUCCAGAAAAUCUACUUCUGGCUAUGUGUUUGCAUUGGGAAGUGGAGCUAUUAGUUGGAGGAGUGUGAAACAAUCUUGUAUCGCAGACUCCACAACUGAAGCUGAAAAUGUGGCUGCAUCCGAAGCUGCAAAAGAAGCUGUAUGGCUCCGCAAGUUCCUACAAGAUCUUGAGGUGGUACCUGCUGUUACUGCACCCCUUAAACUAUUUUACGAUAAUGGUGGUGCAGUAGCUCAAUCUAAGGAACCAAGGAACCACAAGAAACAAAACAUAUUGAGAGGAAGUAUAAUCUCAUAAGGGAAUAGUAUAGAAAGGUUAUAUGACAGUACCCCAAAUGGCAUUAGAUGCUAAAUGGCAGAUCUUAUUACAAUGGCCAUUAGUGGGAAACCUUUAUAACCUGCACUUAGAGCCCUAGAGCAUGUGCAAUAUGCCAAAUAUGCUUUGAGAGCUAGUGGGAGAUUGUUGGGAAAAUAUGCUCUUUAAAAGCAUAUGUGUUUAUUUUAUUGUAAUAAACAAUUUUUCUGAUUAAUAAAAUAAAAGAGGUAUUUUAUUCAAAUAUCUUAAUUGCAUUAAUAUUUGUAUUAAAGUCCAUUUAAUCAUAUUAUAUGUAUUUAUGUGAUCACCAUGUGGAUUCACAGAAGACAUAAAUACAAGUUAUCUUAUGAUUAAAUAAAUUUAGUUCGCAGUUGAUAAAUAAAGUUGGGCACUUUAUUUAGGUAUAGACUGUAAUAAAUUCAUUGAAUGAUUUGUCUUAAUCAUGUAUGAAUUUAUUGAUGUAGUACGACUACAUUGAACAGGAUCACAUAUGAGAUUUAAUUAACUUUGUAAUAACUGUCAGACAUAUUAAAUCUCAUAGGCAUUGAUUUUACUGUAAUCUUAAUCUUGAGUUAAUUAUGAUUUCAUGAUUGUAAUUGUUAUUCCAUUUGAGUUACCAAUGGGCACGACACAUCCUUGUGGUCAAUAUUACCCGGUAUCUUGGUGGGAGCAAUUAUGAGUAUUGGAGUUAUGGAUUAACAAUAUAGAAUUUGUACAACACAUCUCUUGAUGGGUUUUCGGCACUUGAUCAUAUAAUUCUCUGGCCAGAGUGUGUCAACAUAUUUAGUAUGUUGAAAAUGAUCAUUAGAGAAAACCAGUAAGGAUCAAGGAAUAAGAUGUUAUUAAAUUGAUUGGACAGUUGAGAUAUCAAUUUAAUUAACGAUGUGGUACAAAGGAUUGUGCAGUAAAGAAAUCAAUGUGGCUUGGGACAAGUUAUUAUUCGAGCAUACAAUUAUGGAAGUCAGUUCCAAUCUUUUAGUGGAGUAGAUUUGGAAUUAAAUAAUUAGGCUAGUUUAAUUAUAGGCCUAAUUAUUGUAGCCACUAUUGUAUGUUCCCAAAUGAUCCCUGGGUUAGCUCAUUUAAUUGACUGCACCACUACUGGACUAAUAAGUAACAUAACUAGCUAUUUGGGUCAAAAGCCUAAAUAUAUCAUUUAGUGGGAGGCUCCAUUUAAUUAGCUUUUGUGUAAGGGGCCUUAUGUUAUUUUACAAGGUGGGUCCCCUAUUGAAAAAGCAAAUAUCGUGGGUUUUAUUUUUUGGGAUUAUUUGGAGCCUAGGGUUUUCACUAAAGGGUGAUAUAAAAGGCUUAUUUUCUCUAUAAAAAAAAAAACCACUUUAUACAGAUCAGAGAAUAAGAUUUUUCUCUCUAUUAUUGAGAGAAAAAUUUUCUCGUGCUAGUUGCUUUGGUAGUGAUAAAGGCGCCCACACGUCAAGUGCAGAUCGAACCUGAGUCAUAACCUGGAAGAUCAUUGGUGACAGUUUGUGAUCUAACAAGCGUGGUGGUGACGGAUCGUGAUCUAAUAGGAGUAGUGGUGGUGGAUCGUGAUCUAGGAGCCUAAAUCACUUCAGCUGAAAAAGCCAACUCAGAUUUUCAAGGUACGAUUUCUAGAAUACAAAUUCUUAUAUACUAUAUGAGAGCGAUCUUCAAAAGGUUUUAUAAAAAUUUUAAAAACCUAAUUUUUCCCUAACAUACAGUUCUUUCUUCAUUCAUAUAUAUGACGCUUAAUUACCUUUGUUAUCUCUUUUGGCAUUUCUUACUUGACUAUAAACUUAGUUAUAGCAUUCUGUGAUCUAGAGAUUAAGGGCCAGAACUUGAUGGUGCCAUGUUAGACUAGUGUAUGAGGUUUGUUCAUGCAUUAAUAAUUGAUCUUGAUGUAGGCCAUUUUUUUUUUUGUAAAAGCUAAAGAAAGUUAAGUUUUAGAAGACCAUUACUUCUUUAAACCUAGUAAGCUUAUAAGUUUCUCUUCUUUUGGGUUUUGUAGAAUUAUUCAUUUUCUCCUUAAUUCCCUUUAUCAUGCCCUGCCAUAACUCAAAAAUUAUCUGCUAUGACAGAGCCUGAUGGAUAUUAUUGCUUAAAAAUAAUACUACUACUAAGAAUAAUUGAUAGAUGAUCAAUCACCAUUGCUUAAUCAAGAAGUAACACGAGAACGUCAAGAUUGAGUAAAAAGAAAAAGAUUAAACACAACAAAAUGAUAAAUUUCAAAAAGGUCACAACAGAACAAAACAUAAGAAGGAACAUUAAUUGACUUGACUCUUCUUAAAAUGAGUGUAUCUUGAAUGAAAAAAAGAAUCGUAUGUCAUCUAAACAAAAAUCCUACAGUUACUAAACAUAUAAAGAGUCCAUACAAUCACUCUUAACGCAAGUUAUUUACACUAGAAUGCUUUGACUUUCAUUGACCAGAGCUGAACUUGAUCAAAUUAGGGAGUCAGAGAGUUUCGAAUAUUGACUCAUUAUAUUGUAAAGUCCUUGAGUAUUUCUAUUGGUCUGCGUCUUUUUCUCUUAUAUAGGAAGCUUUGCUUUUGAUUGUUAAAAUUAAUUCGAUGGUUUUGCAGUGAUGACAAUUUCAUUUCCUCAAUAUCAUACUCAAAAGUUUUUGAAUAUCUCAUCCCGACAUUGGUUGCUGUUAUGAGUGUGAAUGUGCAAGGCACAACUAGGCCGUUGAUAGAAACUCAUAGAGUAAGCUUAUGUGUUUCUCUGGUGGCCAUAAUUAUCCACUACAUUGCAUUUGUUGUCGAUAACAUGCCUCAACACUACCAAGCAAAAUCUCCACACCUAUGGGGCCUCAUCGCAGUUAUUUUUUUAUCUUUUUCAGUAGUGUCGUUGGUCGCCACAUUUUUCACACAGUCGGUUGCCGAAAUCAUUUGCUAUGUUGCAUUGAGCUGCACUGCUAUUAUCAUAGUUGUGUACCAAUAUGGCACAAAGCUUAUGGAUGCUUGUCAUUGGCUUUACCACGAAAUUUUGAGGCCAUUUUUUUGCAACAUCUUGAAUUGGUUUCAAGCCCAUAAUAACAACUUCUCUUCAACGGAACAACAACAACGGCCGUUAGUGUAAUUGAAGCAGUUUAAUCUUUAUUUUAAAAUUUCAUCCAAGACUUUUUACUUACAGAUUUCACUUAUGUUUCCAGAUUUCAAUAGAUCAAAAAAUAUACUCAAAAUGUAUAGUUUUUCAUUCAAUAAUAUAUAUGUUAUUAUUGACUUUUAUUCACAUAAAAAAUAUUUUUAUUUUUAUUUUUAUUUAUAUGAUUUAUUUAAUCUAGAAUGGAUAUGAAUAAAUAUGCAUUUGAAAUGUUAGGAGUUAUUAGCUAUUAUAAAAAUAAUAGGGAGUAAGUAGAUACAAUCUUUCAAAAGAAAAUUUUAAUAUUUAUUAUUGGGAUAUUAUUAUUUUCUUACCAAAAUUUUUCUGACAUAUCAAGUCAGUACCAUGCUUUAGUAAAAACUGCAUUUUACCACCAAACGUUUAAUUUGUUAUCACUUUAAUAUCUUUCCAUUAAAAAUAAGUUAAUAUUUAACGGAAUAUGAGUUAAAAGAUGAUUUUGUCCAUGGAGCAUUAAAGACGAUUUUGGCCAUGGAAAAGAAAGAAAUAACAAAAAAGAAAACUACAAAAUUAGUCUAGCAAGUAUCCAUUAAUUAAAAAUAUCUCGCAUAAGAUUUUUUGAGAAUUAAGAUGGUAAUACAAAUGAAAAAAGAAUCUGGCAAUGACAAACUUACACACAAGUAUUAAAAAGACAGAAACAUAUUAAAUACUUCUGCUAGAUAUUAUAACAAACUAAACUCCAAUCUUUAAAGCCACACCUACGUAAAAGGCUAAAGAGAGAACGCCAUAUAAACAGAUUCAGAUCAAACAAACCUAUGAAGCGAAAAAAGAAAAGAAAAGAAAAACAAAAACAAACAGGGCCACAUUGGGUUGAUUUUAGAGAAUCAGCCAGGAAUAAUAGAGCAAAUACAAUCAAGUUGUUUGUUAGAGUCCAUCUCCAUAGGCACAUUCCCGUUAUUGUUGUUAUUAGCCUCCUUCUCUCUGUCAUCUCUCAGCCUCUUCACCGGCAAAUAACUAGCAGUAACAGACCCAAUUUCCACCAUAGCAUAUAUUAUUAUUUAUUAUUCUCUCUGCUUUCAAACCCCUAAAAACCAACAACCACUUCACUUUUAUUAAAAACUAAUUGCCGAGUCAGCUCUUGAGAGUCAAGAGCCACCACGCAAACACAAUCUUGGUCCCUCUUUGCUGUAUAUGUAGAAAAAAAAGCAAGCAGCAAGUGGUGGGAGAAUAUAUAUAAUAGUUACAAAUCUUUUAUCAAAAAAAAAAAAAAAGAGAAAAGAAAAGUUACAAAUUUGGCUUUGCAAAGAUGCGGCUCCUGUGUGUGUUUGUAUUUUGUUUGUUGAUAUUUGUGCUUGGUUGACCGUGAGAGAGAGAGGGGUCGUGAGAGAGAAAGAGAUCGGAGAUGGAGGGUUACGAUUUUUUUACUUUUUUUAAUUAUUUACCAGGCAUAUGUUGCAAGACUAAAUGUUUAUUUUACAAAUUACCAGCAUUUUGACUUUAGCCGGAAAUUUAGUAAAUGUCGUUGUGCAUUAGUAAAUUUUUAACCACAUUAAUAGAAUGGUGGUAAAAUAAUAACAAAUUAAAUAUUUGAUAGUAAAAUAUAAUUUCUAUCAAAAUAUAAUACUAACUUGAUAUGUCAAAAAAAUUUUAGUAGAAAAAUAAUAGUAUUUCUUUUUUAUUUGAUAUUUUUUAAGAUGGUUAAAUUUAUUUACUUAAAACUCUUAAAUUCUGUUAGUAAAUAUAUCCACCGCAAUCUCAUUUAAAAAAAAAAAGUUGAAUCACCAAUAAAAUUGGAAAAUGUAUCAUGACGUUAUUAAUGUCAAAAACUUUUGACUCUACUAACGUACUGAACUAAUUAUACAUCUAAAUGUAAAGAAAUUAGCAAAGAAUAAAAAAUAUUUUGAAAUUUCAGAAUACUUGAAAUUUGGAAAAAAAAAAAAAAAAAGCCAAAUUUCAGUAGCUCUCGGCCCCGCACUUUCGGGGUAAAAAAUUAAAAUAAAAUAAAACAUGUCAGCCUUCUCUCUCACUAUCAGUCGAAGAAGCAUUCUCACAAUCAUUUGAAAUUCUAUAAUCUCAGUUUCAAUGAAGACGAAGAGGCUUGGUUUAAAUCUCGGCUUUCAUCAUGCAAUUUCAGGUUUAGUUUCAGUUAAUCUGACCAAAUUUGAUGGAUUUGUUCCCUAAUUUCAUGAAUGUCAGCUCUCACAUUCAUUCGAUCGAAGAAGCUUUCACUUUCGUUUGAAAUUUUUGAUCUCGAUCGGUUUCACUGCAAAAGAAGAGGUUUGGUUUUAAUCUCGCUUUUAUUCAAGAAUUUCAUGUUUGUAUGCGUUUAAUCGCACCAAAGUUGAUGUGUUUCUCCUCUAAUUUAUCGUUAGGGAUCUAAUUUAUGUCUCUUGAUUUAAAAAUUUAGGUUUGGGCUUUAAUUAUUUGAUUAUUAAUUUGAUAUGAAUGAAUUUAGAUAAGAAGAAGUAGGAGUCAAAGAAGUAGAAGUCGAAGAAGUUAAGAAAGGAAGGAAGAGUUCUUUUGCUGAAAAUCCGUUUCCCAUUAUCUAGAUGCUUUUGGCUAUUUAUAGCCUUACAAACGUGACAGAUAAUGUAGCAAAACAACUGCAACAACAAGGCAAAAUAAUUGGAAACAAACAUGUAACCAUGCUACCACUUAUGCUUAAGUUAAGCAGCCUAUUUGUCUAACUACCAAACUAAGUUGACUAAGUCUACCGUCUUGACCAUCUCAACAAAUAUGACUAUAUCUGCUUUAUCAUCAAUGCCGCUUUUGGCUACCCACGAACAUAUUGCAUGCAUGCAUAAUUUGCACGUAUCAUUUCCCCCCCUCUUCAAGGAUCCUUGUCCACAAGGUUGAAGUGCCCCAUUUACUUAACCAGUAUAUGGUGAUGUGAAUGGUGGAGGAUCUUCAAUCAUGAACAGCUGUGGCCUUUGGCAGUGAUGACCAGGAAUGAAUUUCUCGUCACAAAAAUAACAUAGCCCUUUUUCACGUCGAGCCCGUGCUUCUUGGUUAGUCAACCGCCGGAUAGGAGGAGGAGUGUUGGCAUUGGCUGUUUGGUUUGCCUUAUGAGGGGGGCCCAAGAUCCCAGCAGAACUAUUUGAGAUUGGUGGUUGCAUCACGGAAAUAGGUGGUGGUUGAGAAAAGUGUUUGGUGCCGCGGAAGAGAGAAUUUCGCUCCUCAAUUAGUCUUGCCACACCAAUGGCGUUAGCCAAGGUACGAGGUUGUUUAAUCUUGACAUCGAGUCGUAUUUCAUCCUGAAGACCUGCGAUGAAACAACCAAUUAAAAAUGUUUCAGGUAAACCAUCGACUUGAUGAGAAAGCUUUUCAAAAACUUCCUGAUACUCAGCCACUGAGGAAAUUUGUUUUAAGCGUGUUAAAGCUUCAGAAGGAUCCUCAUAAUCCGUUGGACCAAAAUGGAGUAAUAUGGCUUUGGUAAAUUCAGUCCAAGUUUGUGGUCCUUUGAAUUUGGUUAGCCAGCGAUGCCAUUGGAGUGCUAUUCCUUCGAGAUGGAAAGAGGCCAAUUUGACUUGCUGUUCUGAAGCAAUGCUUUGGAAAUCAAAGUAUUGUUCAGCUUUGUAAAUCCAUCUGAUAGGGUCAUCACCGCUAAACUGUGGAAAAGAAAGUUUGAGCUGGGCAUGGGACCGAUCUGGUUUGGAGGUGGAAAGUGAGGUUGGCUGGUGUGAAGGGAUGUGAGUUGUGGCAAAUGGGUUGAUCUCCCUUUCCUGGGAAGUGUGUUGGACACGCAAAGAUUGAAGUUCAGUAAGAAUUGUUUGAAGGGUGGCGUGAAUUUGGUCAAAAUUAGACUCAUGUCUAGCAAGGAUUUCUUGAACCUCUUCACGAAAUUCAGCAUUGGAUUUAUUGCGUGUGGCCAUGGAUCAUUGGAUGCUCUGAUACCACUGAUAUGAAUGAAUUUAGAUAAGAAGAAGUAGGAGUCAAAGAAGUAGAAGUCAAAGAAGUUAAGAAAGGAAGGAAGAGUUCUUUUGCUGAAAAUCUGUUUCCCAUUAUCUAGAUGCUUUUGGCUAUUUAUAGCCUUACAAACGUGACAGAUAAUGUAGCAAAACAACUGCAACAACAAGGCAAAAUAAUCGGAAACAAACAUGUAACCAUGCUACCACUUAUGCUUAAGUUAAGCAGCCUAUUUGUCUAACUACCAAACUAAGUUGACUAAGUCUACCAUCUUGACCAUCUCAACAAAUAUGACUAUAUCUGCUUUAUCAUCAAUGCCGCUUUUGGCUACCCACGAACAUAUUGCAUGCAUGCAUAAUUUGCACGUAUCAUAAUUUUGUAGCGUUUGGAUACUGUUGAAGAGAGUGAAUUAAUCCACAUUAAAUAUGUAUUGGAACUAUUAGGCUGAAACCAGAUGGCUUAUGUUUACUAAGCAAUACAAGAAUUGAGUUAUAAUUAGGUCUGCUUAUGUUUUGCUGAAACUAGAUGGGUUCUGUUUACUAACUUAUCUGUAUUAUUAUCUUUUUUAAGUCAUUCUUUAAGCUAAAUUAGGGUAUUAGAAACAGAGCUAGGAAAGAAAUUAGUACCUGCAUUCAGUAUUGCAAGCUAAUUGCUAGUGCUACUUCAGGUAUAUUGACUGAACAAUCAACACCCGGUUUAUGAUACAUGCAUUUAUAUCACACUAUACUUUAAUGAACAAACAUUUUUCUGCCUCUAAAUUUCACAUAUUUGGUGCCAGAAUGGAAAACAAAUAGUCCAAGAAGGUGUAUUAAUUGCCUUGGCAUCAGUUGCUGACUCAUCUCAGGUAUUCUAUAAAAUAUGCUUUGAUUAGAAGUUAUUUCUUAUAGAAACCUGUCUGACAGGAUGAUUUUUUUGUAGUAGCUGCUCCGAUGGAAACUUCUUUUAAAAGUGAAAAAAAGGGGGAAGCAAAGUAUAUGUUGAACUAAAAGAAAGGUAUCUACAAAGGUGAACAAUCUGUCAGUACUUUUGAUACGAGCUUCUGCAUUUGAUGUUCUCUUUUUCUUUUUCUUUUUUGUGGUUAGUUGAAAAGAAUAUUUCUAGAUGCAUAUAAUGCUCUUUCCUGUCUGUUCACCAAAUAUUUAAUUAAUUUUGAAGGCUGAAGAUUUAAUUAACGAGCAACCAGAAGGAGUCCAUCCCUGUAUUGAUUACCACAACAGCUGUUGGUUGCCGUGGUUUGUUUUUAGCACGAAAACUUUAAAUUUUGAGUUUCAUUUUACCCAAAAACCUCAAUUUCAAUGUUUUCAGACCAACCAUCCAUUCUGCACUCUAAAUCAGAAAACAUAUGAUCAGUAAUGAACUUAGAGUCAGGUCCAGCUUAAGGUAGUAACGGAUUCAGUCUUCUGAUUCUGCCAUUCAAGUUUUCUUGAUAAGUUUACUUCCCCCCCCCCCCCCCCUUCAAAGUGUAACUAACUUUCUUUAAAUUCCACUUUCUUCAAUGCUCAGGAACUAUUGAAUCCAAAGUAUUUGAUGAGAGCAGCUCAUCGGGAAAUCAUUAUUUGGCUGAGGUAAGAGCCUGAUUUUUAUAAACACUGCACAAAAAAAAGAUCUUUUUGCUGCUGAAAUUUAAUUCUCAGCAAAUACAUCAUUCUUGCGGAUGACUUAUAGGGAUUUUAAAAUAGUCACAACGUAUAUAUAGAUUUUAAAAUGUAACUAAUUAAUUAGCCACAAGAAAGUUGUUUUAUCAGACUAAAUUCAUAUUAUUUUUAAAAUUCAAAAAUCAUCAUAAAAAAUCUCUCUCUCCCUCUCUUACUCUCAAGUCUUGCUCAAUACUUCACCUCCCAGCCCUGCUCGAUGGUAAUUUAUUGAUUUCAGUUUUAGGUAAGCUCUGUCACUGUAAACUUUGGGUGAUGUGAAUUUUUGUUACUGCAUAGAUUUUAAUAGGUCAAAUUGAAGGGGAGAAAGUUGCUGAUCGUAAAGCUGAUUCUGAAAGCACUUCUUCACUUUUUGAGUAUGAUUUUACAGAUUCAGUAUGUAAUUGAAGUUUUAAAGCAAUGAUUUUGAAUGAUUUAGAAUAUUUAGAUGACUGGUUUAAAUUAACCCAUCAAAGUCGUUGUUUAUACACGUGCACCAUCAUAGGAACAUCUAUUGGAGGAUAGAUUUUUACUUUUUAUCCUUCUUUUCUAUUUUAAAUAUAUAUGUGCGUGUGUGUGAAAAUAUAGGAAAAUUCUCAUGUGUGGAUAUCGGCACAAACUCCAUGAAUUUUCAUGCGGAUUUAGGUGGUGAAAGCCUUUUACACCGGCACAAAACCCCAAGUCUGCACAAAAAUACGUGCGAGCAUUUUAUAUAUAUAUAUAUAUAUAUAUGGCGAGGAGACUGGAUGAGGAAUACAACUCGUUGAAGGAAGGACAACAAAAGCUCAGAUAUGGCACACUGCAGGUCAGGAGGGAUACAGAGCAAUAACCAGUGCCUAUUAAAGGGGCGCGCUUGGAGUGCUCUUUUAGUUUAUGAUGUGACAAAAUCAACAACAUUUGAAAACGUGAGCCGGUGGCUGAAGUAUCUGAGGGACAACUCCAACAUUGUGAUCAUUAUGAUCGGCAAGGGGACUGAUGUGAAGCACCUCCCAACUUCUACGUCAAUUUUUUUAGACUCUCAAUGGAUUAUUGUUUAAACUUGUUUUUAUUUAAUUUUUGUUAACAAUGUUAUAUUUGAAUUAUCCUCCUUAAUUGUUGUUGAGAUAUCAGAAUUAUUUUGUUAUUGUAAGAAAUAAUUCAAUGGGCCACUCCAAUUCUCAGCCCAAUAUGCAGCUUGUUAACCAAAACAAAGAAGCCCAGCACUGUGCUAUUGUCUCCUUCAUUGAAGAGACCUGUCACAGAGUACUUCUGCAUUCAUAGUACAGUGCACAGCGAAAUAUUGUAAACCAUUUGAUGCUAGGGUUACACAAAUCUAUGGCUAGAUUAACAGUUUAGGUUACUUGGAGAGCACAAGCAAAGGCCUGUCAUUAUCUCAACAUUCAAAAUUCUAACUGUUAUGGCCGUGUGUGCCAGCCAUGUUACAGCUUACGAUUUACAUUUUCUUUUCUAAUUUGUAUUUAUUAAUUUUUUUCUUAUAAGAUGGGUAUUUUCCUUGUGUGUUUGCCGAAGUCUUGAACAAUUUAUGUUUACCAAUUUCAAUUAAUAUCUUUUAUGAUACAAAAGUCUCUGUCAAUUUAGAUAUUUUGUUUACACAGUUCUUUAGCAAGUUUUUUUUGACGUUGCAUUCCAAAAAUUAAAUUAAAAGAAAUUAUGUUAAUUGUAAUAUUAAUAAAGAUAUGUAGAUUGAUUAUUGGAUGCGAUGCGACAAUGCGCAAUUUAAAAAUUGAAAUAUUACAAAAGCACAAAUUUUGAUGUGUGAAUGAAAUGAAAUUAGCGGUACUUAUAUGAUCUACGUAUAUAAGAGAUAAUUUAUAAUAAGUCUUCUUCUAAGUAGGUGUGAGGAAGACCUUAUCUUUUAGAAUGUUGACCAAAUCAAAAGGACAGAAAAUCAAUCCUAAUUUGCUAAAAGAUAAUAUAUAUAUAUAUAUUAUAUAUUAAAAUAUGUGUUUUCAUAUAUAUUUUUUGGAAAAUAUCCAUCGUUCACCAGUUUUUUCUAACUUUUUCAAAAAUACACAAUUCUUUUUUUUUACUGAAAUCCACCUAAAGUUACACUUUGUUUUACUUUUCCACUUCCGUUUGGAAUGCGUUAAGAAAACUAACGGAAACUUAAAAAAUGACAAUUUUACCCCCAAAACGAAAAUUACAAUUUCACCUUAAAAAGUGCAAAAAAUAAUCAGAUUUAAUAAUAAAUAUCAUUAUUGGUACGUUAAUAAAGUGUAAAAAAAUCUUAACUACUAGAGAUUAUAACUCAAUAAAUAAUAAAACUCUACUUAUUUUAAUUUAAUUGAUAGUUUGCGAAAUUGGGCUAUUUUUAAUACUAUUAUUAUAAUUUAGCAUUCUAAUUACAGAUGUAUUUAAAAAAAAUGCAUUUGAUGGUUGUGGAAUUAAUUUAUUUAUUAACCGAUCGGGAAAAUAUUUAGAUUUAAUUUGAUUAUUUUUGGUAAUUUUUAGGGUGAAAUUGUUAUUUUUGUUUUGGGGGGGUACAAUGGUCAUUUUUUUAAGUUUCCGUUAGUUUUCUUAACUGAUUCCAAACAGAAGUGGAAAAGUGAAACAAAAUGUAACUUUAGGUGGAUUUCAGCAAAAAAAAAAGAAUUGUGUAUUGUUUAAAAAGUUGGAAAAAACGGAUGGACGGUGGAUAUUUUCCCUAUAUUUUUUAAUUUUGUUCUUAUAUUAAUAAAAUGAGGACUUCCUCAUUAGGAAAUUAUUCAAUUUAUAAUAAACCAAAAAAUUGUCAUAAUUUACACAAAUUAAAGCAUUGCAUUUGCAUAAUUUCAUCAAACUUGCAUAAAUUCAAUUAAUAUUAUUCACAAUCUUACGAGACGAACAAAAAAAAGAAAAGAAAACAAAAAUUAUAUUAAAAAAUAGUUACUAAUAAUGGAAAAUAAAAUGGUUAUACCUUGCAAUUGAUGCAGCAUAUUCAGCAUUCACACCCGUUACGUUUAAGAAAUAAAUUGAGUAAAUUUGAGACCCAACGCAUCCUUAGAUUCCCAUUAUGCUAGAAGAAGGUGAUUUAAAUGUUGAACAAACUUAAAGAAAAGAAAAGAAAAGAAACAAAACAGCAUCUUGUGACCAUCUUGACUAAAUUUCAUUUUCCUCGCAUUUUCAUCGCUACUAAGCUCCAAUCAAGAAUUACAAAACCAACGGUCCAUCAUUGUCUUUCCCUUUUUUCAGUUAUGCCACCCAUGGAACGAAUCCAUAUUAGUCGGUUACUUUAACUCCUAAGUUGGGUCUAUUGUAUGCUUAAAAGAAGUUAGGAGUUGUGAUAAUUAAGCCUCUCUAUAUAUUUCACCAUCCCUUGCUCCUCAAUUAAAUAUAUAUAAUUACUAAAAUUAUCCUUACUUUUUAAUAAGGAUAAUUAAUAUUUUAAUUUUAAUUUUUCCCCCUCUCAUCAGCUCUCUCGCACAAGCGUCACCAUCAUCCUCACCAUUUAUAUUCAUCACUAUCAAAUCAUUACCGCUUGUAGAAUAUAAUGAGUUGUUGUUGUUGAGUUUUAUCUAAUUUUAUAAGUAAGUGAUGAAUUUUAUUGUACUGAUUGUAUGGAUUUUGAUGUGUGAUGAAUAAAUUAAAAAAAAAAAAAAUCAUAUUACUGGUCGCUAUUAUUUCUCACCUCUUGAAACUUAUCAUUAUCAUAAGAGCCGAACAACAAAAUUAUGAAAAUCUAUUUUUGACUUAAUUUUUUAUUCUCUUGUUUUUAUUGUUUUUUCUUUUUAUGCUUCCUUUGUUCUUGAAUUUAGCUUACAAAAUUAGUGAUCAUGAUACCAUAAAUAUUGAGUUUGCUUCAUUGAAGGAGCAAAGUAGGUUACUCCAAAAAUUAAAAGUUGAAACUAAUAACAGUGCAAACGAGAGGAAAAAAAUUUUGAAUUUACCAUUUUUAUAAUAUUGAUAAAAAGUAUAUAGUCUAAUAGUGUCAUCACUCUUCUUCUUCCGUGAAUUGACUAUUUUUAUAUAGUCUCCCUUACUUUUGAGAACCUUAAUUCACUCUCCAUAUUUGUUAAGAAGCCAAAAAUAAAUAAAUAAAUAAACCGAACCUCAUUUUCCCUUAUCUUUUGACUACAUAUAGGGGUAAUUUUAACACUUUUAAAGGUAAGGGGAAUGAUUGAACAUAAUCAAUUUACGAGGGGUGUAAUCCAAAAUUUAUCCUUAUGUUACUCUGAAAAAAGGAUUUAUACUUUUUUAGUGCAAGUUGUUUUUUUACUAUUUGAAUUUGAUUUUUAAGUGCCAAAUAAUUUUUUUAAUAACUUUUAUGUUUGAUUUUUUUAAAGAGUUAUGCUAUUAGCACCCCCUCAUUUCCUAAUAAAACUCCUUCUUUAGAUUUACAAUUUUAUCCAUGUAUAAAAUUAGAGGAAACCACAUCCAAAUUCAUCUCGUCUUCUGCAAACUUAUUACAACCACACAUUGCAGAUUCAUAUUAUAAAUGAAUUAGAUAAUCGUGAACUUGUGUAUUUGUGCUUUUCUUUUAGCAAUUACUGUUAAAAGUUAAAAAAAAAAUUAUAAAUGGGAAUAUAUACAAAUCCUUUCGUAUAAUAGUGACGUCGAACAAAAUAAAAAUAAAAAUAAAAACUGUAAUAAUGAUAGCAUAUCCAUUGAGUCACGAUCUGUCUUCGUUACUUAUUACGUACGAUUGCAAGUCAAACCAGGUCGGGUUUCGAUGGCAUGACGAGACAAUCAUGAUAUUCAAAACACAAGGCAGCUCAAGUUAUCCGUAGGCUUAUUGGAGUGGAUUCUUGUUUGGAAUAUUUUCAAGUUUCCACGCACUUUAGAUUCGAUGCGCACUAAAUAAAGCCAGGGUUUCGUUACCACAAUUGGCUAUCAAAAUUGAUUUAAUACCAAAUUUACUAUCAAAAUUAAUUUUCCUUCAUUGCUUAAUUUUAACAUAAUUCAUGAUCGUUCCUUUCAUCAUCAUAAUCAUCAACAUCAUUAUUAUCUACUUAAUAAUUGAUCAGACAUUAGAAUUUUUAAGAAUAAAAAGGGUCCCUGCAGAACUUGAGAGUUUUGAGUACGCAACGGUCUCCCUGAACAAUUAAUUUCAAUUAAGAAAGAAGUUGCAUCCCGUUCCAGAUUGUUAUACAUGAAGUAAUAGCCCAAAGGCUAAAGUUCUAGAAAAGAGACUUUGUCUGCUUUCUUUCAAUAGAGAAGUUGUGGUGAUUGACUUUUUAUAGUAGUGAUUUCCUUCCAGGAUUGUCGAGGCUGAUUUGUUUGAAGUAGUAAUCAUAGUUCAUGUUAUCUUAACCUAACCCCAUUAAUACACUCUUUUUCAUUAAUCUUUUUUAAUUUGUGAGUUUUUCGAUCAGAAUUUAUUGAAAUUAACUCUUUACGUGACAUUAACAUCUGACAUGAAUUAGUACUCCAAAAAGAUCUGUAGCUCAGUGCAUGCCAAAAAAAAAUAAAGGAAAAAAAAAUAGAUAUGCGUUUGAAAAUCAGUGUCAAUAAUUUUUUUUUAAUUCACUUCAAGUGUUAUGGUUUUGAAAACAAGUUUCAAUAAUUUUUUUUUAAAUAGAUAUACUUAUGGGUUUGAAAAUAAAUCUUAGAAAAUAGAUAUUCUCUUCAAAUGUUAUGUCGGACACAAUAUAGAUUUUCCUUUCUUUUCAAAAUUUAAUUUAAAACAAAUUGUUGUUAUAAUGCAAAUAUCAAUAGCCACGUUCUCGUUCUUCCUUUUUGUACCAACGGCCGCCACAAGCCAAGAGAUAAUGAUCUGGGCCCCGACCCGAAUGUUAUGUCCUCGUUUUCUCCACACAACUUCGUACACUAUUUAACAGAAAAAGACAUAAAUUCACUAAAAAUAUUUUAAAGUUUAUAGAAAGGUCAUAUUUUAAAAUUCACUAAAAAUAUCAUAAUCCCAUUUCAUCAAAUAUUCUCGCAAUUGCAACCUCCAGUUUUUGAACUUGCCGAGAAUAAAUUCUCUACUGUCCAUAAAUAAAUGUUUGUCUCUUCUGUCGUCAUUUGAUCCUUCGAGUUUUUCAAUAUUAACUUCAAAUAGCAAAAGAAUCUCUUUUGUUUGUUAUGGGAGUGUGACUUGUCGGGCCCAACAAACGGUUUUUUCCCUCAAAGUUCCCUACUUCUAUUUAUGUCCUAGAUCUUAAACCCCUUAAAGCUCAACUCAACUCUGGGACCCUUUAUAUCUCAUAUUAAAGUCAUAAACAAUCACCUUAAAUUUAAAGACAGUACCCCCAACAUAUAUAAAUGUGUAUAUAUGACAAAAAAAUAUCGUCCAAAGAGAUUGCGCGUUCGGGAUUAACUCAAGGUGUACUUUUGAAAAGCGCCCUCUGUCCUUAAAAUCUUGCAUCCCGUUCCACCAGAAAAGAAAGUUCAUGUACCCUUCCUUAAACCCUUUUAUUAUUCUUUUAAUUCUUCACCACUUGCUUGUUUCUCAAUUCAUUUGCUUCAUAUCUUCCUCUUUCACCUGCUUCUUAAUCCAAUGCGAGUAAAUUAAGUAACGUCCCCAACUCUUUUAAAAGUCUUGCUACCUCUUAUUAACUUGCGUACAAUUGUAGUGGAAGGGAGAUUUGUGAACAGGAAGAGAAAGCAGAGUAAUGGAGGUGCGGAGGUUUAUUUUAAGAGAAAGAAAUGGAAGUGCGGCAUAAUAUUUAUUUUAAAGUUUUAUAGAAAGGUCAAAUUGUAAGAGUUUCAUAAUCCAAUUUCAGUUGAAUAUUGUCGCAAUUUUAAUUUCCAAUUUCGUAAAUUGAAAGAGUUUCAUAAAGUUUAUAGAAAAAUAUCACUGAUGUGGAAGGAGAUUCCGUGUUGGGGUGGGCCGCGGUGGGGGUUUGGGGGUUCAACGCUGUAUUUUUCAAGCACCCUCUCCCUCCCCUUUUUCCCACAAUGCCGUUUUCUAGUCUCUCUUUCUCUUUCCUAUAACGCAUGUAUACGGUUAGCUGUCCUGAAAAAUAUUAAUUACCGUUUGUGAGCCGACUUCGAGUUAAUUAACCCUGGGUUAAUUGGUAGGUGAUGUGGUCUUGGCCCGGCCAGGAGUUGAGGCAAUUUAUAGGGACGUGUGUGACUGCGUUUAUUCUAUGGACCUGUCUAUGGUAAGAUUCUGUAACAUACAUCUCCCGUCAUCCCACCAUCCGAUUGUCUAUUGUUUAGUUUCUCACUCCACAUUCAACCACAUCCAACGGCUGAUGCUGCUGUCUGUAGCUUACAGAUUCUGUAAGCUAGUCAAGUCCUUAUUCUAUACUAAAGACUUAUAAGCUGUCCAUUCAAACAAAUAAAAAAAGACAUAAGCUGAGUUGGCACAAACUGACAAUUUCCCCUUUGGCGACAAACUGACAUUUAGUCCCUUACCCUUUGUAUUAUUUUAUUAAGGGUUAAUUCCGUCCUGCCCCAAAUGUUUUAACAUUUUUCACCGCGUCCCCAAAUAUUUCAACAAUGCUCACUUCACACCCAAAUCCGUUAUUUUGACCCUUUAUUCUAACAGUCAAAGGCAAAUUUGAAAUUUCAUACACUAAAUAUUAUUUGAUGAUAAUAAAUUAAAUUUAUUUGAUAAUUUAAUUGAUGGAAUUAUUAUUAAUUACCUUUAAAUAAAAUUUUGUAAUGUAAAUAUUAAUUAUUAAAUUAAUAUUUUAUCUCAUUUUAUUAUUCUCUAAUUCAAGAUAAGGGGUAUUUCGGACAUUUACUUAAAUUUCAAAAAGCUACGUUAAAUAUAACUGUCAAAUUAACAAAAUUGGGUGUGGAGUGAGUAUUGUCGAAACAUUUGGGUGCGCAGCGGAAAAGGUCAAAACAUUUGGGGACUGGGUGUAAAUAACUCUUUUAUUAAAACCUUAGAGUACCAAUUCACCCUCUAUAAUUUCAAAUUCUCAAUAUACCCUCCAUUUAAUUAAAAAUAUAAUAAUUAUUAAAUGGAUUAUAAUUAUAAUAAAUUAUAAUUAUAAUUUUAAAAUAGAUGAUUAUUAUUAUUAUUAACAAGAAUAAAAAUUAUUAUAAUUAAUUAAUCUAUUAACAAUAAUUAAUUAUAAUUUUUUAGUUCAGUUGCUAAUAAUAAUAACAAUUAAUAAUUAAUUUUUGAAUAAUAAUAACAAUAACAAUAAUUAAAAUAUAAAAUAAUAAUUACAAUAAAAAUUAAUUAAGGAUUUUUUUUUGUAAUUUGUAACAAUUUAACUCAUUUUUAUUUUGAUUAUAAGAUAAAGUAAACACAUAAAUGAUAAUACAACUCAUUCUAAUUACACUGACUGCGUAUAUUGCUUUUAAAACAGCAGACUUGCGUGAGAUUACUUUAGAGUACAUCUCAAGAUUAGUAAUAUAUACAAAAGUCUGCAGAAACAUAUAUCUUGUAUACAUUUUCAUUUUUUAUAAAAUGAAAUGAAGUUGAAUAAACAUGAUUUCAUAUUAACAAGAAGAAUUUCAAAAGCUUUGUUAGAAUGAUGCGAGAUUAGAAUAUAGUAAUCUUGAAAAAUACUUGAGCUUACAGUGACCGAGGUGCGAUAGACCCACAUGCAUAUAUUCAGUCAUCAUCAGUCAUUGUUAUUUUUAGUUAUUGUGAGCCAAAUUUUCAAUUACAUAUAUUCAGUUCAUUUUUUUAAUAUAUCAAAGAGCAUAAAUUUAAUUAAGCUUAAAUUUUGAUUUUUGGAGACUAGAAGUUGGAAAGUUGUUUUAAAAUAUUAAAAUAUCUAAAAUAUUUUUCACUUAUUUGAUAAUUUUAUUUCUUUUUUUAUAAUAUAAUUUUAAAAACUCAACUGUUAAAGUAAUUUUAUAAUUUGUAAUGAAAGCUCUCAUUUAUUAACAACCAAAUAAUUAAUUUUUUUUUUUUAUGAAAGCUCUACCAACAAAAAUUCUUUUUAAAUAAAUUAUAGUUGUAAAGCUUUAUCAAACGAAAACUUAAUAGAUGUAAAAUAGAUUAUUUAAUUUUCAAAAACUCAUCUAAAAAAAAACACUAAUAGAAUUUUUAAAAAGAGCUUAUAAGAUUAGAUAAAUAUUUAUGACUAUUAAAUAAGUUAUAUCAAAUAGACACAUGAUACUAGAAUAAUAGACAAUAAUAUUUUUUGUAGUUAUUUAAUAUUUUAUAAUUUCUGUCAUAAUUAAACGAUGAUAACUCUUUUUAGAAUUACAAAAUUACAUUUUAGCUUUAAUAACAAAAUUAGAAUUGACAACAUUGUUGUAGCAUAAAAAAACAUUAUUAAAUUUAGUUUCACUACAACAACAGACACCCUUGGUUCCUUAGCUCCACGCCUCUAUCCAUUCUGCCUUGACUCUUUUUUUUUUUUUUUAACAAGAUGCCUACACUUUUAUUUGACUCAAUUGAACCUGAGUUAGUGGUUGAUAGGUCUGGUCAGUUAAUUAACCCUGAGGCCAAGUUAGUUGAUGUGUUUGCUGCGUGCAAAGUUUAUUUGACCGAAUUAACUCGGCCAUUCUAUGCUAAAUGCCCAAAGAUAUUAAUUGCCGUUUGUGAACCGACUUCGAGUUAAUUAACCCUGGGUUAAUUGGUAGGGGAUGUGGUCUUGGCCCGGCCAUGAGUUGAGUCAAUUUGUAGGGACGUGUGUGCUUGCGUUUAUUCUAUACUAAAGACUUAUAAGCUGUCCAUUCACUCGAAAAAAAAUAAGCUGUCCAUUCAAAAAAAAAAAAAAAAAAAAAGACUCAUAAGCUGAGUUGGUGACAAACUGACAAUUUCCCCAUGGUGAGUUUCCUACGUAUAUAUGAUCAUCAAAAGGCGAUGAGUGUUGAAUUUAAAGGUCAUAAGAUUUGUGAACCGACUUCGGUUUAUUCGUAGAGUGAACAUUUCCAUUCACUCGAAAAAAAAUCUACUAAAAUCUUAUAAGCUGUCCAUUCACUCGAAAAAAGUAGAAAGUGGAAGGGGAGGGGAAAGUUUAACGCCAACUCCGAUCCGCCUUCAAAUACAUGUAGGAAGGGGAAGUUGCCACCCCCGUCCAUCUCCCUCAUCUUAUCGCUUCUCUUUCUUUUCUUUUCUUUUCCAUUUCCCCUUUUUCUUCAAUCUUUAACAUUCAUCAGCAGCACAUAGCAGUUCCCAUCCGAGGAUGCAAAGCAAUCUUCAUCAGCGAAACCCUUCACCUCCAAAGUAUACGUUUUCUACUCCUUCCUCCCCCCCCCCCCCCCCCCCUUCUCUUCUACUACCCCCUGCAAAUGCUAAUAUAUGGUUUAUUUUUGCAGUGAAGGAAAUUUGAUCUCGUCGAUGCUUUACCAAGUCAUUUUUGCUUAUCUGAUUCCAGUCCUCAUUGGUAUCCUGGGGGCCAAUACUCAGGGCAGAACAGAGCCUUUGUUCAAAACACAUACAAUCAAUAUGUGGGGUUUUCUCGUGGCCAAGGUAAUCUACUGCUUCGCACUUGCAGCUGAUAUCAAGUCCCGCCUUCAUCGAGAAAAUUCUUCGCAGUUAUCAGGCCUUGUUGCGGUUGUCUCAGGAUCUGUUUCUGCAGUAUCUUUGAUCUCCACCUUUCUUCCACCGUCCAUUGGUCAUAUCAUUUUGUACACUUCAUGGUUUUUCGCUGCCACUAUCGUUGUUCUCUAUCAAUAUGGCACAUUGCUUAUGGAUGCCUGCCGUCGGUUCCACUACGAUACUUUGAAUCUACUUUUCACCAGAAUUUGGAAUUGGUUUCAGGUUAAUUAACAGCAUCAUCUCCUCGAAACAGCAGCAGAAUGAAGGGUAGAAACUUGCAGGAACCUCUCUUGAAUAACCUAAGCCACAUGAAGCGUAAUAAUUUUCAACUUUUUAGUAUGUAGGUGGCAGAAAAAUUAACUUUUUUUUUAAUCCUUUAAAAAAGUUUUAAUAUACUUAUUAAUGAUUGUUUCUGCAAUUCCCAAGUUUGAAGGGUUUAGUCUCUAGUGUAAUAUAUAUAUAUAUAUAUAUGAAAAAUUGUUAUUAAUAUAUGUACAGUUUGUUUUCGCAACUCCCAAGUUCAGUUAGAUUGCCUUUUGUUGUAUCACUUAAUUGGCAGCCUCUUUCUAAAAAGAAAAUUUUGACGUUUAUUAUUUGAUAAUUUUUAGGGAUAAUUAAAUGGGUCCUUCUAUCUUACAUGCAUGUAAGAUAUAUUCCCCUCAUAUGAAUAGUGUAUGUAUGGGACCCACACACUAUUCAUGUGAGAGGAAUAUAUCUUACAUGCAUGUAAGAUAUGGUUUGCCUAAUUAAAUAUGUUGAAUUAAAUUCAGAGGGAGUGUAAAAAAAAGAAUUCUCAAAGUAAAUAUAUCCAUUUUGUGUGUGUAUAUAUAUAUAUAUGUUUAAUAUGCCAAUAAAAUUGGAUCAGGUAUCAUGACAAUUAUUAAUGUUGAAAACAUUGGACUAUUCUAAUUAUGUAUCUAAAUCGAAAGACUGAAGAAAUUAGUAAAUAAUAAAAAAAUAUUUUAAAAUUCCUAGUACGUGAAAAAUUGAAAAAGAAAAAACAACAGCGAAAUUAUGGGCCCCGCAACUUUCGGGGAAAAACCAAAACAUGUCAACAUUUUCUCUCUCACUAUCAUUCGAAGAAGCAUUCUCACGAUCAUUUGAAAUUCUAUGAUAUCAGGUUCAAUUAAGACGAAGAGGCCGCUUUUUAUCACGAACUUUCAGGUCUAUUUUCAGUUAAUCUCACCAAAUUUGACGGAUUUGUUCACUAAUUUCAUGAAUUUCACCUCUCACUCUCAUUCGAUUGAAGAAGCUUUCACUUCCAUUUGAAUUUUUUCGAUCUCGAUCGGUUUCAAUACAGCGGAAGAGGUUUGAUUUUAAUCUCUCUUUUAUUCAAGAAUUUCAUAUUAAUCUCACCAAAUUUGAUGUGUUUUUCCUCAAAUUCAUUGUUAUGGAUCUAAUUCAUUCCUCCAAUUCAUUGUUAGGGAUCCAAUUUAUGUCUCUUAAUUUGAAAAGUUUAGGUUUGGGCUUUGAUUAUUUGAUUAUUAACCCUGUAGCCUUUGGAUACUGUCAAAGAGAGUGUAUUAAUCCACAUUAAGUAUGUUGUAUUGGAACUAUUAAGCGGAAACUAGAUGGCUUCUGUUUACUAAGCGAUACAAGAAUUGAGCUAUAAUUAGGCCAGCCUUAUGGUUGGCCGUAACUAGAUGGGUUCUGUUUACUAACUUAUCUGUAUUUUCGUCUUUGGUAACUCAUUCUUUAUGCUACAUUAGGGCAUUAGAAACAGAGCUUGAAAAGAAAUUAGUACCUGCAUUCAUUGUACUGAAACUUGGACCAGCUUGUUCAUUCGUAUACAACUAUUAUAGCUGCGCAACUCCAUUUACAAUUCCUUUGCAAUCAGAUGAGUUUAUUUGAAAGGAUAGGCUUCAUGUCGGGACGUCUUUUGGUCUUCCUUUAAUGUCUGGUAACUAAUUUGUUCAACACUUUCUAGUGGCAUGUGGCAACUGUUAUCUUCUUUGGAUGUACUCAUCAUUGUACACGGGGUAAGCGGUGAUCUUCAUUACAUUAAUUUUUUAUAUCUGGAUUCUAGGCUUCUUACGCACUUAUGUGAAUCAUUUUUUGGCACGAUCAUUUCAUAAAUGUUACUCUAUGGCUUCCAGAAAUUUCUGAAGAUUUUUUCCACCGAGUAUUCUAUGUUUUACCUUUCAAGGGGUUUAAAGUGAAAAAUGAGUUUACUGGACUUUGGAAAUUGGUGUAGCUAUUCUGCGGCCUAGUAGCUCUUAGAAUUUUACAUCAACCCCCUUUCCUAGUUAUUUGAUUUCCUCUCAUAUUUGUGUGCUGAAUUACAGGUCCAUCAUUGGAAUCUUAGAUUAUAUGCUUGUAUGUGGCUUUGAGAUGUGCCUCUAUUGUACUUAGAUGGUAUUGCGAGCAAAUUGCUAGUGCUACAUCAGGUAUAUUGACAGAACAACCAACACCUGGUUUAUAAUACAUAAUACAUAUAUUUAUAUCAAGCUAUACUUUAAUGAACGAACAUGUUCUUCCUCUAAAUUUCACAUAUUUGGUGGCAGAAUGGAAAACAAAUAGUGCAAGAAGGUGUAUUAAUUGCCUUGGCAUCAGUUGCUGACUUAUCUCGGGUAUUCUAUAAAAUAUGCUUUGAUUAGAAUUUAUUUGUUAUAGAAAGUUGUCUGACAGGAUGAUUUUGUUGUAGUAGCUGCUCAGAUACUAACUUCUUUUAACCGGACAAAAAAGGAAUGUAGGGAAGCAAAGUAUAUGUUCGAUUAAAAGAAAGGUAUGUACAAAAGUGAACAAUCUGUCGCUCCUUAUAGUAUCUCUUCUGCAUUUGAAAUUUUUUUUUUUUGGUGAAAAAAUAUUUCUAGAUACAUAUAAUGGUCUUUCCUGUCUGUUCACCUAAUAUUUAACUAAUGUUGAAGGCUGAAGAUUUAAUUAAUGAGCAGCCAGAAGGAGUCCAUCCUGUAUUGAUUACCAUAACAGCUGUUAGUUACUGUGGUUUAAAAACAAAACUUUAAAUUUUGAGUUUCAUUUUAUCCUAAAACCUUAACGUCAAUGUUUUCAGACCAACCAUCCUUUCACCACUCUAAAUCAGAGAACAUAUCAGUAAUGAUCUUUAAAUUUUGAAUCAAACCAGAUGUUGACUUUUUACAUGUUAGAGUUGAAUCCGAAUUGCAAUUAAUUCGUUAAGUGAAACCAUGAGCAACCAGAUGCUUUCAUUGAAUUAGAUAAUUAGAUUGGUGUACGUUGUUUACUUGGAUAUGUGAGUUGGACUGUUCUCCAUAUGUUGAAGUUGGUUAUGCAAGUUGAAACCAGUCUGUUAAAGCGUGAUGUUGACUUUUGGCAAGUAAGAGUUGGGAUUUCAUGUCUUGAAUCAAAGCUGAGACUUCAGGUUGAAAGUAAUUGCAGCUUUAGCCUGUUUAGCAUAGGUUGAUGAGACUGAGUGGUGUACUCUAAAAGAAAGGAAUGUUAAUUACAUGAACACAAAUUUUUAUUCUAUAAGCUUAGUUGUGAAUCCUCUUUUAUAAGAAAGAUUCGCUUAGCAUUUUCUCUUACUAAGGAUGAACUAAUGUCACUAACCCUGUCCAAGUGAAAUUAUGUUAAAAGGCUAAGCAUGCAUUAAGUUAGUGUGAGAGUCCCCUGAAGUCUAUGGCAGCUUUGAGCUAGAGCUGAGUGUUCAUUCAGCAUUUUGGGUUUUGGUUGUUCUCUAUCUUGUCUGAACCCACUAGAGAUAAAGCCUCAGAGUUACAUUCCACCCAUGAUAUUUGAGUUUAUCGAGUUACACCAUGUCUUAUACUUUUUCCUGAGAACAAGUAUAUAUGUUAAAUCAGGUAGAAAAAAUUAUUUACUAGUUGUUAUGGGUGCAACUCAUGUUUUGAAACAUUUAAGAUUUUGAGCCAUUACGUUACUACUCCGUUGGUUUUAAGGUACUAAAAGACAGUCACAACAACAGCUUGUUCAUUCAUAGACAACUAUUAGAGUUGCGCAACUCCAUUCAUAUUCCCCCAGUUUUGGCCACAGCUGUCUUGUGUGCAUGGAAUUUAGAGAACAAAUAAAUUUAAGUGUAGACUAAUAUUUCUUUCCUUCUAUGAUAUAUCCAAUUAACCACAUUUUUGAAUUACACUUUAUUUUUUGUUUUCCUCAAAAAUGCAUUUCCUCCUGAAGAUUUUUUCCUCUGAAUUUUCUGUGUUUCACCUUUCAAGGGGUUUAAUUUUAUGGAAACAAACUUUUAAGUUUAUAAGAUAGGACCUUACACCAUCAAUUAGGACUUAAUGUUCUGGGGAAUGACUCAGUAUUUAGGUAGAAACUAUUUCAAAUGCUGUGAAAUGAGAGAUUUAGAGUUUUUAUCUUUUAUUUUUCGUCCUCUGAUAAAUUAUGAUAUUGAUAUGCUCUCUGAUUUUGUAUAUGCUGUCACAAGUCUUAUAUUUCCAUGUGACUCAAUUUUUUUUUUUUCCUGAUCAUGCGCUAAUUUCUGUUUUGGUGAGUGGUUUAUAUGCUUGUAUGUGGCUUUGAGAUGUGUCUCUAUUGUACUUAGAUGGUAUUGCGAGCAAAUUGCUAGUGCCACUUCAGGCAUACUGACAGAACAAUCAACACCCAGUUUAUAAUUCAUACAUUUAUAUGACACUCUACUUUAAUUUAUUCAUCAAGUGAAAAAUCAUGCACUGGCAGAUUUCAUCAUUGAAUUGGAUAAUUAGAUUGGCAUUUGGUGUUCACUUGGUCAUGUGAAUAGGGCUGUUGUCUGUGUGUUGAAGUUGGUGAUGCAAGUUGAAACUAACCUAAUAUUGACUUUUGGCAUGUUAAGAGUUGAAUCGCAAUUGCAAUUAAUUCAUUAAGUGACACUUAUGAGCCAUCAGAUUUUUUCAUUGAAUUAGAUAAUUAGAUCGGCAUUCAAUGUUUACUUAGACAUGUGAGUCGGACUGUUCUCCAUAUGUUGAAGUCAGUUAUGCAAUUCGAAACCAAUCUGUUUAAGCCUGAUGUUGACUUUAUGCAAGUUAGAGUUGGGAUUUCGUGUCUUGAAUCAAAGCUGAGGCUUGGGGUUGAAAGUAGUUGCACCUUUAGCCUGUUUAGACAUAGAGUGAUGGGACUGAGUGGUGUACGGUAAAAGAAAACGAUGUUAAUGUAAGCGAAUUUAUAAUUUAAAAGCUAACCAUGCAUUAAGUUAGUGUGAGAGCCCCCUGAAGUCUUUGUCAGAUUUGAGCUAGAGCUGACUAUUCAUUCCGUAUUUUGGGUUUUGGUUGACCUCUAUCUUGACUGAACCCCCUUGAGAUAAAGCCCUAGAGUUACUUUCCAACAUGAUAUUUGAGUUUGUCGGGUUAGCAUAUCUUAUACUUUUCCUGAAAAACAAAUAUAUAUGUUAACCCAGGUUGAAAAAAUUGUUUACUGAGUUGUCAUGGGUGCAACUCAUGUUUUGAAACAUUUAAGAUUUCUAGCCAUUAUUUUACUAUCCCGUGGUUUUUUAAGGUACAAGAGACUGUCAAAACACCAUAAUAUCUUAAUUACUUAUAAUAAUCCUACAAGUGCACAUGGUCUAAAAAUGUGAAAUCUAAAACGGUCUUAGGGUUGGAAAAGAUAGGGUAGAGGUGAUGAAUGUUUUGUGAGUUUGAAUGAAGGGAAAAAAUAAUAAUAAUAAUAAUAAUAAGUCUAGUGUAUAAUAUUUGAAAACCCUGCUUCAGCAUGUGAAAUGGAUUGAAUUGCUGUAAGAUCUGUCCAAAUUAAACUGUCUAAACUCAUUUACAGGCUUGCGGGAGCAAAGAAAUUUUUUUUUAGCAACUCCAGAGUCAUUUAAAAAUGGAAUUUUUUUCCUAAAGCAGUUUUUGUUGUAUGAUUAAAGAGAAAUGUGAGAUUUUCAGGUUGAAGGACAAUAAAAGCCCAGAUAUGGGACGCUGCAGGUCAAGAGCGAUGCAGAGCAGUAACGACUGCCUAUAAUAGGGGCGCACUCCGAGCUCUUUUAGUUUAUGAUGUGACAAAAUCAACAACAUUUGAAAAUGUGAGCCGCUGGCUGAAGGAUCUGAGGGACCAUGCAGACUCCCAACAUCGUGAUCAUGAUGACCGGCAACAAGGCUGAUCCGAAACACCUCCAACUUCUAUGGUGAUGGCCUCUCUCCCUCUGUUACUCUCAAUUUCUUCCCAUUUUGUCGUGUUCCAACUUCUAUGUUAAUUUUUCAGUCUCUUGAUGGUUUAUUGUUGAAACUUAUUUUUAUUUAAUUUUUGUUGAAAAUGUUGUAUUUGAAUUAUUCUCCUCAUUGUUGUUGCGACUUGAGAUAUCAGAAUUAUUUUGUUAUGGCAGUGUGUUGUGUGCACUAGCAAUGUUACAGCUUACUCUGGUUUUUAGUGUAUGGCAUACUGCUUCAGUUGGAUUCUCCAUUACAAGGCAAUGAAGUUGGCUUUAACAUUUUCUAUAGUCAUUUUUGUAAUUUGAUUUGACAAAAAUUGUAUUUUCCUUGCGUGUUUGCCUCGAACAAUUACAAUUUUCUAGUUACAAUGUUUUCGAAACAACAUCCAAAUCGCGUUAAAUAUCUUUUACUAGACAAUUUGCUAUUAUUAUUAUUGUUAUUUGUUUUUCAAGUUCAUUGCAUUACUUUGACCAUUACCUAGUUUUUUACAGCAAGUCCCCACAUUGCACUAUUUGAUCUGUGGAAACAGACUUUUAUUUAUUUAUUUUUAAAUAGGUCAACUUACAUAUAAUAUUAAACCCAACUCUGAAAACACAUAAUGUUACUAUUUUAGCAGCAUUAACAAGAAGGUUUUCUCUUCUUUUUUUUCCCACAUCCUUCUUCUCGAAUAAAAUUGUUCAUUUGUGAUGAUAUUGAGUAUAUGCAUAAAAUGUACAAUGCAGAGUUUGAAAAUUCAUGCUUGCUUUUUGGAAUUUGGUGUCUAGUCUCUGUCAAUGAAAACUUAAUGAUGGUUCACCUGUUUGGAAAUCGAUUUUGUUCCCCACAACUAUCAAAAACUAAAGUUGUUUAUUCUCAUUAUGCUGUUUUACUUUUGAUUCAGCCAAGGUGAUUAAAUCAUGCCAUGUUAGUGAGUUUAUCAUUAUUAUUUUUCAGUUCAUUGCGUUUCUUUGACCAUUACGCAGUCUUUCAUAGCAAGUCAGCAGACUUUUAUUUAUUUAUUUUUAAAAAAAUAAAAAGAAAAAGAAAAGGAAAUAAAAAUAAUAUGUCAACUUACUUGGCUCCAAUUAUGAUAUUAAUAAAGAAAUAUAUAUUGAUUAUUUGAGGCCAUGUUACAAUGCGCAAUUUAUAGAAAAUUGUUACCGAUAAUUAUUGGAAAAUGAAAUGAAAGAAAAAGAUUGUUACCUGAUGAAGCCUCAUCACAUCCUUAAGCUUUAAGACAAUAAUUAGUCGUGUAAAUUGGGGAGCCGCAAAAUCGUCGAGUAAAUCAAAAUGCACUUCUAUCUUGCCACCACUCACCCUCUCGACUAAAUGUGAUUUUCUUUGCACUUUCAUGCCUCCUAAGCUCCCGUCAAGAAUCAGAAAUUCGCAAAUCCAACCUUUAUUAUCUCAGCAAUGCAUCCCGAAUCCAAACCUUACCUCAUAAGUGGUGGGGUCAAUUGCAUAUUUCUUUUUUCUUUUUUUUCGACAGAACGGUCAAUUUCAUUUUACUUCCGACUUAACAAGCACGUCCGCAGGUCUCAUUCCCAUACACCUUCACUAUUCACAACUUUACAUUCUUUGGCUUUUGCGUCCAGUGCUAGUUUUCAAGAUACUCUUCCAGUCUUUAAUCAAUCUGUCACAUCAUGAUAAAUUUAAUAUAGAAGUAAUUUUAUAAUUUUUAAUAAAAAUUUUCAUUAACAAUUAAAUAAUUAAUUUUUUUUGGAUGAAAUCUCUAUUUGUAAAAAUUUUACUAAAAAAAUUAUACUUAAAUAAGUUCUAUUUGAAAAUUUUUAUCAAAUGAAGUCUCCAUAAAAACAAAAGGGAAAAUAUCUACCGUCCACCCGUUUUUUACACCUUUUUCAAAAAUACACAAUUCCUUCAUUUUUUGGCUGGAAUCCACCUAAAGUUACAUUUUGUUUCACUUUUCCACUUCCGUUUGGAAUCCAUUAAGAAAACUAACGGAAACUUAAAAAAAUGACCAUUUUACCCCCAAAACGAAAAUUAAUGAGAGGAUAAAAGAAAUUGUAAUUUUUAAUUUUUAAUCUAAUUAUUUUUAAGGUGAAAUUGUAAUUUUUAAUUUUUAAUCUAAUCAUAAAAGAAAUUAAAAUUUAAUUUAAUUAUUUUUGGUAAUUUUUAAGGUGAAAUUGUAAUUUUUGUUUUACCCCUAAAACGAAAAUUAAUGAGAGGAUAAAAGAAAUUGUAAUUUUUAAUUUUUAAUCUAAUUAUUUUUAAGGUGAAAUUGUAAUUUUUAAUUUUUAAUCUAAUCAUAAAAGAAAUUAAAAUUUAAUCUAAUUAUUUUUGGUAAUUUUUAAGGUGAAAUUGUAAUUUUCGUUUUACCCCCAAAACAAAAAUUAAUGAGAGGAUAAAAGAAAUUGUAAUUUUUAAUUUUUAAUUUUUAAUCUAAUUAUUUUUAAGGUGAAAUUAUAAUUUUUAAUUUUUAAUCUAAUCAUAAAAGAAAUUAAAAUUUAAUCUAAUUAUUUUUGGUAAUUUUUAAGGUGAAAUUGUAAUUUUCGUUUUGGGGGUAAAAUGGUCAUUUUUUUAAGUUUCCGUUAGUUUUCUUAACGGAUUCCAAACGGAAGUGGAAAAGUGAAACAAAAUGUAACUUUAGGUGGAUUCCAGCCAAAAAAUGAAGGAAUUGUGUAUUUUUAAAAAAGGUAUAAAAAACGGGUGGACGGUGGAUAUUUUCCCAAAACAAAAUAACUUAUUUAAUCUUUAAAAGUUCUUAAAAAAUAAAAAUUUUGAAAAGAACUUAUGAGAUUAAAUAAGUGUUAAUGACUAUUAAAUAAAUCAUACAAAAUAGGCACAUAAUUUUGAAAUGAUAGACUUUAAUAGCAAUUUAUUACCGACUUGCCAUUCUUUGGUGAAAUUCUAAAAUACCUCUAAUGUAUUACAAUUCGCUCAUGCAUGCAUGACAUAUAAAUUUAAAUUUAGUAUAAUCACCACUUGCAUGAUAGUUGUUCAAAAUAAAUAUACACACGUUAUAAUAUCAUUUGUUUGUUGUAUGACUAACAUGAUACUUUUGAUUUAUUUUAAAAUUUCUCUAUUCUUUGAUGAUAGGAAAUUGAUUGUAUGAAAGAUAGAAAUUAAUUAGAAUUUUAUAUAAUAAAAAAUUGAUUAUUUGUGUGAAGGUACAAUUUUUUUGCCAUUGGAACGGGUGUGAUUUUGAUGGUACUACUAUAACAUAACUAACUGACCCCCCAAAAAUAUUCAAACAUACUCAAGGCCCCAAUAUGAACAUGAACGCAUCUAUGUGUGUGUGUGUUUUUUUUUUUUGGUUUUAAACCAUUCGAUUUCCGGCGAUUGUAUUGGGCCCGACUAAUUCAGAUUCAAGGUGUAGUCACAGUUAAAACUCUUUACCCCUCCUAAAUGGUGUGUUUAGUAAAGAUCAAACCCAAGAGCUCUUUCCACAAACCCAACCUACGAACAUCCACGUGUGUUUAGUUUACACACAACUUAGGAACUUCCAUUUUUACAAGGAAUCUUCCUUUCGUUUACCUUUAAACGACCAUUCAAGAGUUUCUUUUCCGUCAAAAUUGUUGCAAACGUGGAAUCGUUGCACGUCAAAUCUGUAAGUGACUUUUUUGCAAAAACAUUAUCCGCCCCAGCUUUUACCCGAGACCCGUAAUGUCGGUACUUCCACGAUAGAUCUAUAUAUACACCUCUCUUAAAACUUGUUCACCACUCGCUUUUUUCAUUCUCAGUUCAUUUGCUUCCAUUUGCUUCAGCUUCCUCUUCCACUUGCAUGCUUCUUAAUCCAAUGCAGUGCAUAUAUAAUUAGUAGCAAAUAACUUAAUUAACGUCCAGAACUCUUUUAAAAGUCUUGCUACCUCUUAUGAACCGAAAGAGAAAGCAAAGAAAUGGAUGUGCGCAGGUUUAAUGUUAAUGGUGGGAACCAAUUUGAGAGAAUCACAAGAACUGAUUCUCAUCAAUUCGGACGAGAGAGGCGUGGCCCUCCUCAAAGGUUUCUCCUCUCUUCUCGUCCUUCUCUCAAUUAUAUAUAAAUAAUUUCCUGUUGGUUUCAUUACAAAAUUUUGGCGGGUUUCAAGUGGGACAUAAAUGUAUAAUUCGUGAUUAGAUAAUAUGACUUUUUACUUGCAGGUUACACACUCCGAUUAUCAUCAUAUUGAGCAGUGUAACCCAUAUGAACGGACCAAAUUUUACUAGGUGAGCGUCUACUUUCAGUUGCGAAAAAUAUAAUUCAGUUUCCAAUGUCCAUAGAUCUUGUUUGUAUAAAUGCAACACCAUAUGAUAUAAAGCCACUUAUUUCAUCUUGACAAAAUUGUCUUAAUUUGCACCAGAAUCAUACAAAUGGAAGCAUGUCCAGGCUUUUGAUCUGGGCCUUUAAAAGCCCUUAAUUUUGUGUUUUGUAAUUUUUUUUUUUUUUUAAGAAUUUGUAUUUUACAAUUUCUUAAAAUUAGAGUUAAACUCCUAGCACCUCUUUAAUUAAAACUCUUAUGAAACCACCACUUAUUAUAUGCAUAGCUCUUAUAAUUAAAUAUUAAACAUAAUUUUUUAUAAUCGAAAUCUUAUCAUUAUAUAAUUUAUUAUUUUAUUGCCCCAAAGUUAUUUUGAAUUUAAAAUAAUUAUUUAUAUCAUUUACAUAUGGGAUGGUUAAUGAUUUUUAAGUUAAAAAUGUUUUAAUUUAGUUAAAUUAUGUUUGUCCUUUUAUGUAAUUUCCUCUAACAACAGAGCUACGAUUACAAAAUGCAGGGUCUUAUAAGUAUUUUAAAAGGAUAUGAAAAGCAUUACUUUAAAAUUGUCUUCAUUAAAUUUUACAAAGAUAGUAACUUCUAUAGUUCCAUCACCCCUCGAUUUUUCUUAUAAAACCUUUAUUUUAUAUUUAUCAUUUUACCUUAAUAGGACUACAUAAAAUAACAAUUUUAGUUCGAUUUUUUUAAACCUCUUUCUUUUGCAUAACGUUAGCCAUGGUUAAAAUAGUUAGGAUAAAAGGAUUUAAAAUAUUAAAUGAUGAAACCAAGGGAAAAGUUUCCGAAUCAAAGGUCCGAGAAAAUUUCCAAAUCGAUAAUUUUAUUUCAUUCUUUUUAUAAUGUAACUUUAAAAAAUUAAUUGUUAAAGUAAUUUUACAAUUUGUAAUAAAAGCUAUCAUUCAUUAACAACCAAAUAACUAAUAUUUUUUUUUAUGAAAGUUCUACUAACAAAAGUUUUAUUUAAAUAAAUUAUAUUUGAAUAUUUUAUAAUUCCUGUAAUAAUUAAACGAUGAUAACUCUUUUUCGAAUUAUAAAAUUACAUUUGAGCUUUAAUAACAAAAUUAGAAUUGACGACAUUGUUGUAGCAUAAAAAACAUUAUUAAAUUUAGUUUCACUACACAACAGACACCCUUGGUUCCUUAGCUCUACCCCUUCUGCCUUGACCUUUUUUCUCUUGGUUUUUAACAAGAUGCCUACACUUUAUUUGACUUAAUUGACCCUGAGUUAGCAGUUGAUGGAAGUUCAGGUCAUUACCGUUCAGCCGACAUCGAUUUAGUUAACCCUGGGUUAAUUGAUAAGGCAUGUGAUCUUGACCCGGCCAUGAGUUAAGUCAAUUUACAGGGAUGUGUGAGUGUGACGGCCUUUCUUCUAUGCUAGAGACUUAUAAGCUGAGUUAAUUAACUCAGUUAAUUAACCCUGAGUUUAAACUGAACCAAGCCUAUGCGCAUAUAUAUAUGUAGGAAACUCACCUAGGGGAAAUUUGUCACCCCUCUCCAUCUCCCAUUCUCCCUCAUUUUAUUGCUUCUCUUUUCUUUUCUUUUCCAUUUCCCCUUUUUCUUUAACAUUCAUCAGCAGCACAAAGCAGUUCCCAUCCGAGGAUGCCGAGCAAUCUUCAUCUGCGAAGCCCUUCCCCUCCAAAGUAAAGGUUUUCUACUCCUUCCUCCCCUCCCCCCCCUUCUACUACCCCCUGCAAAUGCUAAUAUAUGGUUUAUUUUUGCAGUGAAGGAAAUUUGGUUUCGUCGAUGCUUUACCAAGUCAUUUUUGCAUAUCUGAUUCCAGUCCUCAUUGGUAUCCUGGGAGCCAAUGCUCAGGGCAGAACAGAGCCCUUGUUCAAAACACAUACAAUAAAUAUGUGGGGUUUUCUUGUGGCCAAGGUAAUCUACUGCUUCGCACUUGCAGCUGAUAUCAAGUCCCGCCUUCAUCGAGAAAAUUCUUCGCAGUUAUCAGGCCUUGUUGCGGUUGUCUCAGGAUCUGUUUCUGCAGUAUCUUUGGUCUCCACCUUUCUUCCAUCGUCCAUUGGUCAUAUCAUUUUGUACACUUCAUGGUUUUGCGCCGCCACUGUCAUUGUUCUCUAUCAAUGUGGCACAUUGCUUAUGGAUGCCUGCCGUCGGUUCUACUACGAUACUUUGAAGCUACUCUUCACCAGAAUUUGGAAUUGGUUUCAAAAUUAUCUCCCCGAAACAGCAGCAGAGUGAAGGGUAGAAACUUGCAGGAACCUCUCUUGAAUAACCUAAGCCACACGAAGCGUAAUAAUUUUCAACUUUUUAGUAUGCAGGAAGCAGAAAAAAUAAUUUUUUUAUCUUUUAAAAGAAGUUUUACACUUACUUUGUUACAAUUUUUCAUAUAGAGCUUAUUCAAGUAAAAUUUAUCAUAAUAAAAAUUAUGAUAAGAGUUUAUAAAAUUAAAUAAGUAUUUAUAACUGUUAAAUAAAUCAUAUUCAACGGGUACUUAAUAUACUUAAUGAUUGCUUAUGCAAUUUUUAAAUUUAAAGGGUUCAUAUAUAUAUAUAUAUAUAUAUAUGAAAAAAGGUUAUAAAUAUACGUACAGAUUGUUCCUGCAACUCCCAAGUUCAGUUAGAUUGCGUUCUGUUGUAUCACUUAAUUGGCAGCCUCUUUCUAAAAAGAAAAUUUUGACGUUUAUUAUUUGAUAAUUUUUCGGGAUAAUUAAAUAGCUGAAUUAAAUUCUGAUGGAGUGUUAAUAAAAGAAUUCUCAAAGUAAAUAUAUCCAUAUUGUGUGUGUGUAUAUAUAUAUGUUUAAUACGCCAAUAAAAUUCAAUAAGGUGUCAUGACAUUUAUUAAUGUAGAAAAUAUUGGACUAUUUGAACUAACUUAACUAAUUAUAUAUCUAAAUCGAAAAACUGAAGAAAUUAGUAAAGAAUAAAAAAUAUUUUAAAAUUCCUAGUACGUGAAAAAUUGAAAAAGAAAAAAAAACAGCGAAAUUAUGGGCCCCGCAACUUUCGGGGAAAAACCAAAACAUGUCAGCUUUCUCUCUCACUAUCAUUCGAAGAAGCAUUCUCACGAUCAUUUGAAAUUCUAUGAUAUCAGGUUCAAAUAAGACGAAGAGGUCGCUUUUUAUCAUGAACUUUCAGGUUUAUUUUCAAUUAAUUUCACCAAAUUUGACGGAUUUGUUCACUAAUUUCAUGAAUUUCACCUCUCACUCUCAUUCGAUUGAAGAAGCUUUCAAUACAGCGGAAGAGGUUUGAUUUUAAUCUCGCUUUUAUUCAAGAAUUUCAUAUUAAUCUCACCAAAUUUGAUGUGUUUUUCCUCAAAUUCAUUGUUAUGGAUCUAAUUCAUUCCUCCAAUUCAUUGUUAGGGAUCCAAUUUAUGUCUCUUAAUUUAAAAAGUUUAGGUUUGGGUUUUGAUUAUUUGAUUAUUAACCCUGUAGCCUUUGGAUACUGUCAAAGAGAGUGUAUUAAUCCACAUUAAGUAUGUUGUAUUGGAACUAUUAAGCGGAAACUAGAUGGCUUCUGUUUAGUAAGCGAUACAAGAAUUGAGCUAUAACUAGAUGGCUUCUGUUUACUAACUUGUCUGUAUUUUCGUCUUUAGUAACCCAUUCUUUAAGCUACAUUAGGGCAUUAGAAACAGAGCUUGAAAAGGAAUUAGUACCUGCAUUCAUUGUAGUGAAACUUGGACCAGCUUGUUCAUUCGUAUACAACUAUUAUAGCUGCGCAACUCCAUUUACAAUGCCUUUGCAAUCAGGUGAGUUUAUUAGAAAGGAUAGGCUUCAUGUUGGGAUGUCUUUUGGUCUUCUUUUAUUGUCUAGUAACUAAUUUGUUCAACACUUUCUAGUGGCAUGUGGAAACUGUUGUCUUCUUUGGAUGUACUCAUCAUUGUACAUGGGGUAAGUGGUGAUCUUCAUUACCGUAAUUUUUUAUAUCUGGAUUCUAGGCUUCUUACGUACUUAUGUGAAUAAUUUUUUGGCACCAUAAUUUUAUAAAUGUUACUCUAUGGCUUCCAGAAUUUUCUGAAGAUUUUUUUUCACUGAAUAUUCUAUGUUUGACCUUUCUAGGGGUUUAAAGUGAAAAAUGAGUUUAUUGGACUUCGGAAAUUGGUGUAGCUAUUCUGUGGCCUAGUAGCUCUUAGAAUUUUACAAAACUCCCUUUCCUAGUUAUUUGAUUUCUUCUCAUAUUUGUAUGCUGAAUUACAGGUCUAUCAUUGGAAUCUUAGAUUAUAUGCUUGUAUGUGGCUUUGAGAUGUGCUUCUAUUGUACUUAGAUGGCAUUGCGAGCAAAUUGCUAGUGCUACUUCAGGUAUAUUGACAGAACAAUCAACACCUGGUUUAUAAUACAUAUAUUUAUAUCACACUAUACUUUAAUGAACAAACAUUUUCUUCCUCUAAAUUUCGCUUAUUUGGUGCCAGAAUGGAAAACAAAUGGUGCAAGAAGGUGUAUUAAUUGCCGUGGCAUCAGUUGCUGACUCAUCUCAGGUAUUCUAUAAAAUAUGCUUUGAUUAGAAUUUAUUUGUUAUAGAAAGUUGUCUGACAGGAUGAUUUUGUUGUAGUAGCUGCUCAGAUGCUAACUUCUUUUAACUGGAAAAAAAAAAAGUAAUAUGGGGAAGCAAAGUAUAUGUUCAAUUAAAAGAAAAGGUAUGUACAAAAGUGAACAAUCUGUCGCUCCUUAUAGUAUCUCUUCCGCAUUUGAAUUAUUAUUUUUUUGGGGUGAAAAAAUAUUUCUAGAUACAUAUAAUGGUCUUUCCUGUCUGUUCACCUAAUAUUUAACUAAUGUUGAAGACUGAAGAUUUAAUUAAUGAGCAGCCAGAUGGAGUCCAUCCCUGUAUUGAUUACCAUAACAGCUGUUAGUUACUGUGGUUUAAAAACAAAAACUUUAAAUUUUGAUUUUCAUUUUUUCCUAAAACCUCAAUGUCAACAUUUUCAGACCCACCAUCCUUUCACCACUCUAAAUCAGAAAACAUAUCAGUAAUGAUCUUUAAAUUUUGAAACUAACCAGACGUUGACUUUUUACAUGUUAGAGUUGAAUCCAAAUUGCAAUUAAUUCGUUAAGUGAAGUCUAUGAGCAACCAGAUGCUUUCAUUGAAUUAGAUAAUUAGAUUGGUGUUCAUUGUUUACUUGGAUAUGUGAGUUGGACUGUUCUCCAUAUGUUGAAGUUGGUUAUGCAAGUUGAAACCAGUCUGUUCAAGCGUGAUGUUGACUUUUGGCAAGUAAGAGUUGGGAUUUCAUGUCUUGAAUCAAAGCUGAGACUUCAGGUUGAAAGUAAUUGCAGCUUUAGCCUGUUUAGCAUAGGUAGAUGAGACUGAGUGGUGUACUCUAAAAGAAAGGAAUGUUAAUUACAUGAACACAAAUUUUUAUUCUAUAAGCUUAGGUAUGAAGCUUCUUUUAUAGGAAAGAUUCGCUUAGCAUUUUCUCUUACUAAGGAUGAACUAAUGUCACUAACCCUUUCCAAGUGAAAUUAUGUUAAAAGGCUAAGCAUGCAUUAAGUUAGUGUGAGAGUCCCCUGAAGUCUAUGGCAGCUUUGAGCUAGAGCUGAGUGUUCAUUCAGCAUUUUGGGUUUUGGUUGUUCUCUAUCUUGUCUGAACCCACUUGGGAUAAAGCCUCAGAGUUACAUUCCACCCAUGAUAUUUGAGUUUAUCGAGUUACACCAUAUCUUAUACUUUUUUCCUGAAAACAAGUAUAUAUGUUAAAUCAGGUAGAAAAAAUUAUUUACUAGUUGUUAUGGGUGCAACUCAUGUUUUGAAACAUUUAAGAUUUUGAGCCAUUAUGUUACUACUCCGUUGGUUUUAAGGUACUAAAAGACAGUCACAACAACAGCCUGUUCAUUCAUAGACAACUAUUAGAGUUCAUAUUCCCCCAGUUUUGGCCACAACUGUCUUGUGUGCAUGGAAUUUAGAGAAUAAAUAAAUAUAGGUGUAGACUAAUAUUUCUUUCCUUCUAUGAUAUAUCCAAUGAACCACAUUUUUGAAUUACACUUUAUUUUUUGUUUUCCUCAAAAAUGCAUUUCCUCCUGAAGAUUUUUUCCUCUGAAUUUUCUGUGUUUCACCUUUCAAGGGGUUUAAUUUUAUGGAAACAAACUUUUAAGUUUAUAAGAUAGGACCUUACACCAUCAAUUAGGACUUAAUGUUUUGGGGAAUGACUCAAUAUUUAGGUAGAAACUAUUUCAAAUGCUGUGAAAUGAGAGACUUAGAGUUUUUAUCUUUUAUUUUUCGUCCUCUGAUAAAUUAUGAUAUUGAUAUGCUCUCUGAUUUUGUAUAUGCUGUCACAAGUCUUAUCUUUUAUUUUCUGUUUUGGUGAGUGGUAUAUAUGCUUGUAUGUGGCUUUGAGAUGUGUCUCUAUUGUACUUAGAUGGUAUUGCGAGCAAAUUGCUAGUGCCACUUCAGGCAUACUGACAGAACAAUCAACACCCGGUUUAUAAUUCAUACAUUUAUAUGACACUCUACUUUAAUUUAUUCAUCAAGUGAAAAAUCAUACACCGGCAGAUUUCAUCAUUGAAUUGGAUAAUUAGAUUGGCAUUUGGUGUUUACUUGGUCAUGUGAAUAGGGCUGUUGUCUGUAUGUUGAAGUUGGUGAUGCAAGUUGAAACUAACCUAAUAUUGACUUUUGGCAUGUUAAGAGUUGAAUCGCAAUUGCAAUUAAUUCAUUAAGUGACACUUAUGAGCCAGCAGAUUUUUUCAUCGAAUUAGAUAAUUAGAUCGGCAUUCAAUGUUUACUUAGACAUGUGAGUCGGACUGUUCUCCAUAUGUUGAAGUCAGUUAUGCAAUUCGAAACCAAUCUGUUUAAGCCUGAUGUUGACUUUAUGCAAGUUAGAGUUGGGAUUUCAUGUCUUGAAUCAAAGCUGAGACUUGGGGUUGAAAGUAGUUGCACCUUUAGCCUGUUUAGACAUAGAGUGAUGGGACUGAGUGGUGUACGGUAAAAGAAAACGAUGUUAAUGUAAGCGAAUUUAUAAUUAAAAAGCUAACCAUGCAUUAAGUUAGUGUGAGAGCCCCCUGAAGUCUUUGUCAGAUUUGAGCUAGAGCUGACUAUUCAUUCUGCAUUUUGGGUUUUGGUUGACCUCUAUCUUGACUGAACCCACUUGAGAUAAAGCCCCAGAGUUACUUUCCACCAUGAUAUUUGAGUUUGUCGGGUUAGCAUAUCUUAUACUUUUCCUGAAAAACAAAUAUAUAUGUUAACCCAGGUUGAAAAAAUUAUUUACUGAGUUGUUAUGGGUGCAACUCAUGUUUUGAAACAUUUAAGAUUUCUAGCCAUUAUUUUACUAUCCCGUGGUUUUUUAAGGUACAAGAGACUGUCAAAACAACAUAAUACCUUAAUUACUUAUAAUAAUCCUACAAGUGCACAUGGUCUAAAAAUGUGAAAUUUAAAACGGUCUUAUGGUUGGAAAAGAUAGGGUGGAGGUGAUGAAUGUUUUGUGAGUUUGAAUGAAGGGAAAAAUAAUAAUAAUAAUAAUAAGUCUAGUGUAUAAUAUUUGAAAACCCUGCUUCAUCAUGUGAAAUGGAUUGAAUUGCUGUAAGAUCUGUCCAAAUUAAACUGUCUAAACUCAUUUACAGGCUUGCGGGAGCAAAGAAAUUUUUUAUUAUUUUUUUUUUUUAGCAACUCCAGAGUCAUUUAAAAAUGGAAAUUUUUUCCUAAAGCAGUUUUUGUUGUAUGAUUAAAGAGAAAUGUGAGAUUUUCAGGUU
rnacentral:lncRNA from 1 species